rnacentral:lncRNA from 1 species
CUGUAAUUGAGCAUGUUGCAUCUGUCUUGUCAGUGGAUGCUAACAGCGUGAGGGAAAAGAAUUUUCACACCUAUGGUACUCUUCAGUUAUUCUACCCAGAUAGUGCAGGCGAAGCUUCUACGUACACAUUGCAUUCUAUUUUUGAUAGGUUGGUCUCAACUUCAAGCUACCUGGAUCGAGCUGAAUCCAUAAAGGAAUUUAACAGUAAUAACAAGUGGCAGAAACGGGGCAUCUCUUGUGUGCCCCUCAUUUUCAAAGUAGAGCCAUGGGCGGCCCCAGGAAGGGUUUCUGUGCUCAGUGAUGGCUCCAUAGUGGUGGAGGUUGGAAGAAUUGAAAUAGGGCAAGGCCUGUGGACUAAAGUACAGCAGAUGACUGCCUUUGGUCUGGGAAAAUUGUGGCCUGAUGGAGGUGAAAGUCUUCUUGAGAGAGUGCGUGUUCUGCAGGCUGACACCUUGAACUUAAUACAAGGUGGACUUACUGCUGGCAGUACUUCUUCUGAAUCUAGUUGUGCUGCCACCCUUCAGGCAUGCAAUAUGCUGUUUGACAGAUUAAAGCCAGUCUUGGAUAGGCUGCAGCAGCAAUCAGAAAAUGUCUCAUGGGAUACUUUGAUUUCACAGGCAAGUUUAUCCUCCUCUAUUUUGUGUUCAUUGUACAAUACUAAUUCCUGCUGUAACAGCAAUCAGAAAAUCUCCUGUAAUGUUUCCCAGCAGGCCUCUGAAGAUAAUGUUAAUUUAUCUGCAAGUGCAUACUGGGUACCUGGCCAAGUUUCUAAUAAGUACAUUAACUAUGGAGCUGGUAUAAGUGAGGUGCGCCAAAAUUCUCAAGACUAAUUUACAACAGUGCAGUUAAAUCAUGUUUGGAUGUCUUAUAGGUGAUACUCUUUCUUUUGAAAAUUUUCUAAAAAGUGCAGGUGGAGAUUGAUCUUCUUACAGGAGCAAUUACUUUAAUGAGGGGCGAUCUUGUGUAUGACUGUGGGAAGAGCUUGAACCCUGCGAUAGACUUAGGACAGGUUUGCUGUAGAUCCUUUUAUGCUUCCUGUCUUAACAAAUUUUAAUUUUGAAUGUAGUUCAUUGAUUUACAGAGUAUAGACCAUAGUUUUGAACUGGAUGUGGGUAAUAUAAUUAAAGUACAUGAGAAAUAUGAAGCACAUUUUCUGUUAAUUGUUUGAUAUAUAUUAGAGAGUUAUCUUGUUGGGUGGCAUUUUCAAAUGAAAAUUGGUUAACUGCUGGCAAUUUAAUUUUAUAUCUGCAAACAUUCAAUUUAUUGCAUGUAUAGUUUUGAAAUACUGCAUUUUUCUUUUUUUUCCUCGAACUGCGUAUUUUUAAAGAGAGAAAUAGUAGACCCUUACAACACAAGCCCCAUAAUCUCAUUCUUUUUAACACAACGGCAGGAGCUCUGCCUUUCACUUGAGUAAGAGGGAAAGAGAGUUUAUAUACAGGCAACAAAUAGAGACCACCCAAAACGAAUAGGGAGGGGGAACAGAGCCGCACAAAAACAGCCAACAAUCUAUGGGAGGCAGCGGCUAAACAUAAGUGAAAGCUCUGUUUCUUUGCUCUAUGUCUUCUUUGGUUCUUGCAGCCACCUGUAGCGUCGUUUCUCCUUCAUUGUUGAAAAUUCACCUCUUUCUCUCUUUCCAAAUAUUCCAAAAUGUGUAGAUAACCACCCCGUUGAGCCUUCUACGCUCGGUUUUAGGCACUUUCUUCUCUGCCUCCUCCACCAUGCUCUGAUGUGGAUGGGGUCAGCCUGUUGUUGGGACUGCAGCUUAGUGAAGUUCUCCCAAGAGAAGAUUUGGUCCCAAACUGCCUUUUUAAAGGGACACCACAAACAGAGGUGACGGCCGGUUUCUAAUGGGCCAUUGCAAAGCACACAGUGUUCUUGGUGUAGCAAAAAGAGAGUAAAAAAUGAUCACCUGAUGCAAAAUGACUGAAUGUUGUAUGUUUUCAUAUUUUGCAGCAUUCAGUCUUGGUGACAUUUGCAAACACUGUAUCUUCCUGACUAGCAAUGUGAUGGAUAUGCUAACAAUGAGCUCCAAAGAUAGAGCUAACGUUGAGCUAUUUGGGCAUUUCCCUUGUCAAGAGUUUACUAUGCCCUGUUGUGCUCCAUACUGAUCUCUUGAACACAUAGUACAGCUAAAUACUGGCACAGGUUUUGCAACAUAGCUAGUGCCUUAUUGGGCUCUUGUACAUUAAUUUGAUGGCACCAUAUCUUAUCCAUGGAAUUUAUCUUGCAGAUUGAAGGUUCCUUUAUACAGGGAAUUGGUUUUUUCGUAUAUGAAGAGUAUAUUACAAACAGUGAUGGCCUGAUGAUUAGCAACAGCACAUGGGACUACAAGAUCCCAAGUGUCGACAUAAUCCCAAAGCAGUUUAAUGCUGAAGUGCUGAACACUGGAUACCAUAAGAACCGUGUGCUUUCUUCCAAAGGUAGUCACUUAGUUAUUUCCUCAUUCAGAUUGAAGUAGGCUUGGUAGAUACCAAUCAAUUUGUACUGUUUCUGCCAGCUGCUGGUGAACCUGCCUUGGUUCUUGCCUCAUCCGUUCAUUGUGCACUGAGAGAAGCUAUCCGAGCAGCAAGAAUGGAGUUUGCAAACAGCACUGUAUCUGGACGCUCACCGCUGGAAUUCAAGAUGGAUGUCCCAGCACCAAUGACACUGGUGAAACAACUAUGCGGUUUAGAUAUUGUGGAGAAGUACUUAGAAAGUCUAUCUACCUAUGAACGUGAAGCUGGGUUGUAAUCUAACGUCCUGUUAUCUCAAGAGAAAAGGAGUGGUGUCAUCUUUUUUUUGUUGUUGUUUGCAAUAAAACGGGAAGGAGGAAGGAGGUUUUCUGUUAUCCUUAAUGGUAAUGGGGUUUCCUCAUGUAGAAAAAAACAACAGGAAGGAGGGAGGUGUUAAAUUAGCACAAUAUUUGAAUAAUGCUUUCAACCAUCUGUAUUCAUGAAUCCUUAUUAAGGCUACUGGGAGAGGGUUGUGUUUAAGUAAUUUAUUGUUAUAAAUUGUGAGUGCUGGUCAAUUUUAUGAAAUAUUUUCCUUCAACUUAGUUAAAGAAAGUACAAGCUAGAAAUCCAGAACCUUUUUAUUCGAAUGAACAUUUCCAUAGCUUAUAUAUAGAAUUAAAGGUUUAGUGCCCCCUCUGUAUUUUUAUUCGUUAGGAUCCCCCCCACCCCAAACAUGCAUAUAAAUACUUGAAUGCCUUUGUACUAGGAAAUAGCAGAAGUAAACCUAUUGUAAAAAUACUUGAAUGCCUUUUUACUACGAAAAAUAUCAGACGAAACCUAUUGUAAGGUUCCAAGUGUGAAGCGUUGCAAUUAAGUAUCAUUCAAGCAUGUCAUUUGCAUUUCAUAAUCACAGAAAGUGCAUUUUUAUUGUAAAGAAGAUAUCACAAAUGAUGAUGAUGAUGAUGUAGGGUGUAAACUCUAUUACAUGAGGUCAAACUCACUUUUUUGAAAAAGUAAUUAUACUAUUAUUUUAAGGCAAAAUUAUGGAAAUAAUCCAAGUUGGUCCAAUAAUUCAUUCAAAUUGGUUAAUAAUUAAUUAUAACAUGAAUUCAUAUCUUAAACAAAAUCAAAAUCAGGAAAUAGGGUUGGAGACCCUAAUUACAUGAAAUAGUGGACAACGGUAUGUUUAGGCUUUGGUUAAAUAAAAUCUAUUUAACCGUUGUUGGCAACCGUGCCCUUUGAAAAUUUUCAUAUAUGAACUAAACCUUGUGCCAUAAAACAUGCUGCAAUCCUUAGCACUAGAACACUGGGGUGAUCAAUUUGAAGAUUAUACAUGUUUUCGGAUCUAUGCUUGGCUGAAAAGUCAUAGCAGAAAGUAUUGUUCGAUGAUUUAUUAUGAGAGAAAAACAUUACUGAAAAAAAAGAUAGAGUCGUCUGAUAAGCUCAAACAAACAGGGCAGGACUCCACUCACCCAGUUGACAAACCAAAGUUUGAGGCUCCUAUUCUUAAUUUCCAACCUUUGCUCAUUUAGUCCUAGUUAUUAAACGUUUAUUCUAGCCUAAUAACGAUCAGUGAACAACUUUGCUUAAGGUUGAUGAUGGUGAUGUGACUAAAUGAUUUUGCAAGAAAACAUGACUUAAACGUGUAUUGUAACCUAAUGAACGGUGAACAAUUUUGCUUAAGGUUGAUGGUGUGACCCUAAUGAACGUUUAACAACUUUUUGCUUAAGGUUGUCGGUGAGGUGACUAAAUGACUUUGCAAGAAAACAUGGCUCGAUUGUCAAAAGAAAAAAAAAAACAUGGCUAGCUUGAAGAUGUUGUGGGAUGCGGCCGGCCAACCACGUGGGCAGUGACACUUGCCAAUGCGGCGACGCAGACUCCACACGUAUUAGGUUUUUUCUAAGCCACUUACAAGCUAUGACUAAAAAAUCAUUAACUUAUAUAAGUUCUCAAGAUGCGUUCUAGGUUUUUGUAAGUGUUGUUAUCUCAUGCGCAGAAACAUGUGUACCUUAAGUUUUAAUCCAAUCAACUAAUCUAGCAUGCUAGACUAGGAAGGUAAGCCGCACACCAAGAAUUGCAAUAAGUAAAUGUGGAAAUGUAAAUGAGUUUUUUUAGCAACAAAACAUAAAUGAGUUAAAGAAGAAAACUCCCGUUUGAUGAUAUUUUUUCCAAGGGCCACUACUAUACAAAAUCUUUUGAGAGACAUUUUGUUUUUGUGCCACAAAAGCAGGCGGGCUGGCGGCCUGUAAAGCAGAUAUCCACCGAGUUUUAGAAGUCAAAUCUCACAUAUAGCUACAAAUAAGGGGUAAUAUCAAAAGACAAUGCAUAAAUUAUAUAACGUACUUAGUAUAAAAGAGAUAACCUUUGAUAGCAACAGCGGAUAAACAACUCCAAACUUCGGGUAUUAACUUCUCUCUACAUGAUCCAACUGACUGGUUGAUCACAAGCCUAAACUUCUCCUAAGGUUUGGGGGAAAUAGCAAGAACUACACAAGUAUAGCAACUAGAUUCUAUAUAUCCCACAAUCUCAUGAUCAAUGUGACAAAUAAUGUAGAGCAUUAAAUAAUAAAUAAUGGUCAUAUUUAACACACAAGAAUCAUCAUCGUCGAUGCAAGAAUCCCCAAGGCUGCUCAUGACCGUGAGCACGACGGCUAGUAUACCAGUUUUACACUCUGCAGAGGUUGUACAUCUUUACCCAUGAGUCAUGAUUUACCCUUUCGCCCGAGGUAGCUAAUCUCUUAACCCCCUUCCUAGGGAGGUCGACAGGGAUCACUAUGAAGCCUUUCAAAGGUUUCGUCUAACAAGUUAGGGCCAUUAGAUUCACUCGGCAGGCAGAUAUAGAGCCCCCCUUCCAUGGUACAUAACCCGCAGCCUAUACACACGGACAGAGGCCACACUAUACCCAACGUGUCUAGCCAUUCUUACGCCAUUUAAGGUAACCGCUAACAAGCUAGAAAAAGGUCCUCAUACUGAGCUAAAGCCAGAGCCAUUAUAGCCCUCAUGGUUGCACUAUUGUCCCGGUUAUCACUUACAGAUAAAUCAUCAAGUGGCUAAAAAGUCAUUUUUAUCAUUUAUUACUUAACAUUAAUCUAGUCACAGAAUCAUGGUCACAGAAUUAAAAUCCAAAUGCUAUACUUGCCUUAAUCCAAAUUGCUCUUGUUGAUUCUGCUGGUCUUAUUAGUUGUCCAAGGCUCUGAUCUUGAUCACUGAAGUACUCUUGAUCACCACGAGUUGCUCUCCGUCUAAACUCGACCAUCGAUCAUCGACACACAAACAAACGGAGACAAACAUACACGAAGCAAAUAAGGCUACAAUUAGAAUCAAUACACCAAGCAAUAAAAUGGUUUGAAAACUAAUCUACACAUUGCUACAAGCGCGCAGUCGUGAAAAAACACUCUAAUCGGAGCUACGAUGAAAAAGAAACGACAACCGAAAGAUUGUCUUUAUAAGAGAGAAAACUUUAAGCUUCAUUUAUUUUAACAAUAUAAAAGCAUAUCUAUUUGAAUUGCAUAUGACGUGAGUUGAAACAAAUCAAAUUAUAAUUUAAAAACAUAUUAGUGAUAUCAAUUAAAUUGUUUAAUAUUUAUAUAUAAAAACAUCGAUGUGUAACUUCUCUGUUAAUUUUAUUUAUAAAAACUGGUUACAUAAACAUUAAUCAAUUUAGAAAUUAAACUAAUGAAAUAAUAAAAACGUGACAUGAAAACAUUAGCACUGCUGCAUCGGGCAUGUCGACACAAAUCUAAUGCAAUUUAACUGAGCCAAAACGGAGUUAAAACCAAGAAAUGAUGGAGAUCCCUUGCUCGUGUAUUUCUAUAGUAUUUGUGGAUUUAUUUUUCUAAAUGAAAACGGCCAUAAUGCUUACUUGAUGUUAUAGUGAUGUGAUCAUGAUGUCAUCGUGCUAAUUAGGCAUUGGAGCAUGGCAUAGCACAUCGAGCGGCACCAGCAGCGCCGGCCGUAUCAUGGGAAAAACUAAACCGCAAUUACAAUCACAGAAUCACUCGAAAGAAAAGCAAACGAAUCAGAGGCUUCAAAACAUCGAAAGGGAUACGGGGAGUGCGGGAUGUACCAUACCAACGCGGUGGCCGUUGCCCGUUGGUGGCGGUGCGGCGGAGAGCCGAUGACAAUGACGCCGAAGCUUGCCUGCGGCAGCGGCGGCGGGGGCUCAACCAAAGCUAGGGCAGAACGUGUGAUGUAAAAGAAAAUCAACGCAUACUACGUGUGUACGUACGUGAGGUUUGGAUGAGUUGGACUAGGGUUAGAAUUUAAUAUUUUCGAAAAUCAUUUUAAAUCAUUUUAAAUUAUUUUUAAACUUUAGUCAAACCACUCAUUGCAACAAAAAUUAAUGCAAAAGCAUGAAUGCUCAACAAGUUGCUAAGUUCUAUGAUAAAUUUUAAUUAACUAAAAAUAUUAUUUUUUUCUAUGUUCUCAUGAGCACAAAAAUACCAAAUUAAAUUAUUUUUUCUCUAUUUCUAAAGAACAAAUUGUUAGGGUGUUACACGGUCCGCCUCGGUUAAUCUGAGCUGGGCCGCUGGCCCGGAAACCGCCUAGGUUAAUACGUUAACCAUGGCGGCUGACCUAAGGAGACCGCCACGGUUAAUACGUUAACCGUGACGGUUGUGUUGCAGUGACCGUCACGGUUAAUCCAUUUAACCACGACGGUUGCUUUAGAGUAACCGUCUCGGUUAAGUUUUAACUGUGGUGGUUGCUCUAACUGCAACCGCCACAGUUAAUAAGUGAUUAACCGUGGCGGUUUCUGUAAUGUGCCCGCCACGGUUAAGUCUAUACCUAUAUAAGUAGCAACAACCCCAUUCUUCUUCCCUGUGGCUCCUUCUCCAUUUAUUAGGGUUUUGACCUCAAAAUCCUAAUAUUUGAUAUCUUAGAGGGGAGAAGGUUUUGCCCUUAGAUUUGGUGAAGGGGCAACGCAAGAGGUGGAUUUCUUACUCUCUAACUCUCAUUUUCUCUCCUUUGCAUUAUUUAGGUGGUUUUGAGCUAGAUCUAAAUCUAGCUCUAGAUCUAGAUCCAAAUGGAGGAGAGAGAAAACUAGAUCUAGGGCUACUCACAUGUUUUUUCUUAAUCAUUCCGCUGUUUUCAUAUGGCUUUUUUGUUUUUCUUCCUUUGUAUGUGCAAGGUGGUCGCGGUCAUCAUGGACAGGGAAGAGUGGAUGUAUAAGAUACUGAGGGUCAGCAACGAUUUGGCUUUUCUGGGACGUGUGAGAAAGUUUGUUGCCGCUGCAAAAAAAGCACCGUGUGCGUUUGGGUCGAGAGCGCAUCAUUUGUCCAUGCAAUAGCUGCAAGAACAACCUUCUCCAGGAAGAUAAUGUGAUGCAGUCUCACUUGAUCCGGCAUGGACUGGUCAUAUCCAGUCACCUCCGCAUCCACCCAUGCCCCCGCUACCAGUCAGCCUUGUCAUGCUCAACGCAUCAACAUAGGCUGGUUGUAGGCGUCAAAUCUGAUAUUUGUAGUAGGCUAUUGUCAGCAUCCAUGUCGAGGCCCACUUCAAGCGCCCACCCGUCCCUAGUCGGCUAGUCGCCAGCUCGCCUUUAGCUAACCAUUUGCACGACAAGCAGCUGACCCACAGCCGGUCUGCCUCCACAUCGCUACCCACCCACCUAUCUCGAGCCGACCUACCUUCAUGUGUUAGAUGCUCACCCGCCUCUAGCAAGCCACUGAUAGCCUCCGCGUUAGGGUUCGCCUCCAUGUCAAAGCUUGCAUUGAGGGCCGCCCUGGUUGACGCCGUAGGUCGCCUCCAUGUCGGCGCUCAUCUCUAGGCGACUGCAAGAAGAAGAAAGCUCCUUCAUGUAGAGUCAUUCUAAGCCUCAUCUUCUGUCACCGCACCUCACUACCUUUAGUGGCAACCUCAUCUCUAGUACACGCCAACCUUGAGCGCCUCCUGUCGACGAAAGCUAGUCGGCAGUCUGCCUUGGGGUAUACCCACGGUAGUAGUUUAUCGGUAGACGGUGCGCAAACUACGAACUCGAUGGUGACGCAAGACACGGACAAGCUUUUUAUCCAGGUUCGGCCGCCGAGCUGGCGUAACACCUACGUCCUGUGUCUCGUUGUAUUGAUUUGUGUUGAGAGAAUAAUGAUAUCCUAGGGGGUCCCUUGCCUCUCCUUAUAUAGUCCGGAUGGUAGGGUUACAGAUCUGGAAACUAAUCCUAGUCGGUUACAAUUGCCAUAGAUAGUUUGAUAUCAAUUCCUAUAACCGACUAGAAUCCUGCUUGAUCUCUACGUCUUGUUUCCUUAUGUGAAACUCUGAGCUGUCGGAUCAAGCCUCGAACUUGUCUCGUAAUGGGCCAAGCCUCCUGGCCCAAGUCUAGCCGUAAGGGUAUAGGAGUUUAUACCCCCACAGCUAGUCCCCGAGCACCAUGUAUUGUGAAGUAACACGCCGUCUUGAGCUUCUUCGACCAAUGAAACUUGACGCCUUCAAUAAGCAGGAGAGUUGCCCUAUCAGUCGUAAUGACAUUUUGACCAACUUCAAAGAUAGUUGACCAACAUUGGCAUCGAAGAAGCAGGCUGAUCGAAGAAUGCAUGGUGCUCUUAACCAAAAAAGAUUUCUUUCUUGGUGAAGUGUGCCCACUUUAUUUUUCUGAAAAGUAUAGCCUUUCAAAAAGAAAGCAUAUUCACCGCAAGGUAAAGUGUGCCCACUUAGUCCCCGAGCUUGGUAGUAGGUGACGUAGGCACGUGGUGCCAGGGUCAAAAGAAAAUUUCUCAAAGAAACUUUGAACUGAGAUGCAUCGCCAGAUGCAUCGUACCGAUGUAGUCCCCGAGCUUGCUGGAAGGCGAAGUAUGAGCCUUGUACCAAGGUCUAAAAAAUUCAAGUUAUCCAGUCCCCGAGCAUCUCAUGCUCAUUUGCCAUCGGUUAGACUUAUCAACCCAUCCCCGAGCGUGUAGUGCUCGGUGGUUGGUGCAGUACUCAUAUUUCCAAACUGGCAGACUGGUCGACCAGUCCCCGAGCAUACAACACUCGGUGGUCAGUGCAGUCCCCAGAUCUCCAAACUGGAAGACUGGGCGACCAGUCCCCGAGCAUACAGUGCUCGAUGGUCGGUGCAAUCCCUAGAUCUCCAUGCACGAAAACUGGACGACCAGUCCCCGAGCUUACAGUGCUCGGUGGUCGGUGUAGUUCCCAGGAACGUUUGAUCCACUACCAAUUUUUAUCUGUUAUUUUGAAAACGUCUUUUCACAUAAAUGGGCGAUGUGACGAGACCUCCUGACGCGCUGUCGGAUGGUUGCGUGAAAAGGUGCGCCCGGUAACUAUGCAGCCGCCAUUUGCGCGGUUUGAGAAAAGGAAACCAUCAAUUAUACCAAAAGGUCGCCGUAUUAACUGCCGAUAAUCAUUGAAAACCGAAGCGCCGCGUCCGCCGCUGGGCCUGCCCACUUCCCAAGAAUGCGGGAAGUGGGAGGGGUGGAGUUGUGGUUUAUAAAAGCCUGACAGUGCCCCCGCAUUGCUUACCCUGCCAUCGCCUUCAAGCUUUCCGCUCUUGCCUUCUACAACCACCUGCAAUCCUCCUAGCUCGCAGUCACUCCUGCAACGCCAAUGGCGAAGAGCGACUCCAAGGAAUGGAAAAAGUCCCGAAGCAGUGUGAAGUCCCUCAAUGACCUCGUCGACAUGGGGCUACUGCACAGCCCGGAGCUCGGCGGCUGGAGGGCGCCAGAGGGGGAGAGCUACCCCGUCCCCCGUGCCGGUGAGAUUGUAGUGUUCGAAGAUUUUCUCAAGAGGGGUUUUGGGAUUUCUGUCCAUCCUUUUCUCUAGGGGCUUCUCUUGUACUAUGAGAUCGGGAUCUGCAAUCUACACCCGAACUCAAUCCUUCUCAUCUCUACUUUCAUUCAUCUGUGCGAGGCCUAUGUUGGCAUAGAGCCGCACUUCGAUCUUUUCCGUUAUCUUUUCUGUUUAAGGAAGAAAGGAGCGGUUGGAGGCUCCAAGAUUGCAGGUGGAGUAUACCUCAAUCUUCGUGACGGGAUGAAGAAUCGGUAUCUAAGCUGCCCAUGGAACACUUCCCUCACCGAAUGGUACACAAAGUGGUUCUACGUCAGGGAAGAGCCGGGCAGCUCCACGUUCUGCGACGUGGGGUACAUCCCCGAGAAGAGGGUCAGUUGGACCGACCGCCAGAGUUCGCCGGUCAAGUGGCGGACCUGAUGAAGCAGAUCGACUGGUCACGUUUGGACGGGCUAGGAGUGGUCGGCAACUUCGUUUGUCGUCGGGUGAUGCCCUGCCAGAAGAGGGUGCACUCGGCGUACGAGUACGCUGGAAGCCAGGACCCGACCAGGAUGAGGCCUGAGGUCUUGGAGAAGGAGGAAGUGCAGCAACUGUUGAACGAACUGUUCAACUUUGCGGACGGCAGCUUCGUCCGUGGUAGUGAUCGGGUGCAGGCCUUCAAGCUGGGGCGACCAGCUCCUAAGGUAACGUUACUUACUGAUUGUGCAUCCUUAGUUUUUGGUCUUUCCAGCUGCUGACUUGUAUUUGUUACUUUUGCAGAUCGGAGACGUUGAUCGGUGCACAGUGUACGUAUCACUGGCACCUAGGAUAGAGAAUCCCGCGGGGGAAGAUCCACCGGAGGAUGACGCUGCUCGGUGUGCUCGGUACACCAGCAGUGAGGAGGAGCAGGCCCGCCCCACCCCGACCACCGAGGACAGAGUGGCGGGGAAAAGGCCAUUAGCAGCAGACCCUUCCUCUGCCCCGACGCUGCCAGCAGAGAGCACCCAGGCGCUAAAAUGCCGUCGGCUCGUCCGGAUCGCCGCCGCCGACGACGAGGAGGAGGAGGCCGCGCCGUCGUUGGUUCAGAGGCCUCGUAGUCGUCCGGACGUUGCGCCGGCCACCACUGGUCGGGUGACCAGUGACCCGCCUGCUCCGCAUGUCGAGCCGACGCGCGUCGUGGAGACGGGGGCGCAGGCACCGAUGGGUAGAGUCAGGAGGCGGUUUACCGCGACGCACCGGUGCUCUGACCUGUAAGUUUGCAUUCUUACUUUUGUGCUAUGAUAUUUUGCGUUUUGUUGCUGCGUUUUGACACUGUUUAAAUGUCGUUUUAUUGUUAGCGCGGCAUCGGUCGUCGAUCCUGACCACAUUGCGGCUAGAGGGUGGCCGAAUCUGCCGAUGCCGCUGUGGACACCGCGCUGCAGACCACGGAGCAGCCCGCGGCGGCAACCGUGGCUGAGAGCGCUGAGGAGCUUCCGGCCUCAGCAAGGACCGCAGCGAGCAGCCCGACAAGGGAUGAGGAGGCUACGAGGGCCCCUCCCCCGAGUAGCAUCGUGGAAGGGGAAGACAGAGUCCCGACUCCUCCGGCCGGAGAAGGGAGAGUCCCAACACCGCCCCGAGCAGGGGCCUCUUCGCCCGUAGGCUCCCCUGGCCUGGACCAGGGGCCAGUGAUGCCCACGACCGCGGCGGAGGCAGUGCGGCAAACGAGGAGCCCCAGGCGGCCUCUGACGACGACGUGGAGGAGAUCUAGGGUCGUCCCCGUGACGGCCGCCAACACGUCUACGUGUGGCGCCAACGCGGGGAUCACUUUAUUAGACACGAGGAGCUCGCGGAGACCGAAGAGGCUACGAGGCUGGAGCGCGCAGCCAAACAUCUCGUGGAUGAGGUUAAGGUAAGUGGUCCUGUGUGCCGCUCGACACUUAUGUGUAGUGUUCUUGUGUUCGACAUAUGUUCUUCUUUGCAGGGCGCAAUGAAAACGGCGAAGUACCAGAAAAGGUGCUUCGACCAAAUCGAGGGCAUUGUGGCCAAGAACAAAGCCCUGUCCGCGGAGGUGGACCGGCUUCGGUCAAAAGUUGGUGAGAAGGUGGCCGAGAUGAGUGCUCAGGAAGAGCGCCGUCUCGAGCUUACUCGGCGUUUAGCCGACCAGUAUCGGCAGAGGACAGGUCAGUCGCACACUCUGAGCUGCUGUAUAUAGCCGUGUGAUUAGUUUUGUUGACCAGGGGUUUAUUCAUGUAGACUUGGAGGAGGAGGUCGCGCGCCUUCGGCAAGAGAAGGAGCAGCUCGGUCAAGAGCUUGCCAGGGCGCUGGAGGCCGGGCGCCGAGCAGGCGAGGAGCUAGGCCAGAGGAACCGGGAGUUGUCUGGUAAUAACCGUGCCGCCCCCCUUUAUUUGACUGCUCAACGUGCCUUUCAUUGUGCUUAAACUGACCUCUUGCUUGAUUUGUAGUGCUCAAGGUGAAUGCCAAGAAGCACUUAGACGAGCUGGUCAAGGAUCGGGACUCCUGGAAGACUAACUGUAUUAGGCUUUGGAAAGGAGUAGCCCCGGUCCUGGACUUGAUUAGCCUCGAGCUUCCUAAAGACCAGCCCCGCGCGCCGAAGCUGACGCCAGUCGAGAAGGCGCAACGGGUAUGGGAUUGGCUCCAGCAGUUCGUUAAGGAUACCGGGGAGUUCGCCGGCGCACAUGUCCUCAGCAUGGUGCGCGCCCACUAUCCCCUGGUCGACUUGUCCAGGCUGGAGAGGGGGUACCCCAAGGAAGUCAGCCCGCAGGAGGCGGACGAUGUUCGAGCUGGCCUGCUAGACUUGUCGUCGACGGUGAUCGGCGGCAUCAACCUAUGCGGGACGGCCACUCCCCCCGACCAGCCGGGGUCAGACAGGUCGGCCAGGAAGUUGUCGGGGGCGUCUAUUGCUGGAGAUGGGCGGUCGACGCCUGCGGUCUCGACCAGCCAGGCGCCGGUGGCCCCGACCCCUUCGUCCGGGCAGCAAGGCCAGGCGGGUGAUCAGCCCGAGCAGUAGGCCAGUAGGAUAGUCUGUACGAGUAGACUAGUGACCGCCCGUCAGGGUGUUUAUUGUAAACUUUGUAUGUAAAGUUUGUAAUAAAGUUUUGAUUUUGUCAUGACCAUUAUUUUGAGCGCUGUAAAGUUAUCUGAGUGAUGUAUCACUGUGUUUGAUUGAUAGUCGUUAAGGAUCUCCGUCGCAGAGGAUAUUAUUGUGCUCGUCGAAAGCUCUGCGUGUAAACAAAGUAUAGCGAAAAAGGAAAACUUUUAUCAAUUAUAAGAAACUUACAAGCAAAAGUUACUGGAACUUAUGGAUAAAAACGACGCAGUUUGUCUAUGUGCCAAGAAUUAGGCACGCGUGUUCCGUCUGGAUACGCCAAUCUCUAGGAUGUGGGACGUGUGACUUCGGCGACUACAAAGGGUCCUUCCCAGGGGGUGGAUAGCUUGUGCAUUCCUUCCUGGCUUAUUUUCCACCUAAGUACCAGAUCGCCGACCACGAAAGAACGGUCCUUGACGUUCCUGUUGUGGUACCGUCUGAUUGCUGUAAGAUACUUUGCUGUUCGAAGACAUGAAUUUAGACGCUUUUCCUCCAUGCAGUUGAUUUCGAGCUCCCUGGCGUUGUCGGCUGUUGACUGGUCAAAGUUUUCAAUUCUUGGAGACCCGAAGGUUAUAUCAGACGGCAGCACUGCCUCGGUGCCGUAAACCAUGAAGUAGGGUGACACCCCCGUGUUCCGACUAGCCUGUGUUCGGAGACCCCAGACCACAGCCGGCAACUCUUUCAUCCAUCGACCAACUGCUCUGUCGUUCUCGGUAUACAACCUUUUCUUUAGGGCGUCAAUGAUCAUUCCGUUCGCGCGCUCGACUUGGCCAUUUGCUCGUGGGUGAGCUACUGACACGUAUUUUAUGACUAUGCCUCUGUCAUCGCAGAAGUCCCAAAAUGUAGUGCCAGUGAACUGAGUGCCCAGGUCGGUGAUUAUACUAUUGGGGAUCCCGAAUCUGUGUAUGAUUUGAUUGAGGAACUCCACAGCCUUCUCGGAGGUUGCCUUGACCAGUGGCAUGUAUUCGAUCCACUUCAAGAACUUGUCGAUUAAUACGAAGACGAACUUGAAGUUGCCGGGGGCCGGUUUAAAUGGCCCGAUCAUGUCGAGCCCCCAGCAGGCGAAAGGCCAGGAUGACGGGAUAGUUUGAAUCUCAUGAGCAGGUACGUGGGUCCUUUCAGCAAAGAACUGGCAUCAUUCACAAUGUCGGACCAGUUUUUCUGCGUCGGUGACCGCGGUUGGCCAGUAAAAACCUGCUCGGAAAGCCUUCCCGACCAGCGUCCUGGAGGCAGCAUGGUUGCCGCAGGAUCCGUCAUGUAUGUCGUCUAGGAGCUUGAUGCCAUCAUCUUGGGAUAUGCAUUUGAGCAGCACUUCAGAACUUGCAUUUUUUCACAUAAGUUUGUCGUCCACCAGUAUCUAAUUCUUUGAUCGUCGAAUGAGGCGCUCGUUCUCCAUUUUAUCCUGAAAGCCUGACCCGUCUGAUAUAUAUCUGAUGAACGGGGUGCGCCAAUCACGGCAACUGGUUGUCGGAGUAGCGUCGUCUAUGAGCAUUGCCUCAAUAGGUUGCUUUUCGACCAGGUCUGUGCCCACACUUGGCUCGUGGAUGUCCUGGACGAAAACAUCUCGCGGGAUCCGGGCCCGAGAUGACCCUAACUUUGACAGCGCAUCCGCUGCCUGGUUUUUGUCCCGGACCACGUGGGUGUACUCUAUGCCAUAGAAGUUGGAUUCCCAUUUACGGAUUUCUUUGCAGUAGAGAUCCAUCUUCUCGUGGGUUGCGUCCCAUUCCUUGUUGAGCUGGUUGAUAACUAAGGCGGAGUCGCCAUAGACGUAGAGGCGUUUGACUCCCAACUCAACGGCUAGUCGUAUGCCGUGCAGGCAUGCUUCGUACUCGGUGACGUUGUUUGAUGCCGAAAAAAGGAUCCUAAGGACGUAACGCAGUUUGUCCUUGUUAGGCGACACGAAAAGUAUCCCAGCGCCGGCGCCAUUGAUGUUCAAGGACCCAUCGAAGAACAUUGACUAGUGGUCGUAGACGUCGGAAACGGGAGGCUCGUUGAGAUCCGUCCACUCUGCGUUGAAUCGACCAGGGCCUGAGACUUGACUGUGGUACGGCUCUGAAAAUCCAGGGAGAAUGGGCAUAAUUCCAUUGCCCAUUUUACGAUUCUGCCGUUGGCGUCUUUAUUGCGCAGAAUAUCCCCAAGGGGAAAACUGGUGGUUACCAAGACCCAAUGGCCGUCGAAGUAGUGCUUUAGCUUCCUCGACGUUAUUAGAAUGGCGUAUAUGAGCUUCUGUAUUUGUGGGUAUCUGGCCUUAGACUCGUUUAAGACUUCGCUUAUGAAAUAAACGGGUCUUUGGACCUUGUAGACGUGACCUGGCUCAUCUCGCUCGACCACUAUUGCCGUGGAGACCACCCUGUCGGUUGCUGCAAUGUAAAGGAGUAGAUCUUCAUUGGGCUGAGACGCUGUGAGGACAGGUGGAGAGGUGACGAAAGUCUUGAGCUGGGUGAACGCAGCGUCAGCUUCCUCUGUCCAGGAGAAUUUUUCCGACGCCUUCAAGAGUUUGAAGAAAGGAAGGCCUUUUUCUCCUAGUCUUGAGAUGAAGCGGCUGAGAGCGGCCAUACAUCUGGUGAGCUUCUGAAUAUCCUUGACAUUCUUAGGUGGUCGCAUGUCGAGUACUUCUUUUACUUUUGAAGGAUUCGGUCGUAUGCCAUCGCGGCUGACGACAUUGCUGAGUAGUAGACCAGAAGGGACCCCAAAGAUGCACUUUUUGGGGUUAAGCUUCCACUUAUACUUGUUUAGUGCCUUAAAGGUUCCGUCGUCUACACAAGCCUCGACGAGGUCAUCACGAAUCUCGUCGUGGAGGCAUUGCUGGAUGGCCCGUUGAUAGGUGGCUCCGGCGUUCUUGAGUCCAAAGGACAUGGUCAUGUAGCAGUAUGCGCCAAAAGGAGUAAUGAAAGAUGUUUUGAUCUGAUCAUCUUUCUUUAGCGAGAUCUGGUAAUAACCAGGGUAGCAAUCUAGAAAAGAGAGGACUUCGCAUCUGGCCGUUGAGUCGACCACCUCGUCGAUGCGAGGGAGACCAAAAGGAUCUUUAGGACAGUGUUUAUUGAGAUCAGUGUAAUCAACGCACAUUCUCCAUUCAUUAUUCUUUUUGCGUACAAGAACUGGAUUGGCAAGCCAAUCGGGAUGAUACACUUCUUUUAUGAAUCCGGCUACUAGAAGUCAUGUUAUUUCUGUCCUAAUAGCCUCCUUUUUGUCACGAGCGAACCGUCGCAGCUUUUGCUUGAUGGGUCUUGCGGUCUUCGAGACAUUUAAGGAGUGCUCGAUCAGGUUUCGUGGGACGCCUGGCAUGUCUGCGGGUUUCCAUGCGAAAACGCUCACGUUGUCCCUUAGAAACCUAACGAGCGCGUCUUCCUAUUUGGGAUCCAGGUUGGCCCCGAUGAGGGCCGUCUUCUCAGGGCUGCCUUUGACCAGCUGUACUUCCUUGUACUCCUUGGAUUUUGAAUUCUUCCUGGCGGUCUCCUGCUCGGGUAGUCGGAGCUGGUCGUGAGGGAGCUGUGCAGCUUGGGCUGUUGUUUCUGCCAUGCGAAUUGAAAGAUCGAUUGCUUCAGUGAUCUUGAAGCUCUCUUCCUCGCAAGUAUAUGCAGUGUAGACAUUACCCCUGACGGUUAGGACGCCCUUCUCCGUGGGCAUUUUAAGGACCAAGUACGAGUAGUGUGGGACCGCCAUGAAUUUUGUCAGCGAUGGUCGGCCCAAUAUCGUGUGGUAGGUCCCGUCAAAGUCAGCGACCAUGAAGUUGACGAACUCUGUUCGAAAGUGGUCGGAUGUUCCGAACUGGACAGGCAGAGUUAUCUGCCCGAGAGGUACUGAGCUUUGCCCUGGCAAGACUCCCCAGAAUUGAGCGUCAUAGGGCUUUAGCUAUGCCGGAGUUAUCUUGAGAGCAGGCAGGCUAUUGCAGAAGAGGAUGUUGAUGGAGCUUCCCCCAUCGACGAGCACACGCUCGAAUCUAAUGCUGUUAAUGCAGGGAUCCAGGAUUAGGGGGAAACGUCCUAGCUCCGGGAUGGCGGCCCACUGGUCCUUUAUGUUGAAGGAGAUCUCUCUAUGCGACCAGGGGGCAAAUUUCGUAUCAGCGAUCAAACCAUCUGCGCUGUCUAUGUUGAGGCAGGCUCUCUUUAGAAGCUUUCUUUCUCGCUUGGACUCGAUGGAAACCCUGCCCCCAAAGAUGGAGUGGACCACAUCGGUGGGACUGACAUACUGGUGUCGUGGGUCCCUAUCCUGGUCCUCGUCCUCGUCUUCGUGAUCGCGCCCGUCUUGUUUCCCGUUUUUCUUGGCGGGGUCGUCUUGAGCAGCCCGCCGCGUAAAGAUGCUUUUGAGGACGCGGCAUUCUUCCAUGGUGUGGUUGGACUUUGGAUGCAGUUGGCAUGGUCCCUUCAACGUCUUGUUGUAGUCUUCUUGGUAGUCCCGCCGCCCGUUGGGGCGCUUGACUGUAUUCACUUCAUGGUCGUGGUCGCGGGGGCGCUUUCCUCUGAAAUCGUCGCGAUUGUCGCGCCGCCUGUCCCAACCUUCCCUAUGAUCGCGGUUGUCGAGGCGACGAUGGUUCCUGUUGUCGAAGCGACCAUGACUAUCAUCUCACCGAGGAGGCUGGUCGGGUCCUCUCGCAUCAUCCCGGAUGAGUUUUUCUGCGUCAUCAGCGUCGGCAUAGUUUUUGGCCGUGGCAAGAAGCUCGGCCAUCGUUGUUGGCCUUUUGCACAGUAGCUUGUUCCUCAGUGCUUCGUGGAAGCGCCGCCCUUUUAUGAAAGCAGAUAUGGCCUCGUCGUGUGAAAUUUUCGGGAUCUUGAGGCGCAUAUCCGACAAUCAUCGGAUGUAAUCGCGCAGUGGCUCGUUUUUUGUGUCCCGUAUCCUUUUGAGGUCGUAUUUGUUCCUAGGCUGUUCGCAGGUAGCGAUAAAAUUGUCGAUGAAAACUUGGCAUAAUUCUUCCCAGGAGUCGAAGGAGUCCUCGGGCAGGCCUAGGAGCCACUGGUGACCAGCCUGGUCGAGGACGACCGGGAAGUAGUUGGCCAUGACGUGCUCAUCUCCUGCUGCUGACCGGACGGCGAUCUCGUAUAGGGUGAUCCAGUUUUCUGGGUUUUCCUUGCCGUCGUAUUUUUUGAGUUUUUCGAGCUUGAAAUUGCGGGGCCACACGACUUGGCGGAGGUGAGAGGAGAACUGUCUCAGGCCCGGAGGACCGUGCGUUGCGUCAUACUCAAUACGACGCAGGUUUUUGUGAACUGCUCUCUCCGUGGUGCGCCUGUUGAUGAGGUCCCGGGCGUCUUUGGGAGGGAUGUUGUAUCGAAGAUCCCUGUGCUGGUUUACUUCUUGACCACGCCCGUGAUUCUGCUCGUGGUGACCGCCAACAUCCCGACCGCCGUCGUCACGCCGUGAAUCUUUUCGAUGAUUGUUGGGGGAACGGCUGUGGUGGUGCCUGCUGGGCUGUGGUGAGGUCCGGCUGCGAUGGGUCUGGUCGGAGGAGACCUCUGUAUAGGAGAUAGCUUGGACUCUUUUGAGCAGAGUGGCUGUCUGACCCAUCGCGGCGAUCAUAUGUGCUCGAACGCUGGAUCGGACCCCCUGGCAUUCAGGACUAUCAGAGAGUCGAUCUAGAUUGGCCAUGGCGACAGCCACAUUGGCGCUUGGCGUUUUGUAGACUGGCUAAUCCCCGACCAUGUCGAAAGCAUCGGUGAGAUUAUGCGGCGGGAGCUGGCGUUCCUCGCCCGCGCGUCGUCGGGCGCGGUCAGCAUUGCGCUGCUCGCGGAGCUGCCUCUCCUUGUCAGUUUCUCCAUCGACAACCGGUUCGUCGGCGCUGACGUUGAAAACGAGGUCUCCUCACCGGGGUGGGAAGACCGGGAAACGAGAGAAACCCGGAGGAUAUGGUGGCAAAUCCAGGUCGUAGUCCUCGUCCUCGGAGUUUAUGACUUCAGUGGGAACGGAACCAGUGCUCGAAUUUGUGCUAGAAGCCUGGCCGUCCGGUAGUUCUCGGAUUGUCACCAUGUUGACGCAGUGACGAGCUGGUCGACCGCUCCACUUUGACAACCAACCAGCCUCGUUAAAGAGGGAUUGGACGUGCCGCGAGUAGAGAGAGGCCGAGUUGUUCAGGCCGCAAGGAUAAUCCUCCUCCGGAUCAGCCUCGAGCUUGACGGACCGUCCUGAGGGGGUGGAGGUUAUCGUCAGAGACGUUCCCAGCAGUUCGUGUGUGAUGACACGAGUUGGCCGGUAGGAGUUGAAAAAAUCCAUUGAUGUGGCUUGAUCAGGCUGGCACGAGAUCCCAUCUACUAGUCGGGAAGCUUCGAGAAGCUUGAAAUCAGCGCGAUCAAGGGCUCGGAGAAGAUCCGAGCCAUCGAUCUUCUUUCCCUUGUAGUGCGGCAGCGGUGGUCAGGUGCUCGGAGCCAGCAUCUGCAUGGUUGGAGCCGAUGCCGCCGUCGUCCCAGAUUGGAUCUGGGUUCCUUCCGGAACCGUGGUCGUGAGACCGCCGCCGUGCGUCGUCUACGUGAUCUGGCCGACGGUGAACGUGAGGCCUUCAGGCACGGCCGCGGAAGCUGGAAUGAUGACCAUCUUGUUCGCCGGAGAAGUUGUACGCACACCCCCUUCCUGGCGCGCCACUGUCGACGAAAGCUAGUCGGCAGUCUACCUUGGGGUAUACCCACGGUAGUAGUUUAUCGGUAGACGGUGCGCAAACUACGAACUCGAUGGUGACCGAGACACGGACAAGCUUUUUAUCCAGGUUCGGCCGCCGAGCUGGCGUAACACCUACGUCCUGUGUCUCGUUGUAUUGAUUUGUGUUGAGAGAAUAAUGAUAUCCUAGGGGGGUCCCUUGCCUCUCCUUAUAUAGUCCGGAGGGCAGGGUUACAAAUCUGGAAACUAAUCCUAGUCGGUUACAAUUGCCAUAGAUAGUUCGAUAUCAAUUCCUAUAACCGACUAGAAUCCUGCUUGAUCUCUACGUCUUGUUUUCUUGUGUGAAACUCCGAGCUGUCGGAUCAAGCCUUGAACUUGUCUCGUAAUGGGCCAAGCCUCCUGGCCCAAGUCUAGCCGUAAGGGUAUAGGGGUUUAUACCCCCACACCUCCACUAUCAGAUUUCCACCUCUUAGCAAUCCCUACCGCAACUCUACUUUAUGGAAGCUUCUCUCAAUUCUCAGGAACUUCACUACCAACUGCAUUUUCUAGCUACUUGUGAAUUGUGGCUAUGUCGCCUCCACCUCCAUCAGCAGGAUAGUUGUGAUAGCUAAUGAUGGUUCAGAGAGUCACUCAUAUUGCUUCAAGCAGUUGUCACCUUCCACAACCACUGUGAAGUUUGAGCAUAGCCUUGCCUUCAAGCAGUAGGCUCUCAUGGCAUAUGCUAGUGUUGUCUUGCUCAAGACCAUCUAAUUAGCUCGUGAGGGGAUUCAUUCAAUUGUAUUUGAUGCCAUCAAUAUAGGCAUCGGGAGUGGCACUGCCCCGAUUGAUUUCUCUCCUCUACCCUAUGCCCAUCCUUCCCAACUCACUAUCUUUAACAUCCCCAACUAGCUUGUAGUUGGGUGGAUGUUUGUCAAGUCAGUUCCAUAUCUUUGUCUCCACAAAGCUUUGUGAGGGAAGCAUGUACAUGACUAUGAUGACCAUGCACCUCGAUGUCUGUUCCAUGCUUGCACCUUUAAUUGUUGGAGUCCUACACUCAGAGCUUGAACAACAGAUCAUCAUCUAUUUGGAGGAUCUGGUGUGGCCUUUGAGAGAUGAGAUUUCAGCUACCAAGUUUGUAGCUACACGUGUGGCCACACACUUGAAGCAUGUGGAGCUUCCAAGUGAGGAUCCCUCUGUUGUUGUGUCUAGCUCUUCAGCCCAUGUUCUCCCAUUUGGUGCUCUCUAACAUAGUUGAUCCCCGCUUCCCUUGUAGAGGCUUGCACGUGAUUGUGGUGCCCUUGGAGACCCCCAACUAUUCAAGUAGUAGAGUAGACAUAACUAGAGCUGUCACUCUUAUAGGCGAUAUUCUUAUGGUGGAGGAUGUAUCUAAUGAUGAGGAAGCUACCUCAAAAGUGACAAUUGAGGACCCUAUCUUUCUCAUCACCAUCGAAGAUGCCAUACAAUCUAUGGGUCAAAGCAGAAGUCCCCCAACUAACAAAGGAUCCACCGAUAAAGGCGAUGUCUUCUCUGUAUACCACAACUAGGAAGGAGAAGGCGUGGUAUGUCCUCCUAUACAUCCCUCUUCACAACCUUCCAUGACAGCAAGAUACUAGUGUAAGUCCUACAUGGUAGGCCUUCGCUUUGUCAAAAUGCCCACCUUGCACAAUGCAUUUUUUGUUGGGAAGGAUGAGAAGCUCAACGACGAUGCAAUGCAAGAUGUUGUAGAAUCUUUGAGGGAUUUGCUACUGCUAGACCUCCUCAAAUCAUUGAUGAGUUUAAAAGAUCAUGCCUUCUGGGACCUUGUGGCGGAGGUCUCUUUAUCUCUUUGUAAGAGCAACUCUAAGAGCAUAGGUAAAUUUGGAUAGGUGCAUAAACUGGCUCUCCAAAACAAUUUAGCUUAUCAAAGUACAAAAGUUCCAUAGUAGCUUUUCUAAAACAAGCUCACUAUUUUUUCUAACCUGUCGCUAGUCAUUAGGUCAGCAAUGAAGUAUGCACUACUACAGGAAUGAUUUGUAGGGGUGGCUGGGGAUGGUUUGAAAGGGUGGCUCGUCUAGCUACCCCUGCUAGGGUGUUUCUACAAGAAAGGUAUUUGUAGGGGCGGUUCUCUGACCACCCCUACAAAUGGACUUUUAGGGAUGACUGGUGUUUUUAGCCGUCUUAGAGCAUCUCCAACAGCUCACCAAUAUUUUAUUCCCAAUAGAAUGAUAUUGGUGAUCACCAAUACAACUUUUUAGAUUAUUGGGGGGGAGAUGUCUCCAACAGAUCACCAAUAAUCUCCCCCAAUACAAAGGUCCACCUGUCAGAUUAUAAUUUUUUAUUUUUUUUCUCUUCAUCUUUUCUUUUCUUUCCUCUCUCUCUGUCUAUGCAGCGACUCUUUCCUCUCUCUAGCACUCGAGCACAGCCUGCCACUCCCCACCCAUCGAGCACAAGCACUCCCCAUUGCUCCCCACACCCAUUGAGCAUGAGCACGGCCUGAGCAGGACCCCGCCUGUCGUGGCCUCCCCUCUCCUCCUCGCAUCUGCCAUGCACACACUUCCUCCUCCUCCUCCUCAGAUCUGGAUUUGGCACACUCCUCGAGUCCUUGACAUGCAGCCCUUCCUCGAUUCUUUCUUCGGCUGAACGGUCGCUACCCCUCCACAGAACUUCCACGAGCGAUGGCGGCAACCACGGGCGCUCAGGCGGUGGGCAGCAAGCGGCAAGCCAUGCUCGGCCGGCGAGCUCCGAGGUACGCGCGGGCGAAAGAAAAAACUGGACAGUGACGGUUGUGCGUGCACCUAUAGUAUCGGGGGAGUUGCAUCUCCCCCUUUAUUUGAGGGGAGUUGGGCUUGUUUUUGGUGAUCACCAAUUUAUGGGGAUGAGAAGAGGGGUCUGUUGGAGCUGAGAUUUUGAGCCAACUCCCCCAAUAUAACGGAUUGGGGAUAGGGGAGUUGUUGGAGGUGCUCUUAUAAAUCCAUUUGUAGGGAUGGUUCAAUCUACAACCGCCCCUGCAAUAUAUUUUUCAUAAAAAAACAAAUAUAUAAUCUAAUCACAACGUAUAUAUAAUUCAAAUUCAAAUUUGAGCACAACAUAUAUGCAUCCACAAACACAAUUGCAUUACAUAUACAAGUCCAAUUCACAACAAUAUAUACUCCCUCCAUACCCAUAAUUCUUGACAUUUAGGACAUGAUUGUGCUAACCAAGGAGUGAUUAAUUAGGGGUUAGUUUUCCAUGUUUGCCCCUAAUAAAUAUGGUAGCCGAAGCUCUCUGUACAAGAAAAUAAACUAGGGGGCUAUUUGGUUGGCCGCAUGAGACCAUACAUGCAUCUCGGAAUGCAGCGUGGCCCUGUUUGGUUGCCUGCAUGCAGGUUUGGGCCAGGCUCUGGGCAUGCAAAAAGGAGCCCUCAGCCAGGCUGAGGAGGAACGCCCAAAUCGGCCGUUCCUGGCCAGCCAGGCUGGGCAGAUGCAGCCGUUUACGUGGCUAAUUGUGUAUUAGUGCGUGAUUAGUAAAUAUCAAGUGAUAUUAGUAUACUUUAAAGUUGAUUAAGAUAUAAUUAGAUAAAAUAAGACCUAUAAGAGUGUAUUCGUACAAAAAUAAAAAUUAUAAUCACAAUCUUAUAAUAUUUUUAUCUCAUACAACUUACCUUCAUACAGGCAACCAAACAACAUCUAAUCAGAGCCUGGCUCCACAUAUGCAUGCAACCAAACUAGGCUUCUAGCAUGUAUCCAGCCAGGCCAAAAGCAGCCUGGCUCCCUAGAGCUGGCCUGGUUGGGAUGAGAAGGGAACCAAACACACCCUGCCUAGCAACUAGAGCGUUGCAUCCUAGGUUCGAGCCCUGGCAGCAGCCACUCAGUUUUGCUUGUUACUUUAUUUUACAUGCUAGCAGCUAGGUGGCCUGCAAGGGACGCGAGCGCGUGCAGUGGCCAGCUGAACAGACACCGCGCUUGGCAGAGGAAACGGACGUGAGCGCGUGCAGCUUGCAAGGGAUGCGGGUGCAGCGUCCAGCCGAACAGACGCCGCUCUUGGCAGACCAAAAGGACGUGAGCACAGAGGUAUCCCCGUCCGCGCCAGCAGCUGCCACCACAGAACGACAAGUUUUGCAAAAUGUACACGGGAUUCCAGAACGUCAACUUUUUUAGUAUGGAGGGAGUAUAAUCCAUCAUUACAUAAUCAUAAUUCACAAAUUCAAGCCGUUCCACAAGUCAAAUUGCAUGCACAUUGUUAUCAACGGCCUAGGGCUAGCUUUUCAAUCUCUUGAAGGUGUUGGUACUUAGGACUACAACCUAAAUCAGAAGCUCACAUGGUAAGUGCCUUUGACAUGCACAAUCUUGUCCAAUAUGAAGUUACAAAGGUCACGACUCACGACGAGCUCUAAGAGUUGAUCAUCCUUGUAUGUGUCUCUUCUAUUUUUCUCUUCUUUCCACUAUAAGAGAACGAGUUUAGGUCUAAUAUUUCGUAACAUAAGCUAAGUUUUUAUACUAUGAGCGAAGAGAUUCAACUUACCAAACAAGGGUCUCUCCUGUAGGCAGCAGCGUUACUCAUCAUACAACAUAUGUAAUAUCCACAAUGUAGACUCCUAGGCCUUUGCUUGAGAAACUGUGUGUGUUUUGCAUAUGGAAAUGUUAAGUAAUGCUAUAGACAAGCAUGUAAUGGAGUGCCAAAGUAAGUUAUACUUAUUGAACAUAUAGCUUUGAUAGCUUAUCUGAUUAUUCUAUGAUUAAAUUCAUGCAGCAACCAAUUUGUAUAGGAUAAGUAUAACUUACUCAGAUAAGCUAUUUUGUAUCGAACAAAAAUAUAUUGAACAAAGCUUUUAAGUAUACAGUCAAACUUACUUGAAGUUGUAUGGUACCCAUAUGACUUCGUUAUGUUGGAGAUACAUAAAAGAUACGUCAAUGUAUGCCACAACCUUAAGGGAUUCUUGCCUUAUUUUCUUUAUCCGGAUGUUCUCUUUCUCCGCAACUGUCCUUCCAGCAGCCAACUCUUUGCAAUCCAGCUUUCACUUUUUGGGGUAAUACCUGACUUUCAGGCUUGGCAUUUUUUCGCAAUGCGUGCUUGCAUUCUAUAAAUCAUGACGUGGGUUACAACAAAAUCUAAGUAAUUUACAUUCAUAUCAUAUCGAGAGGGCAAGUACUUACAGACACCAUGUGCGAAUUAGAUUCAUUUCCAUUGAUCCGAGGUGAAAGCAUGUCUCGACAUCAUUGAAGUCAAAGAAAGUAAUGGCUGCUAUAUAUACGUCAGGCAUUUGUAGGGGUGGUUAGUGAUUGAGCUGCCCCUGCAAAUGGCUCCAGGAGGAGCGGCUAUAAUCACCCCUACAAAUCAAACAUUAGGGGCGGCUAGUGAUUAAGCCGUUCCUAUAAAUCACCCUAUCUGUAGGGGCGACUGACUGUGUCAUUUGUACGGACGGCUACUCUGUUGGGCCCGAGUAAGCCUACUGUAGAGGUGGCUCCAGCUCUAGCAGCCCUAAGAAAAAUCCUCCUUCCUACAAGCAGUUUUCUAUGUAGUGAUAACGGCAUCACUUUGGAGCAUACCGACGAACACCUUCAUGGCAUGCCUUGCUUCUCGUCGAGGUGUCAUGCCUCACACUGCCAUGUAGUCACGCAAAGAUGCUCCAAGUUGCCUACACGGAUCUAUUGGUGCCGUACAAAAAAAAAUGUAGCACACAAUGGAUGCUACUAAUUAUAACUCUCUGCCCACGCUAAAACUUCCAAAGUCAUAUCGGACGAGGCCACGGGCUGCCAAAAUAGGCCACCGCCGUAAUGUGCUUGUGCGGGUCGAGCGUCAGCAGAUCGAUGACGUUCGUGUUCGUUAAGGAAAGGCCGCACGAGCGGUCGCGUAGGAGGAGGGGGGCGAGCGAGAACAAUAUUUACUUGUAUGGUCUAAAAAAAUGACUCUUCCUUAUAUGUUUUUCUUGAACUUCCCGCUCUCAAAUGAACUUUUAUUCCUUCCAUGGUCUGUCGUCCGUUUUCAGUACUUAACGGUGUUAAGUGGAGGGUACAAAGACCAUAAUGCCCCUAACAUCAAAAAAUUCGCAAAGUUUGGUUUGUUUCUUAUAUAUUUUGAGUAAUUGUCAAAUAAAUUGACAAUUUAGAUAUUAUAACAGUACAUAUUUGGAUCACAAUAAAUAUUUAGAUAGCAUCACAGUACAGUACGGUAUGUGCUCAAAAAUUUCAUUUAUAUAAGAAACAAACCAAACUUUGUGAAAAAAAAUUCAUGCCAGAGGUAUUAUGGUCUUUUUACCUUCCACUUAACACCGAAAACGGACGGAAGGUCAUAGAAGGAAUAAAAAUUCAAUUGAGGGCCAUAGAAGGAAGUUCAAAAAAAAGACCCUACAAAAAAGAAGCAUUUUUUAGCACACAAGUAAAUCUCUCUAGAAUGUAUGGUUGGGUAUUUUAGAAAUCUAGAUACAAUAUCUGUUGAAGACGGUUUUUACUUAAAAAUUGUUAUAUUUGACUUUACAAAACGAUUUAGCGGUUCUCUUAGAGUUGCUCUAAUAGGUCAUACAGUAUGACGUUGAUGUGGAUGUCUAUAUCGUGGUUUGCUCAUGUCGCUGUUGGCUGAGUUGUCUCUCGAUCUUUGUUUUUUUUUAUUUUCUGUGGUAUUAUUAUUGGACUAGUAUGAACCUUCUUAUUUAGGCUUUAGACAUAUAUCUAAAACCUAAAUAUAUAGGAAAGGAUAUUUAUGGAAUAAAAGGUAGUAAAAUAUAUAGGAGCUAUGUUUCAAAAUAAAAUUUUUGUUACCAAGUAGUAUUUUAAUCAGUCAAUCAAAGGACUUAAAAGAGAGCAAAGAUAACCAAUAAUAAUUGAUGGCCGCACAUAGUAGAUGAUAUAUAAAAACCACCAGGCUUUUAUAACGAGCUUGUAUACGCAUACACGAUCAUAUACUAGAAAGAAAUAAGUGGCCACUGGCCAGCACAGCUAGCUAGCGCUUUCAGUGUAUGGAUGGUAAACAUAUAUCAUACAUAUUUCGUAUCGUCUCAUACGUGGCACGUACUAUAUACACACACUAUGCAAUAACAAUAACAACAACGUACGGCGAAGCUGUGUAUUGUAACGUAACCGAUCGACGACGUUGAAUCGGAGAAACGAAGGAGGAAAAAAUUAAAUCUCAAGGUGUACGAUUUCAAUGUCCUUCAUUUUCCGGCCCACUUUUUUUGUCAAAAAGGAAACAAAAGAGAGAGCGAUGGGUGGUGUGACAAGCAUAGGGCCGGGUUUGAUUUGCACGCGAUCGCACGAUUGCACGUGCGCUUGCAUUUGCACCAACAAAUCGAUGAAAGUCUUCACCGCGCUAGCUACUGGCCCCUCCACUCGCUUCCACGUAAACAAAACCCAUCACGAUCAGGCGACGGCCACGACGACCACACGCGGUGCGCCGGUGGUGGUGUCAGCGUCUCGGAUCCGAUCUGAGGCAUGCAACCGGCGUCACGCAACUCAACACACCUCGCAUUUAUUUUUAGAGCGGUCGCCCGUAUAAUAAUGUCUACGACUACUUUAUAAACUCUCCUUUACAAAUUUCAUGGUAGAGUAGCUCUACAGAAAACUAAAGUUUAUAUAGCACCUCUUUAAAUGAUCUUACAACUCCACUAUUUUUUCUUAACUAGAAAAUACGUGGAGCUAAAACUAUUUAACAAAAAACGAUGAACGGAACUAAAAAAACAUGAAGCAAGGAGUUCCAAACGUCCAAUAUAGACGUUGUUUAGUUCCCAAAAAAUUUCGAGAUUCCCCGUCACAUCAAAUCUAUGGACACAUGUAUGAAGCACUAAAUAUAGACGAAAAUAAAAACUGAUUACACAUUUUAUCUGUAAUUUGUGAGACGAAUCUUUUGAGUCUAGUUAGUACAUAAUUGAAUGAUAUUUGUCAAAUACAAACAAAAGUGUUACAGACUUACAGUAGCCAAAACUAAAAAAAUUUCACCAGCUAAACAAGGCCAUAAUCGUGGAAGACCUCGAUCGCUCUCCACACCGGCCGGCCAACGCGUGUUGCACCACCGGUUUAUAUAUAUACACGACGACUCGCCGGUGCCGGCCGGCCAGCCCGCGAACGAACCCGGUACGCCUCCUCACAAGCUUAAGCGCUUAUAUAGCUUGCUAGCUUGCACAGUGCAGUCGAUCUGAUCGACGUACUAGCUACCUACUAGUAAUAUAAUGCAUGCGAGACCAAUAGCUAGCAGCGACGCGCAGCAAGGUCCAUCCAUGGCGGCGGCGACGGCGGUUGAUCGGGUGGUGUUCGCCCUGAACGGGCAGCGGUAUGAGGUGGCCGGAGUCGACCCGUCGACGAGGCUGCUGGAGUUCAUCCGCACCCAGACGCCCUUCAAGGGCCCCAAGCUCGGCUGCGGCGAAGGUACGUACACGUACAGUGCGUGCUAGGUAUUAGUUUUCUCAUCUGCUUCUGCUUGAGGUCAUCAUGCAUACAAAAUUUUAGAUUACAACCGGAUAGGACGAGUCAUGGCCAGGCUUGUAAUAACCAUGCACCGUCUAAGCAUGCAUACAAAAGUUUAGAUUGGAAUCGGAUAGGACGUCUCAUGGGUAGGCUAAAAUACAUUAUAACCAUGCACCGUCAAUUAGAUUAAUGAACAAGUAAAUUUAGCUAAUGCUAACAAAUGCGGAUCUUCUCACUGUUUCUCAUCUGCUUCUACUUGAGGCCAUCAUUCAUACAAAAUUUUAGAUUGCAAUCGGAUAUAGGAUGUCUCAUGGGUAGCUAAAAUAUCCUGUAACCACGCACCGUGUCUAAUUAUAUAUACAAAAGUUUAGAUUGAAAUCGGAUCCGAUGUCUCACAUGGAUAGGCCAAAAUAUCCUGUAACCAUGCACUGUCAAUUAGAUUAAUGAACAAGUAUUUUUUUGAGAAUUACACCGUAUAACACAAAUGCUCACAACGCACGCACACUUGCCCCCUAUAAUCUUAUUCGAAGACUGGUCAACAAAUCUCAAGAUUGACGAAGACAUUAUAGAGGUCUCUUUAUCAACGAGAACGUCGCCUAUCAUAGAAAGAAAGUAGAACGUUGUUAAAUCUUGAAAUAUAUGCUCCAAUGGAGAGUCAAAUCAAGACUUGUGAUGCUAUUAAGGCUCUUGUAAUCACUAGGCUAAAAAAAACCGUCCGCAAUGAACAAGUAAUGAACAAGUAGAUUUGAUUGGACGAAUGAUGGAAAAAUUAUCAACCUACAGUCGGCAACGGUUUUUUUCUAAAAAAAUAAUAAUAAUAUGUAUUGUCAGAUCUAAAACAAAGUAGUACAUUCGUCUGUUAGUUGAAUAAAUAUGAAAUUGAGGAACCAGCGCUGCACUAAUCCAACGGUACAUUUGGUACGGCUUCCGAACCAAUCUGUCCUUCUCCUGAAGUAGUUUUUUUCUAUAAAACCAACCAAACGGGUCGAGGAGGAGACGCUCUCUAUAGAUGUAGUCCCGUGUUUCCUGCUCCGUAGAGUGGAAGAUAAAGAGAAAAGUUGAAAAAUACCAGCUUCUCCCUACUAGUCCUUGUUCCUAUGGUCCCACACGCCCAGUGAGGUAAGAUUAUUGAUGAUGGUGGGCAACGACAUCCAUCGGAAGGAGGAGCUCAAGUCGCCACAGAAUCCCUGCCUGCCUGGUCGUCGUCAUCUAAAAAUUAAGGAGAUCUGAAGGGGGUGUGAGCUCCACCACCGAGCAUGCAUGGGUCGUCGUCGACGUUGGGAUGAGGAGGCGCAUGUCGCGAUGGCCAGUGUAGGAGCACAGGUUGCGACGGCCUCCAUGGAGAGAAGGGUUGGCAUGGAGGUCGGGCGCGAAGAUGGGGUGACGGUAGUAGCGUAAGAGAGAUGCAAUUACAGGUGUGUGCGAGAGAGAGGAGAUAGGAAUGAAAGGGUGGAGAAAACAAUGAAAAAAUAGGGCAACGACAAGUAAGUCUUUGUGUCAGUGAAUCCACAAGUGAAAAAUAUACAAUGAGCUGUUUUGACAAACGACAAGUAAGUAAUUACUUUAUAAGUGAAGUUGUAGAAACAAAUAAAACCUGCUCCAUUGUAGAAGCCGGAGAAUUUUAUCAUAUGGACCCUAAAAACGGCAGGACAAUAGAGAGUGCACUAGAGCGGUAGCAGUCGUGGCGUGCUCUAUAGUCCAACGUCCAUUGACAUAGACUAAUGCAGUCUGGUACGUGAUCGCACCGAUGACGACGAUGCAGCCCGGCCCCUUAACUUUCUUUGGGGGUACGGUUGGAUGGCAACUCGAUAGUUAGAGUCAAAACUUUACUAUGUAUAUGUACUAGCUACUAGAUAAUAGCUCACACAUCGCUCUAAUUGUGUCCCCAUUACAGAAUUGUAUGUAUGCAUACGCAUAUAUGAUAUAUAGAUGCAAAAACCAGCAUCUAAUUACAGUUGGGAUGAUCGAGGCAAAGAUAUUGAGGUGGCCUCCCUCGGUCCUAAGAGAAAUAUAUUUCUAGGUUUUAGUGGCGGAAUCAGAAUUUUUGAUUAAGAGGGACUAGACAAUACCAUGACACUUUAUAAAUAAAAAAAAUAUAUAUAUACAUUGUGUAUGUCUCAAUAGCUUUUUUAGUGCUUUUACAUAUGUAUUUAGUAUUCAUAACAAAAAAAAUACAUUAAAAUGGAAGAAAUAGUAAUUUUUAUUUUUUCGCAAAUACGCCAAAGGCUCCUGUUUCAUUAAGUGGGUAGCAGGUUUACAAGCCUCUGCUAAUGCCGAGCGAGAUGCCCGCGCGAAGCGCACACACAGAGACAGAGUCGAGGAAACACACACGAUACACACUAGGCGCCACACGCACGCAAUCAUCAUGCAUGUAAGAGUUGUCAAAAACUAAAAAAAAACAUCAUGCAUGUAAGCAACACGCAAGUCCGGCGGCCCCGCUGCCGCUGGCUCGUCAACCCUCAACGCCCAUGAUGUUUGAUCGGUCAUUGCAUAUGGAGAGGUAGCUGUUGAAUAAUAAUGCCUGCUAGGUCGUAGCUACUAAGAUGUUGAACUAUCUGCUUAGGAGCCCUUGUUUUAAAAAAGAGUAUAAUUCUCGAUUUGAGUUCACUGAUAGGGUGAGGUCUUGAUUUCGAAUCACACCGACCGUGAAGCGACGAUUUUACGCGAAAAAAUACGUAACUUGCAACUUCGACGGACCCUCACAUGUGGCCUUCUUUACCACUCCACCUAUCACUCACUUGUGUCUAUUAAAGUUUAGUUCCCCAUAUAUUAUCCUAAACCGAUUAUUUGAGGCCCUAAUAAAUGGAUUCAAAUGGAAAAGUUGUCAACUACAAAGUUUGAUAACUUUUCAAGAUCUACAACUUUUAUAUUGGUAGUUUCUCCAUCUGAGGUCAUUUACAAAAUUUGAAUUUCAAAUUUAUGAGACUCAAACGUAGUUUUCGAUGACAAGAUGAUCUCAAAUAAAAAAAAAUUAAACUACAAAGUUUCAUAAUUUUUUGAGAUCUACAACUUUCAUUUUAGAAGUUUUUUCAAACGAGGUUAUUUAAAAGCUUAAAAAAUUCAAUUUCAAAUUAUUUCUACAGGCGGUUUUCUUAAACAAUCGCCUGUAAAAAUCAAUUUCAAAGUAUGUAUUUCUACAGACGGUUUUGUUAGAAAAAUCGCCAGUAAAAAUUGAUUUUUACAGACGGUUUUUUAGUCUGGCCCGCUGAUUUCUUUUCACAGACGUUUUCUAAUUGAAACCGCCUGUAAAAAAUAUUCACUGCCAGCAUAGAGCGGUUAUGUACUGGUGAGGAUCCGGUGAAUAGCUCGGCGUUAGUGAGCUCCUUCUGUCCCCCUCCGAUGAGGGGUGUUUUGGUCAUCCUACACAUCAUAGUGUCAUGCUUAGUCUCUUUUAAUCCACCAAACCAAACAGGAGUGACUAAGUUUAGCAACUAGUUUACCUGACUAAAAUUUAGCAGACUUGAACCAAACAAUGAAACAAAUAGGCUCUAAGUUAAAAAAACAAUAUUGUUAUCCAUAUCUAUAAAUAGAUUUAUAUUUCAUAUUCAUAAAAUAUGCUAACUUGUUUUUUAAGCAGCAUUUUUCUGACAAAAUGUAAUUGUGUACUCCCUUCGUCUCACAAAUAAAUGCACUUUUUUAACUGAUGCGAUUCAUGUUUGAUCAUUCGUCUUAUUUACAUUUUUUAUGCAAAUACUAAAAUAAAUAAAUCAUUAUAAAAUAUAUAUCUAACAAUAAAAUAAGUCAUAAAAAAUAAAUAAUAUUUAUUAUUUUUUUGAAUAAGACGAACGGUCAAAUAUGAAUCAUAGAAGUCAAAGAAAUGUGUCUAUUUGUGGGAUGGAGGGAGUAGUUGGCUAACUAGUUAUUACAAGUAGCAUUUUUCUGACAAAGCAUGUAAACUUUCUUGGCCUAUAUGUUACAUAGAUUUGGAUUUCAAAGACCCUAAAACAUUGUUAUUAUCAUUGAAAAAAUAUGCAUGUGUACAUCCAUUUGGCCUGUAAACUUUGUUGCUAAAAUUUUGCCCCUUUAUAUGCCUCGAUGUUGUCAUCAUUGAAAGAAUAUUUUAUCCGAGUUCAAACACGUGCCGACGUACGAUCAUGCUGGGGGUGAUCAUAAAUGGAUUAUGGAUGACAUACGUGGAUAUGCCGUAUUAUGAGAUGCAAAAUAUCAUGUGAUGUGGUGGCUUAAGCUUGAGUAUCAAUUAAACUAUCUUCGGAGAUAGCGAUUGGGCUAUAGUAGCGUACUACAUGUGUGAUUAUAGACCUGCCGUGGUCCAAAGACGUGCAAUAGUUGUCAAUUCUUUUUUCUUUUUCUUUUUAUUUUUAUUUUAGGAAUGGUGCAUGAAUCUCACAGCUAUAAGAAAAACCAGUCCAAAGAUUUGCAACGCCAUCGUUUCGUACUUUUUUUUUGCAGUUAAAAUUGAUCAUUUAUAGAUUCAAAAAAAACCUUAUAUUAAGGUCCUAUUUGAACCGACUAAAAUAAGUUACUAGCUGCUAAAAAGAGCUCUAGCCGAUUCAAACAGUCCAACUUAGAGCUUAUUUUGAACUAAUAAGUUUAUAAUCUAACUUAUAGCUUUUUUUGAAUUAUUUCACUACCCAGCUUAUAAAAAGCUGGUGUUAUAAUGAGCUGGUGUUACGUUAAUACUUUACUCCCGCCAUUGUAAGUUAUAAAAUGUUUUGUCUUUUCUAGAUUCAUAUCUUUUGCUACCCACGUAGAUAUGAGUUGUAUCGAGGUAGUAAAACUAUGUAUCUAAAAAUAUUAAAAUAUAUAUCUUAUAAUUUAGAAUUGAGGGAGUAGUAGCUAAAAAUAGCAGGUGGACAUCUAGAGAGGUCGGCUAAUUAUUAGCAGAUUGAAGUGCUAACAAUUAGUUUAUUAGUUGGUGAAGGGAUGCCAAUAGGGGAUAAUAGUUCAUAUGCACCUUGAACCAACUAACAAUCACUUAUUAGUAGGUGGACCUAAAUAAGCAACUUUUUAAGGGAAAAAGGCAACUACUAAUAGCUUUUUAGCUAUUACUAUCUAAUUAUCAACACUAGUGGAUCCAAAUGGAACUCAACCAAUAGGUUAGCUAAUAACCCUUCUAAGGAAAAGGUAUUAACUAAUUUCACUACUAUAUAAACUAUUUUUUCGAGGUGCAUCCUAUUUAGUCUAGAGACAACUACAUCAAGAACCAUCUAAGUCUACAUAAUUUAAAAUUCUUUUUUUUAGUUUUUCAAAUGACAUUGGAUGGAGAACAAUAUAUACUAAAAUUAUAGUAGUCUAAGGGAACCAAAAUUUUGUAGUUGACUACUUUUUUAUUUGAAACCAUUUAGAGUUCAAAAAUUAUGUUUUAAGUUCUUAGAUUGGCAAUUUUAUUUGUUGAAUUUUUUAAAUGACUUUAGAUGGAGAAAUGAUCUAAACUAAAGCUAUAACUGGAAGAGAUCUAAAACUUAAGUUUAAUUUUUUUCAUUUAGAUUAGCUUAGUGUGUCUAAUAGUCACUACAACAUAUGCUAUAGUGAAUAUAAAAAGCAUACUGUAUCAACCACUUAGUCUGAAGUGACUUAAAGGUGAAGUAGAAAGAAAGGAACAAAGAGGACUUGAGUUGUGAGCAGUGGCGAAUCUAUGAUUUUGUCUAAGGGUAUGCUGUCCACAAAAAAAAUUAUAUACUAUUCGGUAAAUCCAUUUUAGUAAUUCAGUAAUAGUUGUAAAAUUGACAACAUGAUUCGAUAUAUAUAUGUACUAAAUAACACAAUAAGGGUUAAAGUCAUGGAUUAAGUUCAAACCAUCUACGAAGUAUAGUAUAAAUAGUUUCAAAAGCCAUACCAAUAAUUGAAAUAAGGCAUAAAAAGAGAACCAGAGACUUACAAUGCUAUUCUUGUGACUUUUUUUUGACGCUUUCGUUGAUCAUAUUAUCUUCAUCAACUUUAAAGAAAAUAUUCCACUCAAUGAAAGUGACCAGACAGUCAUGCAAAAGACUAUCUCCCAUCUUAUUUGUUAUCUUGUUUUCGCAAAAACCAUUACAGAAAAUACCCUUUCAACACUUGUCGUUGCCAUAGUUAGAAGAAAUACAUGGAGGAUGAUGUUGCAUACAGUUUUGUAAUAAGAUCCUAUCGAGUAUCUCCAGGCCUAAGCAAACCCAUUUCUUGAUGUAAUCCAGUUCCAGAUUCAAUUUUACCACAGUCAAGUACUUUAUUGACAUUCUCAAGCCAAAGAACGGGACACGAGGUCACAAGGACUAGUAGGCCGGGCAGGGCGGCGAGAUGACUCCAAUAAGUCCAACCGAUGUGCUGCGCCUCGAUCGAUCGGUAAUUCUGAAUUGGCGUUGCCGCGCGCGACGGCGUUGUCCCUUGAUCUUGUCUACGUUGCUUGCCGCAUGCAUGGGCCGCAUUCCCACUUGGGCGUCACGCUCGCUCAGCACUCGCAGGCCUGCCUCUCACUCGUGGCUCCUCAUUAACUACCAUGCUUAUUGGCAGUCAGGCUCCGCUCUCCGCCACUGGUUGUGAGUUUGAUCCCCAUGACUACAGACGUGUAAUGUGUCUAUUUUGAGUGACACGCAGCUCUUGGAAGUUGCCUAGUGGGCUUCUCCCAAGGUAAUUUUUGCUGUUUUUUUUAUCUGAUUUGUAAAUUUUGUAAACAAUUUCUAAAGGCGGUUGGAUUCGUUGACUACCUCAGAAUAGUGAGGUGUCGGUUCGUAUAGAAAUCGGUUUUUAGAGAUGAUCUCUGAAAAUAGAUUAUGAAAAAAACUAAAAUAACUUAUGAUACGAAGAAGAAGGGAGAGAGUAGUUCGUAUCAUAAGUUAUUCUAGCUUUUUCAUAAUAUAUUUUCAGAGAUCACAUUGACAUAUGAGGACAUGUACUAACACUUAUCGUGUCUUCAUUAGUCGAAUCAACUAUUAUGUCGAAUCCAUGUGUUAGUUCAAAAAAGGAUUGUAAGUAGUGUGAGCACAUCUCAGUGUCACAUCAAUUACUUCAAUCCAUAUUUUUUUUCUAGUUUUUUCCUUAAAAUAAAGAAAAAUUAUUUGACUUAUCAUGAUUAAUACUCCUCUGCUUCUAAAUUAUAGUAUGUUUUGUUUUUCCUAUGUGUCUAGAAAAGCCAAAAUGUCAUAUAAAUUACAAUCUAAAUUAUAAGGCGUUGUGGUUUUCCUAUGUAUCAAAAAGUGGAAAAAUGCAAAAUCAGUCUCAGAACGCUAAAGUUAUUUUUAUCACAUUUUAAUAUCCAUCCAAGUUCUAAAUUAUUUUUUUCAUCCUUUCAAAAUUAUCCCUAAAAUAUGAUAAUAGCACAUUAAACAAAUGGGAAUAAGAUUUUAUCCAUUGGUGUUCAUCUCUGUCUAGAGUUGGGGAACUAUUAGCAUAAUAGUACGUCCACAGAUCUUCAUAGGCUAAAAACAUCCACAUAAGAGCAUCUCCAACAUUGAGGCCUUGAGAAAAAAAAGUAUAGGUCUAUCAAAGCCUCUACUCAAGUCCUUAGAUUUGGAUGGCUCUUAAAUCAUCCUAUCGACACUCAUUCCUAGAAACUCUCCACCUGGCCCCUACUUGGCAAUUGAAGCUGUUUCUCACAAGUGCGAGUCCUCUCCUUUGGCACGAGAUCCCACUCCUCGCGCGCACAACUCCCUUUUCCCGAGGAGCCCCUACGGCAGUGGGCACCUCCCCCAGUGACCCAUCGAGCGGCUCCCACGACAAGCCCGUGCUGGAGCGGAUCCCUAUAAGGUCGCGGUGAGUGGUCUGCUCCACAAGUGAGCCCCUACGGGUCCCGUAGCGAGCGGUUCAAAUCCUAGUGAGGCUGCAGCGAGGCAUGCGCCUAGGCGAGAGGCCUCUUGCAAGCAGCUAUGGAUCCCGGCGAGGCCACACCGAGGCCUGACCCUGCAGGAGCAGCUCCCCCGGUAUGGCCUGCCCCUACGGGAGAGGAUCCGACAGCGGCCUCAUGGAGACCGAUGUAUAGUAGCCUUCUCAUAGCAAAGAUCGAUUCCCCCGCGAGGCGUGCCCCUACAGGGCAGGAUCUGCUGGCAGCCUCGAUAAGACUGAUGAUAGAAAAUGACAAUUGGGUCAGUGUCUCUCAAAAAAAAAGAUUUGAGGGCUUUUGUUGGAGUAGAUAAAAAAACUAGGCCUUAAAAAAUGAGGGGAAGCCCUUAAAUAAAAAAUACUAGCUCUAAUUUGAGAUAUUAUUAUAUUUGAAUCAAUCUUUGUGUAUUGAAGUGAAUUAUGAUAAAAACUACUCUCUUCGUUCCAAAUAAAAAAUAUUUUAGGUUUUUUAUACGUAGCUUUAUCUAUGUACUUAAAUAUACAUUUUAUUUAGAUAUAUAAUAAAAAGGUGUCUCGAAAACUAAGGAUCUUAUAAUUUAAAACAAAAGAAUUACUUAUUUUUCACCUUAAUCUACUCCAAUAUAUAUGGACUAAGAUAAAUACAUGUGCAUUCAAAUAGUGUCUUAGUUUAUUUAAGUUUAGUAUUUUAAAAGUAAUGUAGAGUUAAACAUAUAGUUAGUCGACCUCCAACUUUAAAACAUCACUUAUUUAUCACCAGAAGAGUUAAAUACAUGAGCGGUCUCUGGACUUAUCAAAAGCUAAAACUUAGCUGAACAAACUUUAGAAAUAUACUUCUGGAUCUCUAAACUUGUUAAGUAGCAGACUGCACAUUGUUAAAUGGUGCACUAUAGAGUAUAUAGACUAUAUCAAACUGCGGCGUACCACUUAAUAAUAAGUUUAGAGAUCCAUAAAUAUGUUUUCAAAGUCUGCGCUCCUAAAUGACAUUCUUUGAUAAAUUUGAGAGCGGUUUAUGUAUUUAACUCUAAUUGAAUGGUAUAAUAAGACUUGUGAAGAAGAUUUUGCUUUGACGCUUUUCGUCGAAUAGCUUGCAAACACCUUUUCCCACCUCGAGCGACGCCGUCGCGCGAGAGCCGCCCGCCAGUCUCCACGCUCUCUAGCCGUCGACGCAUGAAGAAGCCGCCAUUCCUGUGCCUUGCUUCGCUGAUGCGCUGCAGAAACCGGAAAGGGACUUUCCUGUCCAUGGCGCAUGAGUUGGGGUGGCCGCGGAAUGCUGCCACGAGAUGAGCUCGCUCCGGACAGAAUUGCGGCAGAGAUGCCGCCGGUAUCGAGCUCCUUUAGUUCGUUUGGUCUUGGUGGCGCCCUUUACAUGAUUACAUCCAUCAGUGACACCAGGGUAACGAAACAAUGUUCUAUUUGUCCUAUGUAGUACGACUUCAGAUUCAGGUUAGGUUUACAUUGCUUGAUAUAGAUAGGAAUUUUUUUGGGUCAGCGAACUUGUGAGGGAGUUGAAUCUAGAGAGUGGGCUAUCUGCCUGGUUGUGUGACAUUGCAGGUAUUAGGAAGUUUUUUGGCAAGGCUCUUAAAUGUUCAUGGAAAGGCCACUAAAAUACAAUGUUAAAAGUAUCUCUUCUGAAAAAGAAGCAUGCAGAUAUUUGUAGUUUGUAUCCGCAUGACAGUAAUCCUUAAAAUUGCAAGGUUGUGAACUGAAUUAAUUCGUUACCAAUCACUUUGUUGACUAUAUUUGUUUUUUUUUUGGAGGUUGAAAUUCAGGUUUGGAAUUAAAAAUCUUUACCGGACAAGUCAAAUCGCAACAUAUUUGGUUAUUUUAGUUAGAUUCAGAUCCUUCAGUUCAAUCUAUUCUUGCACAUCUGUGUGGUAUAUUUAGUAUGACUUGUUCUCAUUAAUUCAUAUUGCAGGCGGUUGUGGGGCUUGUGUUGUCCUUAUAGCAAAGUAUAACCCAAAGACGGAUGAAGUGACUGAAUUUACAGCAAGUUCAUGCCUGACACUUCUUUACACAUUAAAUUUCUGUUCGGUUAUCACUACUGAGGGUCUGGGGAAUUCCCGGGAUGGCUUUCAUGCUGUUCAGGAAAGGAUGUCGGGGUUUCAUGCUUCUCAGUGUGGCUUCUGCACUCCUGGAAUGUGCAUGUCUAUUUUCACUUCCCUUAUCAAUGCUGACAAAUCCAAUAGUCCUGAACCACCAAAGGGGUUCUCAAAACUAAAAGUAUCAGAAGCAGAAAAGGCUUUCUCUGGCAACAUGUGCAGAUGCACUGGUUACCGUCCAAUUGUUGAUGCCUGCAAAAGUUUUGCAUCAGAUGUUGACUUGGAGGAUUUGGGCCUUAAUAUAUUCUGGAAGAAAGGUGAUAAGAACCCAGAUUUAGUGAAUUGCCAAGUUACACCCUUGGUGGCGGAAUCUGCACCUUUCCUGACUUUCUAAAAACUGAGAUAAAAUCUUCACUUGAUCAUCUGAGUAGUCCUUGUAUUGCAGUCUCCAGGGAGGGUUGGUAUCAUCCAAGAAGUAUCAAAGAAUAUUAUGAGUUAAUAAAUUCUUGUUUAUUUAGUGACUCAGUCAAAGUGGUUGUUGGGAAUACUAGCAGUGGUGUACCAGGAUACAAGGAUCAAGACCUCUAUAGUAAGUAUAUUGACAUAGGAGGCAUUCCAGAACUUUCAAAUAUCAUACGGAGGGAGUCUGGCUUUGAAAUUGGAGCAGCUACACCAAUCUCUAGGACCAUUGAGAUACUUGAGGAAGAAUGUGAAUCUACAUCCUCUGCAAAGGGAAGCGUGGUUUUCAGAAAACUUGCGAACCACAUGAGCAAAGUUUCUACACCUUUUGUUCGUAACACAGCUAGUAUUGGAGGAAACAUAGUUUUGGCACAAAAAUUCCCAUUUCCAUCAGAUAUUGCAACCAUACUCCUCGGUGCUGGUGCAACAGUUUGUCUUCAGGUAGUUGCAGAACGAAGACAAAUUACUUUGGAAGAGUUCCUAGAGCAGCCUCCUAUAGAUGCUACUACUUUACUCCUGAGCAUAUUUAUUCCACAGUGGAUCCCAGAUUCUGGGACAAAGACAAGUUUGUUGUUUGAAACUUACAGAGCAGCUCCUCGUCCUCUUGGCAAUGCUGUUUCAUAUGUAAAUUGUGCUUUCUUGGGGCAUGCUUCUGUGGAUGAACAAUCAGAUACUCUUGUAUUGAGUAAUCUGCGGUUGGCUUUUGGUGCAUAUGGAACGGAACAUGCUAUUAGAGCAAAGAAGGUGGAGGAAUUCCUUACUGGUAAAGCACUCACUGCUUCGGUUGUACUUGGUGCAAUUCAAUUACUUAGAGAAACGGUUGUACCAAUGGAGGGAACAUCACAUCCUGAAUAUAGAGUCAGUGCAGCUGUUGGAUUUCUCUUCAGUUUCCUAUCUCCGCUUUCUAAAUGCAUCCCAGAUCCGGGAAAGUCUCUGACCAGUAGUUCUGCUGGUUCAGCAGAUACAGAUGAUGUCCAUAAUCUGCCAUUAUCAUCACGUCGAGAAACAUUUUCCAGUGACGAGUAUAAACCAGUCGGUGAGCCGAUUAAGAAGUACGGUGUUGAACUUCAAGCUUCAGGUAUGUGGUUACAUUAUAUCACUUGAAUUUUUAGUGUUGUUGUAAAGAUAUUUUCCAGAAUCUCUUUGCAGAGCUAGAUUUGAAGUUUCUGUUGUGCUAUAUACAGGGGAGGCAGUAUAUGUAGAUGACAUUCCUGUUCCAAAGAAUUGCCUCUAUGGAGAAUUUAUUUACAGCACACAACCCCUUGCUUAUGUCAAAAGUAUAAAAUUCAAAUCUUCUUUAGCAUCAGAGAAGAUCGUCUCUUUUGUUUCUGCAAAGGAUAUUCCAAGUGGAGGACAAAAUAUUGGAUCAUCCUUCACGUUUGGUGACGAACCACUAUUUGGUUAUCCAAUUGCUGAGUAUGCUGGUCAAGCUCUAGGCAUUGUGGUACUUACCCUUUCAUGUUUGUAGUGGAACCACUCACAGGAAUUAUUUCUCUUAAAAAUCUCUUGAUAAAAUACAAUUAUGAAUAUUAAUGACCAUAAUCAAUAUUGCUAAAUCGUUACCUCUACCUCAGAUUGCAGAAACACAGAGAUAUGCUGACAUGGCAGCCAAGCAGGUUAUUAUUGAAUAUGACACAGAAGAUUUGAGCCCAGCGAUCAUAACUGUGGAGCAAGCAGUGGAAAAGAGUAGCUACUUUGAUGUCCCCCCAGAAUUGUAUCCUAAAGAAGUUGGUGAUGUUUCCAAGGGCAUGGCAGAAGCUGAUCACAAGAUCCCAUCAACAGAAGUAUUUUAGUUCAACAACUUUCCAGAAUUGUUAAUAAUUUAAUUUCACUUGCAUCAUAAAAGAAUGAAGGGAAAUUAAAGCAUGCAGUUCUAUGUGCUCCAAAAUUUUAUUUUUUCAUCCUGUGUAGAGUCUGCUUUAAGCUAUACUCUACAUACUAUUCCACUAAUACAUCAAUAGACAAAGAAACCUGAUACAUUUGAGAAGCCAGAAGUUGAGCUAAUCUGCCUGAGUUUUUUUUUUUUUUUGAUAAAUAUCUGCCAGAGUUGAAUACUGUCUAAACCACUACUUCAGAAAGUUCGGAUUACUGAGUCACUUUUGUAAUGGUUACUUCAAAGUAAUUGCUAACAGUAGCUACUUCGAAGUUAAGAUUGAAGUAACAAUUACUAAUAGUAAUUCUCUGUUUUGUUUUGAGGUGAUUUAGGUGUAGAACAGGACUUGAUUUAGAUUAAUAACCAACUUUCGUGGUAUAUGUAUUGCUUGAUUCCAUGAAAUUUAUCUGCACACUGGAGUUGCAAUGCUUGUACAGCAGUACACCCCACCAACCAAAGUACCAAAGUUAUUUCCUGCUAGAUGAUUUUUUAUAUCCAACUUUGACUUGAAAUAUAUACAUGUUAAAAAAUAUAUAAGUUUGAAAUUGCAUAGUAAGACCCAUCAAUGUACUUUUCACUAGUAACUAUCCUACUUCCCGUUUCAUGGAAGCUAAGAGAGGAUAUCUCAUGUUGCUUUGAUGACUGCAGGUAAAACUUGCCUCUGAGUACUACUUCUACAUGGAAACACAGACAGCACUAGCAGUUCCAGAUGAGCAUAACACUUUGGUAGUCUACAGUUCGACACAGUACCCUGAACUUGCACAAAGUGUCAUAGCAAGGUGCCUAGGUAUUCCAUUCAGCAAUGUGCGUGUCAUUACAAGAAGGGUUGGAGGAGGUUUCGGUGGAAAGGCAUUCAGAUCAUUCCAAGUGAGAAUAAACAAAACUAGAUAAUAAUAACCAAAAUCUUACAUUUUAUGAAAAUUAAUUAUUUUUAGUAUAAAACCUUUAUCCUGGAGUAUAAUUUAUUGUACUUUUGUAUCUUUUUUUAACUUAUGAUGAGGUCAUUGCAUGUUUAGACCAGGACUAGUGUCAAUUUUUUUUUUAUAUAAAAAUCCUGAUUAUUCUUCAGUUAAGAGCUUUUUCCUUAGGGACAUUGAAAGUUUACAUUUAUAGUACAGAUGAAAAAGUUAUUGUUCGGUUUUCUAUAUAUACAGUUUUAAACUUUGGAAAUUGUUAAAUGCAAUAUUUUUUCUACUUUAUUAUUUUGUUAACUGCGUUGUUUGUGGAAAAUAAAUGUUGUAUUGAUAGUUUGUAGUAUGAGGUUUGAUUAUGUAGGAAUCAUGUUUUCCGACGAAAGCCAUUUAGGCUGAAUGGACAAUAUAUUCAUCAAACCAUAUGCUUUUACACCAUGCAAAUGCAUCUAACCCUAGGGCAAAAUCAAUUUAAGUUUCAAUGUACUUUAGAAGAUCUCUGGCAACUAUUUUAGACUUAAGUUGACAUAUUUGAUAUUUUCAUCUGUGGUGAUUGCAUAUGACAAUCUGCUAUCAAUAUCAUGAAAUCAUAAAGACCUAGUACAUUACCAUCUGUUUCUUACAUAUGGUACAUGCUUGUGCAGGUUGCAACGGCAGCUGCACUCUGUGCGUACAAGUUACAACGCCCUGUACGAAUGUACCUUAAUCGCAACACUGAUAUGGUUAUGAUUGGUGGUAGGCACCCAGUGAAAGCUCAUUAUUCUGUCGGAUUCAAGUCUGAUGGGAAAAUUACAGCCUUACAUCUAGAUUUAUUAAUUAACGCUGGGAUAUCUCCAGAUGCAAGCCCCAUAAUACCAGGCACUAUUAUAUCUAGUGUCAAGAAGUACAACUGGGGUGCUCUGUCAUUUGACAUCAAGCUCUGCAAAACAAAUAAUUCAUCUAAAUCUGUUAUGCGUGCUCCUGGAGAUACACAAGGCUCUCUAAUUGCAGAUGCUGUAAUUGAGCAUGUCGCGUCUGUCCUGUCAGUGGAUGCGAACAGCGUGAGGGAAAAGAAUUUUCAUACCUAUGGCACUCUUCAGUUGUUCUACCCAGAUAGUGCGGGUGAAGCUUCUACGUACACAUUGCAUUCUAUUUUUGAUAGGCUGGUCUCAACUUCAAGCUACCUGGAUCGAGCUGAAUCCAUAAAGGAAUUUAAUAGUAAGAACAAGUGGCGGAAACGUGGCAUCUCUUGUGUACCCCUCAUUUUCAAAGUAGAGCCAAGGCCGGCCCCAGGAAGGGUUUCUGUGCUCAAUGAUGGCUCCAUAGUAGUCGAGGUUGGUGGAAUUGAAAUCGGACAAGGUCUGUGGACGAAAGUACAGCAGAUGACUGCUUUUGCUCUGGGAAAAUUAUGGCCUGAUGGAGGUCAAAGUCUUCUUGAGAGAGUGCGUGUUCUACAGGCUGACACCUUGAACUUAAUACAAGGUGGACUUACUGCUGGCAGCACUUCUUCUGAAUCUAGUUGUGCAGCCACCCUUCAAGCAUGCAAUAUGUUGUUUGAUAGAUUAAAGCCAGUCUUGGAUAGGCUGCAGCAGCAAUCAGAAAAUGUCUCAUGGGAUACUUUGAUUUCCCAGGCAAGUUUAUCCUCCUCUAGUUUGUGCUCAUGCUUUGUACAAUACUAUUUCCUGCUGUAGCAGCAAUCAGAAAACAUCCUGUAAUGUUUCCAUGCAGGCCUCGAAAGAUAAUGUUAAUUUAUCUGCAAGUGCGUACUGGGUACCUGGCCAAGUUUCUAAUAAGUACCUUAACUAUGGAGCUGGUAUAAGUGAGGUGUGCCAAAAUUCUCAAGACUAAUUUACAUCUGUGCAGUAAAAUCAUGUUUGGAUGUCUUCUAGGUGAUAUACUCUUUCUAUUCGAAAUCUUCUAAAAAGUGCAGGUGGAGAUUGAUCUUCUUACAGGAGCAAUUACUUUAAUAAGGGGCGAUCUUGUGUAUGACUGUGGGAAGAGCUUGAACCCUGCCGUAGACUUAGGACAGGUUGGCUGUCGAUCCUUUUAUGCUUCCUAUCUUAAUCAAUUUUAAUUUUAAAUGUUGUUCAUUGAUUUAUAGAGUAUAGACCAUAGUUUUGGACUUGAUGAGGGUAAUAUAAUUUAAGUAUAUGAGAAAUAUGAAGCACAUUUUCUGUUAAUUGUUUGAUAUGUAUUAGGCAUUUUCAAAUGAAAAUGUGUUAACCGCUAGGAAUUUAAUUUUAUAUUUGCAAACAUUCAAUUUAUUGCAGGUGUAGUUUUGAAGUGUUGCAUGUUUGUUUUUGUCCUUGAACUGCGUAUCUUUAAAGAGAGAGAGAGAGAAAUAAUAGACCCUUACAACGCAAUCCCCAUAAUCUCAGUUAAGUGGGGCUGCUAAAAGAGAAUAAAAAUUAUCACCUGAUACAGAAUGACUGAAUGUUGUAUGUUUUCAUAUUUUGCAACAUUCAGUCUUGGUGACAUUUGCAAACCCUGUAUCUUCCUGAUUAGUAAUGUGAUGGAUAUGCUAACAAUGAGAUGCAACUAACUGAUAGAACUAACGUUGAGCUAUUUGGGCGUUUACUCUGCCCUGUUGUGCUCCAUACUGAUCUCUUGAACACAUAACUACAGCUAAAUACUGGCACAGGUUUUGCAACAUAGCUAGUGCCUUAUUGGGCUCUUGUACAUUAAUUUGAUGGCACCAUAUCUUAUCCAUGGAAUUUAUCUUGCAGAUUGAAGGUUCCUUUAUACAGGGAAUUGGUUUUUUCGUAUAUGAAGAGUAUAUUACGAACAGUGAUGGCCUGAUGAUUAGCAACAGCACAUGGGACUACAAGAUCCCAAGUGUGGACAUAAUCCCAAAGCAGUUUAAUGCUGAGGUGCUGAACACUGGAUACCAUAAGAACCGUGUGCUUUCUUCAAAAGGUAGUCACUUUAGUUAUUUCCUCAUUGCAUUGUAGAUUGAAAUAGGCUUGGUAGAUACCAAUCAUUUUGUACUGUUUCUGCCAGCUUCUGGUGAACCUGCCUUGGUUCUUGCCUCAUCCGUUCAUUGUGCACUGAGAGAAGCUAUCCGAGCAGCGAGAGUGGGGUUUGCUAACAGCACUGUAUCUGGAUGCUCACCGCUGGAGUUUCAGAUGGAUGUCCCAGCACCAAUGACAGUGGUGAAAGAAUUAUGUGGUUUAGAUAUUGUCGAGAAGUACUUAGAACGUCUAUCUACCUAUGAACGUGUGGCUGGGGCGUAAUCUAAUCUGAAGUCAUGUUAUCUCAUAAAAAAGUGUGGUAUCAGCCUAUUGUUUGUUUGUAUACAAUAAAACGUGCCGCGCGGCGUGGGCUCUGUGUGUGUGUGGGCACAAUAUUUGAAUGUUUUCAACUAUCUGUAUUCAUGACUCCUUAUUAAAACUACUGGAAGUGGUUAUGUUUAAGUAAUCUAUUGUUAUGAAGUUUGAGUGCUGGUCAAUUUAUAAAAUAUUCUCCUGCAGCUUAUAGUUAAAAAAGCUGGAAAAUCAGAGCUUUUUUAUUCGAAUGAACGUACAUUUCAUUACUUAUACGAUUAAAGGUUUAGUAUUCUCUCUGUAAUUUUAAUUUUUAAUUAAUCAGGUUUUUUUUAGAGCCAUGAAAAUACUUUAAUGUCUUUGUAUUAGAAUAUAGAAAAAUCCUAUUAUAACGCACGUGUUAAGCAUCAUUCAAAUAGUAUGCCAUUUGCGUUUCAUAAUCGUGGCAUGUGUAUGCUCAGCCUCAAGCACUUAGGCCUUGUUUAGUUCACCCCAAAAACCAAAAACUUUUCAAGAUUUCCUGUCACGUUGAAUUUUGCGGCACAUGCAUGGAACAUUAAAUAUAGAUGAAAACAAAAACUAAUUGUACAGUUUGUCUGUAAAUCAUGAGACGAAUCUUUUAAGUCUAAUUACUCUAUGAUUGGAUAAUAUUUGUCAAAUAAAAACAAAAGUAUUACAAUAUCAAAAUCCAAAAACUUUUUAAUUAUACAUGUAGGCAUCUCAGGUAGCUGCUGCCUCGCAAAACCAACGAAAAGAAAUUGCUUAUUGCACUGCACGCCGUCUUCACUCUUCAGUCUGCCCCUCAACUGUUGUGACUGCUUGAAAUGAAAUACUGUAGAGGCUUUCCUCCUGCAUUCACUAGAUCUUGGCAACCGCGCAUGUGUUGCUUUGUGCCCCGAUUUGGUGAACCAAACACGUAUUAGACCUUGUUAAGUUUUCAAAAAAAAUUUGUAAUUUUUUUCAAAUUCCCGUCACAUCAAAUCUUGCAGCAUAUGCAUAAAGCAUUAAAUAUAGAUAAAAGAAAUAACUAAUUACACAGUUUAUCUGUAAUUUGCGAGAUGAAUCUUUUGAGUCUAGUUAGUCCAUUAUUGGAUAAUAUUUGUCAAACAUAAACGAAAGUGCUAUAAUACUCAUUUUGCAAAAAAUUUUAGAUGCCUUGACCAUCGAACGACCAUGUUUGCCCUCUUCCUCUGAGUGACUUUGAUCUGUGUUGAACUCAACUCGUCUUAUUUGCAUGUCUUUAACAAAAUUUAUUGAACUUAUAAGAACCAUGCAGUGAGAAGUUUAUCUGAACAAGCCUUCUAAUGCAUAACGGAGGAGCCACAACUAUUGAAAUUUUACUCCACAUACAAGAAAGUCUGCCUACUCUACAUCUGGGGCGUGUUUCCGAGGGUAAUUGGAGACGGCCAGGCCUGCCCCCAAGGCCCAGGCCGGGGUUAGCCAGUCCAAAUCGCUGCAAGCAGCCUUGUUUGUGCAUCUGCACAAAACAGGCCUGGUCCAGAGGAGAAUAUGUUUAUCAAUAAGGCCGCAGCCUGGCUUAUCAUCCAACUACCUCCAACUACCAAAAUGAGAUUGUGUUUGUGCACCAGGUCAGAGCCAGGCCCAUUGAUAGAUUGCACAAAUAUGACAAAGCAUGCAAUCCAAAGACUUCAGAUUUAAAUUAAAUAAAGCCUCAGUUAGUAAGACUCAUCAUUAACUCAGUUCUUGGCAUUACUUCAAAGCUAGUGGAUCAGCUUAAUGUUCCUUCAAAGGCAACCAUAACAGCAACAGAAUACAAACCAAAUGAGCAGCACCAACAGGCAUGACUGGACAGGUGCUUGCAGCUCAAGCAUGUACAGGUGAAGGAAAAUAAACAUGAUCCACACAUAAUUGUGCCCAGUUACAAUAUCAAAUUUGGGCCUUAGUUACAACAUCAUUGGCCAUUGAAAUUCAUGAAGUUCAGCAGACAAUAUUUAAUCUGAAAGCUAGAAAAGCACCAUCAGCUUCCUCCCUGGUUUUGAAACCAUGAUACACGUUAUUCUCCCCUCCAGCAAGAGCUAGGCAUAGUUGUGUCCAGUUAGAGUAGACACCUGGGUGUCUAUCUCAGUAUACAACAUACCAGGUCAUCAUGGAAUAACUGCAAGACCUACUUAUUUGAAGGACAAGUGUAGGGACAUAGAAAAGCAUGGCCAGCAAAAGCACAAAAAGAAAUAAAGCAAUAGGAAGGAAGAUGUUCAUUCUUGCAACAGCUUGCUUGGGCUCCUUGCCUUGUGGAUUUGGAAACACUUUGGUUUCCAGGACAUCUUCAUCACAGCCCAUGUACUCCAAGAAAUAGGCUACUGUCUCUUCCUUUGUUAGAAACCCUUGAUAGUUGUUCUUCUUAAAACCAGCAACCUGGGCAUUGCAGUCAGCCCAGUUUUUAUACACUCCAGGCUUGUAGCCUUUGUACACAACAUACCAAGUCAUGAUCCUUCAAAAAAAAGUAAAGGACCAAACAUUUAGUAGACAUCAAUAUAAAUUUCAAUUGUGCCUGUCUUUGAUAUGAAUCUGACAUAGCCUCAGUCAUAACCCAAAAAUUUUGAACAACUAUGAAUGCGGCAUUGAAGAGCUUCAGUUUGGUUUUAACCAAAUGGAAGGUCUUCCAUGCCGCAACCGUAUGUUGCUUUAGAACUACUCCAUCAGACAUCAUAGGCAACUAAUUAACCACAUAAUAGGGGCCUCAGAUCUUAAUGUUUUUGCACAAUUUUUACUUAAGACAAUCAUCCUUGGUAGCAACUAUCAUGAGACAAAAGAACUAUUUCAUGAGUACCAUGGGGGCACGAGACACGCCAUCCUCAGCCAUCAGGUGGUAGGUCCAAGACCUGUUGCAUUGGGGAUGGAUGUAUCUCAAGGCCUGAUGAUACACAUGAAUGAAUGAUAGCCAUACAAAACAACAACAAAUAAACAUCUAAAGCCACCUUAGAUUGUUAUGUAUGUCAUCAUAGGUCUAAUGUAUGUCAUGAUCCCUUAAACUAUUUGAAAGGACCAAACUUUUAGAACAAACAACCAAAACAAUGUACACAGAUUUGAAAGAUAGCAUCUGAUGGCCUCACACUUUGGUUCUCAAGGUUUCUGUAAAGAUUAGGUAGUAAUUGUUGACGGUCCUUAAGUAUCAAAUUUAGUUAUCAAAUAAACAAAGAAAAAGAUCCAAAUGAAAUCAACAUCUAGACAUAGGGUUUUAUCUGACAGAAUUCCACGAGUUUUGGUGUUUGUCUAUUUUUGCAGGGGGUUAUCAGAGAAUACGGAAGAAAGGCCCACACGUCGGGAUUACAUAGAGAUAUUAACGUGCCGCGCAAUUAUCUUACAUCUAGAAGACUCCAGAAGCCACGGGAAGAAAGCGGAGGCCAAACGGGGCCAGAGGUAGGGCGCCCGCCCUCCUGCCCUGGGCGCCCGCCCCUUCUCUGAGUCCAAUCAGGACUCUGUUUCGUGGGAGAUCUCCACCGACCUAAAGGAUCAAGGAUAACCGUUCAAUCAAUGUCGGUUUGAUCCAACGGCCCAUAUUCACUUGAAGAGACUAUAAAACCAGACCCCCUGGCCCCUGGAGGAGAGAGCCUCUCAACCCUAAUUCAUUAUUCCUCAAGAGAGAAGAAGCCUCUGAUCAAGAUUAGAGCCACCACAUCAAUUAGACAUCUAGAUUAGCAUAGCUACAUAGGAUUAGAACUAGAAGGAGUCAAUCUUCGAUUGGUUUCCGGAUCUGUCAAGAGGAUUCUUGGUAAUUCUCUAAUUGUGCUUCUAAUUGCUUUCUAAUUAUCUUUGUUCUUCAAUAUUAUGAAUAUGACUUUGUUCUACUUCAAUAUAUUGCUUAUGACUUUGCUCUACUUGUUUAUAUUCAAGAUUAUAUUGUUCUUAGUUUAUCAUAGUUAUGUACUUGGCUUAGUUAGAUUGGAUCUAUAUACAUUCUUAGGAUCGUAUAGCGUUUAUCCAUUGGAUCCAUGGGUAAAUGAUAGAUAUUGUGUAGGCGUGGUGCUUAUACCGUAUUUAUCUGCGAUUGUACCCAAUAUGCCAGAUCGUGGGGUAGUUCGUGAUAGUGACAGCUUCAUUGAUUCUUAUAUAGUCCCCCUCUCGUGUAUUGGGCUGGCAGAGCAAUAUUAUUACAGGGGAGUGAUUGCUAUGUUUCUCAUUUACCUUGCUAAUAUCACUAUACAUGGGCAUAGUCUUGUCUCACAAUGAUUGCUAAGUAUGCUUGCACUAAUUAUGAUAAUGCUAGACUAUAUAGUUGAGAAUAACUUAGGAAAUAUUCUUGUAGUUCGUUCUAAUUCCAUGCUAAUGACUUUCUAGAGUAUCUAAUUGAGGUGCUUAUCAUAUUUAUUAUGUGGCUAGAUCAGAUUAAUUAUCUUUGUCACUAUUUAUUACUUCAUAUAUCUUUUAUGUGACACUUAUCCCUAUAUGAAAGAGUUAGAUAAAUGUUCUCAAUUAUAGAUGCAAUGAUAGAUGCUCAAUCUCAUGUUCUAUUCUGUAAUCAAUGUUGAUGAUUAUUAGUCCCUUCCCAGUGGUAAAAAUAUAAAUAACGAUACCUGGAAUACUUCCCGGUUAAAAUGCUACAUCGGUAUUAAUCUGUGCGCUUGCAGAUCCCAUUCAUUAUUUAUUUAGAAGAGCAAUUGCAUAUUUCAAUACCGCGUCUCUCAUGUCAUGCUGGGGAUGACAACUUGGCUUAAGUGGUGUGAGGGAUAGGUUUGGCAUUUUUUUGGCACCGUUACUAGAUUUAGAAAACUGUCUACUUUUGGUAAUGAUGUUAAGAAUAUCCAACAAGCAUUUUUGGCGCCGUUCCCGGGGAAGGUUGAUUACUAAUCAGGGAUGGAAUAAAGGAUUUUGAGUUAAUCAUUCGCAUCACUAAUAUGAUUGAGCUUAUCUAUUCUCUCAUACAGUUUUACCCCGAUAUUUUCUAUUUUUACCUUAUGCAGGGGAAUGUAUGAAUAGAAGACAUCUUCCAUGAAAUUUUAUUGACAAUCCCGAAGCAUUAUUCAAGAAGACGAGAGCCAAGCUCAAGAAGAGAUCAUCAACACUUCAGCAAGAAGCUUCAUCCAAUCAAGAAGAUCACCGGAACUUGUCUUCAGAGUUCGAAGCCAUGGCGAACAAAUCAAUCCGCGAGUUCUCAACUCCCACUACGGACAACAUCCGCACUGGACCUGCUAUAGAGAUCGAUGGCAACUUUGAGCUCAAGCCUGGACUUAUCAACAUGGUGAAAUCCAACCAGUUCUGUGGGAAGGCACAUGAAGAUGCUAGUGCUCAUCUACAACACUUCCUGGAGAUUUGCAACACAUUCACCAUAUUAGGAGUUUUCAGAGAUGCUAUACUACUUCGCCUCUUCCCAUUCUCACUGUUAGGGAGAGCGAAGCAGUGGUUCUACGCUACAAAGGAGAAGAAUACUACGUGGGCACUCUGCUCAACAAACUUCCUGGCUAAGUUCUUUCCCAUGGGCAAGACCAAUGCUCUCCGUGGGAAGAUUACAAGUUUUCAGCAAUAAAAUGACGAAUCUGUUCCAGAAGCAUGGGAGCGCUUUCAAGACUACAUCCUAGAAUGUCCCCAUCAUGGAAUGGAGAGUUGGCUAUUGAUGCAGACGUUUUAUCAUGGGCUCGGCAACAGUGCCCGAGAAACCAUGGAUGCUGCAGCUGGAGGAGCAUUCUUAUCACUUACUAUAUCACAAGCCACAGCUCUUGUGGAGAAGAUGGCGUCCAACCAAAGCUGGAAUGAAGAAAGGACCUAGACACGCAAGAAAGGUGGAGGUAUGCAUCAGCUCAAGAAGGUAGACAUGCUGUCUGCAAAGCUAGACCUGCUCAUGAAGAUGCUCGACGAUAGAGCUGGAGAUAAGAAAGAAGUUAUGCACAUCUACGACUCUCACAUAACUUGUGAGGAGUGUGGAGAUACUGGACACUCAUGCAAUCACUGCCCUGAGAUACUUGAGGAUGUAAACUACAUCAACAACAACAACAACUACUACUACUACCGUCCUCAACAAAGUCAAGGUUGGAAUCAACAGAGGCCUAACUACUCUGGUAAUUAUCAAGGUAACAAUUCUUACAACAAUAAUAAUAAUUUUCCACCUUUGAGAGAGUUAGUGUCUAAUCAAGGAAAGCUAAUGGAUAAUUUAUCUAAGAAAUUGACAUCUAAUGAUAAAAUGCUAGAAAAUAUAAAUAAUAGAAUGGAUAAUUUCUCUACUGCCAUCAAGAAUCAAAUUAGCUUUAAUAAAAUGAUUGAAUCUUAGUUAAAUCAAAUAGCUGCUGCUGUUCCUGCUACUAACCCCGGUAUACCAUCACAACCGGAAGGAUUAGAAUCUGCAAAUCUUGUAGACAUGUUUGAUGCAGGUAAUAAUUAGCCCCGUCACUGAAUUCACUACUGACCUUCUGCCGGUCAAGAGAGGAGAUCCAGGACGUCCCGUCAUCCCGAUCUCCAUCGGCAUGGUGGACGUCCCAGAAGCACUCUGCGACUUUGGCUCCAGUGUCAACAUUAUACCCAGGGUACUCUAUGAAAAAUUCUUUACAUAUCCUUUGUUAGAGACAACCAUGUGUUUGCAGUUUGCAGAUCAGGCAAUAAGUUUUCCAAAAGAAAUAGUGAAGAACCUUUGUGUCCGAGUUGGUACCUUAUAUGCCCCAGCAGACUUCGUAGUGGUAGAGACCGGUAAUGAUGAGAGAGCACCUAUCAUCUUAGGGAGGUCAUUCUUGAACACCGCGGGAGCUAUCAUCUACGCUAGAGCUGCCAAGAUCAGUUUCUACAUCAAAGGGAGGAAGGAAACAUUUUUCUUCAAGAACAAGACUACACAAAUUCCAGAUCAAUCCAGACGUGAAUCAAGGAAGAGGACCAACAGGAGGAACAGGAACAAGCAAGUGUGGACCGAGUCAGCGAAGAUGGUCACUACAGUUCAUGGAGGCCAAGAUCACCAACUUAAGUCACCGUUUUUGACCAAGAAGGACGACCCAGGAAUGCCAAGCAUUUACUGCUCCAUAAAUGGAUACAACUUCUACAAGACGACUUGUGACACCGGAUCGGGCGUCAACAUAAUGGCCGCAGUCACCUAUCGGCUCUUGUUCGGAACCAUGCCCCUGAAACCAACAUACAUUCAGCUCCAGAUGGCAGAUCAGACGUUUCGAGAAGUUAAAGGAACAGUAACUGAUGUUCCAGACAAAAUAGACGAUCAUUUUGUCUACACAGACUUUCAGGUUAUUGACAUGGGAGAAGAUGAGUACGAUCCACCCAUCAUCCUUGGAAGACCGUUCCUCAGCACCGUGAAAGCAAUCAUCUACAUUGGAACUGGAGAAGUCCAUAUGCACUUCCCCUCAGAAAUGGUACGCCGUUAUUUUACUGACCCUAACUAUAUCGUUGAAGAAUCUAAGCAGGUAAGAAAACGACGCAACUGCAACCAGAGGAGGCAGAUCAUCAAGGGCGGAUGAGCAGACUAUGAAGGAGAAGUGAUAAGGUCAGAAGACGUAGAGUUUAAAAAAAAUUAUCCAGAGGAGACCGAAGCACCUAGUCAGGUAUGGAAAGAGAAGAUAACUAUACAUGAAGAGGAGGCACCACUGGAAGUACCGACUCCGCUACCUAACGAAUCCUAGGACAAUUGAGAAAACGGAGAGUCCCGUUCGAAGGACUUAAAAACACCGAACGCCUUGCCAAGAGGUAAACUUGGUAGUUAUCCUUUUCCUUUUAAUUAUUUCAAAUAGUUUACUUAGUUAAUUAUGUUCAUACUAUCCUAAAAAGAAAAUAAAAAUGUGAAAAAACAGUAAGCCCCAUGUGAGUAUACGAGUGGCAUAAAACCCAUAAGUACAUUCACUGUGGUGGCAUAAAAAUAAAAUAAAUAUUUCUUUUCUGCUUUAUAAAAUGAAAAUAUAAAAAAUAGGGAGUAAUAAUCAUUAAGGAGUCUCAACAUGAUAAAGGCUGGAUAUUUAUGCUAACACUUAAUCAGUUCCACAAGCUUUGUUGUCUAUUUGAGCUCCACAAAAUUUAAGAAUCAAGAAGACUAGCAGACGGAGGACAUUCUAAUCGCUGUCAGAAUACUGCUGACUUUCAAAUACACCUCUGCCACCUGCUAGCUACAUCAAGAGAAAUUACGUCAAAAUUCAGCUUGGGGGAGAGCACCCCCAUUUAUCCCGCUAAGUAUUUUUAUCUAUCUAUCUUUAUACUUAUACUAUUUUAGAAUAUAAAUAUACAUAAACCAGGAAAAACCAAAUAAAGAUUUUGUGCUUAUAUAUAUAUCUUUGGCUUAGUGUGUUUAAUAAAUAAAUAAAUUGGCUAUGCUAAUCUGUAUCUAAAUAAAACUCAAGCAUGGAUAUGAUGAAUAGUUGCUCUGCCUAAUUUGCACAUUUUAAGUUCUCUCUCAAGUUUAGACAUAACUAUUAUAAUUUAAAGCUUGCUCUAGACCUAAACUUGUGGGAUGAAAACUUGAUCUGAAGUCUAAGUUGUUAACGGAUACGAUAUGGGAAGGUUGAGCUGCUGUUUAUCUGUUCCUAGAGAUGCUAGAAUUCUGGAGAAUUUUAUCUUUGAAAAUCUUUAAAAUGUUGCAUGAUGAGUUCCUGUAUGAUGAGAGUUUAAAUUCCUACUACAACCAUAUAUACAUGCUUGCUAGACUUUAAGCCAUACAUUUACUAUUUACUGCUUAUGAGCAUUGAGUGUGGUCAAGCUGUGUAGACCCUUAGGAGCUUGUCAUGUGGUUAAAAUCAAGAUUCACUUGCACGUUCACUCACAUAUGCUGCUUCCACUCCGGAAGUACCAUCCACAUAUAUCCACUCAUUUCCAUCUCCAGAAGCACCUAAAAUUAUUCUACUCCUGAUCCGGAAGAGAAUAGCCAAAAAUAUUUCUGUUUUUCCCUUGUGAAAUAAAUGCUCAAGUUAUCUUGUUACUACCACUUGCUAUAUUAUCUCAAGAGAUGAGUGCUCUAAAAAAAGAAAAAAAAUACGAGGAAAUAAAAAGGGGCAAGUGCCCGGAACCUCGAAAGAAAAGAAAAAGUGAGACGAGAGGUAAAAAUGGACAAGUGUCCGACAGUAGAAUUAAGGGUAUAAGAUACCCACCUGAGAGAAAAGAAAAAGAAGAGCAUCUCAUUCUCCUCAAAAUGUUUCAAAAAGCAAAGAAGGUAUGUAUCCCCUCAAAGAGCAAAAGUAGAAUUAGACUUCCACCAUUGUUAUCACCAUCAUCACCAUACACCAUUCAUUCGCCACACAUGCACAUCUUGAUUUGGCUUAUUGAUUUGUUUCUUUGGAUCCAUGGUUUGACUAUGCAAUAAAUGUCUUGUAAGUAUGUAUAUUUUAUCUCCCACCUAUGAGCCCUAGAUAUUAAAGCCUUAUUAGAGUAGGGUGAGAGAGAAGGCAAUGUCACUAUGCCUUAUACCACAAAUACUACAUAUUUUGAGAGAAGGCAUAUACCAUCACUACCUUGGUAAGGAUCCAGAAAUACCACAAAAGAGAGAUAUAAGAGAAUCAUACAAGGAAUCUCUGAGUUUUAUUUGAAAGUCUACAAAAACUCCAGAGCUAUAGGUGAUCAAGAAUAAGAGACAUGACACUUGACUAGACUGUUCUAUCUUUUAACUACUCAAGAUGGAAGUGACGGUUACAAGUCCCAUGGUGAAAGGUAAAGUAAGUAAGUUUUAAGUCUUGACAGUUUACUCUAACUCAGAGAUGAGAUCUUAUUUAAAAAGCAUGUGUACCGCUAAUUUUUAAGAUAUUGCAACAACUUCUAAUCCAUUGCUGAGUCUAUCCUUGCUCAGGGACGAGCAAGAGGUAAGCUUGGGGGAGUUUGUUGACAGUCCUUAAGUAUCAAAUUUAAUUAUCAAAUAAACAAAGAAAAGGAUCCAAAUGAAAUCAACAUCUAGACUUAGGGUUUUAUCUGACAGAAUUCCACAAGUUUUGGUGUUUGUCUAUUUCUGCAGGGGGUUAUUAGAGAAUUCGGAAGAAAGGCCCACACGUCGGGAUUACAUAGAGAUAUUAACGUGCCGCGUAAUUAUCUUACAUCUAGAAGACUCUAGAAGCCACAGGAAGAAAGCGGAGGCCGAACGGGGCUAGAGGCAGGGCGCCCGCCCUCCUGCCCUGGGCGCCCGUCCCCUCUCUGAGUCCAAUCAGGACUCUGUUUCGUGGGAGAUCUCCACCGACCUAAAGGAUCAAGGAUAACUGAUCAAUCAAUAUCGGUUUGAUCCAACGGCCCAUAUUCACUUGAAGAGACUAUAAAACCAGACCCCCUGGCCCCUGGAGGAGAGAGCCUCUCAACCCUAAUUCAUUAUUCCUCAAGGGAGAAGAAGCCUCUGAUCAAGAUUAGAGCCACCACAUCAAUUAGACAUCUAGAUUAGCAUAGCUACAUAGGAUUAGAACUAGAAGGAGUCAAUCUUCGAUUGGUUUCCGGAUCUGUCAAGAGGAUUCUUGGUAAUUCUCUAAUUGUGCUUCUAAUUGCUUUCUAAUUAUCUUUGUUCUUCAAUAUUAUGAAUAUGACUUUGUUCUACUUCAAUAUAUUGCUUAUGACUUUGCUCUACUUGUUUAUAUUCAAGAUUAUAUUGUUCUUAGUUUAUCAUAGUUAUGUACUUGGCUUAGUUAGAUUGGAUCUAUAUACAUGCUUAGGAUCGUAUAGCGUUUAUCCAUUGGAUCCAUGGGUAAAUGAUAGAUAUUGUGUAGGCGUGGUGCUUAUACUGUAUUUAUCUCCGAUUGUACCCAAUAUGCGAGAUCGUGGGGUAGUUCGUGAUAGUGACAGCUUCAUUGAUUCUUAUAUAGUCCCCCUCUCGUGUAUUGGGCUGGCAGAGCAAUAUUAUUACAGGGGAGUGAUUGCUAUGUUUCUCAUUUACCUUGCUAAUAUCACUAUGCAUGGGCGUAGUCUUGUCUCACAAUGAUUGCUAAGUAUGCUUGCACUAAUUAUGAUAAUGCUAGACAAUAUAGUUGAGAAUAACUUAGGAAAUAUUCUUGUAGUUCGUUCUAAUUCCAUGCUAAUGACUUUCUAGAGUAUCUAAUUGAGGUGCUUAUCAUAUUUAUUAUGUGGCUAGAUCAGAUUAAUUAUCUUUGUCACUAUUUAUUACUUCAUAUAUCUUUUAUGUGACACUUAUAGAUAAAUGUUCUCAAUUAUACAUGCAAUGAUAGAUGCUCAAUCUCAUGUUCUAUUCUGUAAUCAAUGUUGAUGAUUAUUAAUCCCUUCCCAGUGGUAAAAAUAUAAAUAAUGAUACCUGGAAUACUUCCCGGUUAAAAUGCUACUGUUGACGGUCCUUAAGUAUCAAAUUUAAUUAUCAAAUAAACAAAGAAAAGGAUCCAAAUGAAAUCAACAUCUAGACUUAGGGUUUUAUCUGACAGAAUUCCAUGAGUUUUGGUGUUUGUCUAUUUCUACAGGGGGUUAUCAGGAAAUAUGAAAGAAAGGCCCACACGUCGGGUUUACAUAGAGAUAUUAAUGUGCCGCGUAAUUUUCUAUCAUCUAGAAGACUCCAGAAGCCACGGGAACGAACGGGAGGCCGAUCGGGCCCGGGGGCAGGGCGCCCGCCCAAGUCCCUUGGGUGCCCGCCCAGCUACAGUAACCAAUCAGCUUCAACUUCGCGGAUCAUGCUCCACCGACCUAAUACUUCAAGGAAAACCACACGAUCAAUGUCGGUUUGAUCCGACGGCCCAGAUUCAUCUAAAAAGACUAUAUAACCAGACCCCCUGGCCCCUGGAGGAGGCACCCCUUGAUCAUUAUUCAUUAUUCAUAGACAGAGCAAAAGAUAGGGUUUAGAGAUGAGAGCUCUCCUCUCUUCUCUAAAUUAGAGUAGAUCUAGAUAGUAGCAAGAUGGAGAGCGAAGGAGGAUUAGAGGAGAGGCCGGCCUGUCGGUUCUUCCUCCGGUUGUACUUCGUCAUGAUCAAGCUCUAAUCAAGCUUGCUCAUGGGAUGACUCUGGUAAUCUACUUCUAAUUCAUUAUGUAAUUACUAAUUAUGUAUGUUCUGGUUCACAACUCUUUUGAGUAUUCUAAUCUAUAGGACGCUAUAGGUGAGAGUUGUAGUAUAGGUGUAAGCGAGGUGCUUAGACCUAGAUUACUUGUGGAUAUCCCCUGUCUAGCUGGAUCGUGUGGUAGGCCUCGUAGGUGACAAUUACGUUGGUCCUCUGUAGUCCACCUCUCGUUAGCAGGACGGGUAGGGUUUAUCGGCCUAAGGAUAAGCAUCCUUUGUGGUGUACUCUUAUCACGUGGUUCGUCCCAGACAUAGACAUACCCCUUUGAAGUAGAGAAACCAUAGUUAUUCUCUCUAUUCUGCUACCAUCGCCCAUAUACUAGAUUGCUCUAUUCUCUAUUUCCAUAUUAUCACCCAUUAUUAUCUUAUCUUUAAUAUUGUUCUUAUUCGAUUCUACCAUCUUUCCUAUUUACAUUUAUUUACUUAUCUUGGUUAAGUUAGAGCGUAGAUCAGUUCUCCCGUUUCCCUGUGGAUACGAUAAAACCUUUAACUGGGUAAAAGCUUCAACGGUAUCCGUGCGCUUGCGGAUUAUCUGUGUGCGUAUAAAUACCAUAGUACACUCUAGUGCCAUGCUGGGGAUGACAACCUAGUAUUCAAGUGGUGUUAGCAAGUGUCAACAGCUACAUCGGUAUUAAUCUGUGCGCUUGCAGAUCCUAUUCAUUAUUUAUUUAGAAGAGCAAUUGCAUAUUUCAAUACCGCGUCUCUCAUGUCAUGCUGGGGAUGACAACUUGGCUUAAGUGGUGUGAGAGAUAGGUUUGGCAUUUUUUUUGGCAUCGUUACUAGAUUUAGAAAACUGUCUACUUUUGGUAAUGAUGUUAAGAAUACCCAACAGUAAUCAUUGGUAGCUGUAAUUGAAAAUCCAAAGAAUCGUGGCAUGCAUGGCAUCUGGAGGACUAUAAACUGCUUGCCAUCACCUUAAGUCAUGGACCCAAGUGUUGCUAAGUAAAGUUUAUGAUUCCUUCAUAUGUGAUGAAUGACACAAGAAAAACAAGAUAGCCACCUCAUAUAUUUUUUGUCAUCACAGGCCAAAAACAAAACCAAAGCCUUAGGAUAUGUAAUGAAACUCAUGCAUGCCAUGGAAGAAUGUGUAGUGAGCUGGCGACACAACAAAGUGAGUAACAACCUUGUGUAGGCCAACUCACUAGCACAUUCUUUAAUGAUAGGCAUUACAUAAUAUAACUUAGUAAUACUCAUCAUUGGCAAAGAAACAAAAGUAGAUAGAAAACAAUGUAGAAAGAAUAGAUGCAUGAAAUAAGCAGUAGCCAACAGAGGCUGCUAAUAGUAUGUUACAAUAACUUGUUCUGCCCAACAUGCUAUAGGGCCCAAAUUGUUAGCCACCCUCCUAGCUAAUCCUUACUAAAAGGUCAGCAAUCAGUCCUACAACCUGCCUGCACAAAAGAUCUACAAUAGGCACCUCCCAGCUGGAGUCAAAAGUAGAGGAGAGUGGGUCAGGGAGGUGGAGGAACUAUACAUAUCUACAGUCAACCCCCUUGCUGGACAAGCAUACCAGCAUGUACUGCACCUACAUGAAGUAGUUUUUGGCUAGGAAGUUCCUUAGCCAAAUGGUCCUAUGUCCAUCACUCAUGUUCACAAACCCCCUGCCUUGUGCCUUAUUGCACAACAAGAAGGUGUAAGCAACCAUCAGUGCAUCCUCAAAGUAACUCACCAUCUCUAUAAUAGCCAGGUACAAGCUACCAUCUACAUGGGCAGGUCCAGUCUCACUAAGAGCAUUAGCGACAUUGUUGGCUGCAUCAAACAUGUUUGUCAACAUAAGCAUCUCCUCACUAAAAUUCCCUCUCUUCCUCUUGCCACCCACAACUGAGGAUGACACCUCUGUGGCCUUGCUACCUUCAACAAUCUCAGUCUGUGUAGUGGUGUAGGUCAUUGGAGGGCCCUCAGCCUUGGCAGCCACACUAAUAGUCUGGUUUUGCCCCAGGGCUUCACCAGAUCCAAGUGCAAACCUGCAUGUGGUCAUGUUGCCUCCAUAGUUUCUAUCUCAGUGUAGAAUCUAAUUGGGCAGUUCAAGAACUCAGCAUCUUUUGGAUGGUCCUGAACAAUUAGGUGGAAAAGGAAUAGUUAUAGGAGAGGUAAUGAAUACAAGCAAGGUAAGGAGACAUAUGCAGCAUGUCAUUAGUGACUACCUUGCAGUGACCAAGGUAGUGUUCCUCAUCAAGCAUGAUAGCAUUGGUGUCACUAUCCCAUAAAGCCCCACUAAGGUCCUUUAGCCUAGCCACCCUAGCCCGUUUUUGCCUCCAUUUCCUCAGGUGGUUAUAAACCUGAGUUGGGCUGACCACCUCACCACAAUAUUCCUUAAGGGCUUUGGCCACAUGGUUGACAUCCUUAUAUUUGAAGACCUUGUCAGGCCUGCUACCAUCCCCUACAAGUUGAGCCAUUCUCCUAAGAACAAAACCUGAGGUGUUGUUGUUCCACCUCAUAGCUCUACCACCCCCAGCAACAUGAGGAAUAGCAUCAGCUGCUGCUAGAGCAGUACCAGUAGAUAGUGCAACAUCUAGUGCAACACCACCACGACUACCUCCUACAACAGCAGCAGCAGACCCAGUCCUUAACAUCUCAUCAAGCACAUCAGCAACUCCAACAAAACCACCCUCAACACCAACCACAACCUCAGGGAGUGAAGGCAUCCUAGUUGUGUUGUCCAUGUCGGAAUCAGGAAUAACAAACAAAGCAAAACUACCAAAAUACCUUUCAAAUAGGGAAAACAAUAAUUAAGGAAAACUGCACACUAAUGUUAUUAAGAACCAAGUCAAAAAAUGGUCUCAGCCAUGUCCAGCAAGAAAUGACAUUUUCAUAGUACAAACAAGAGUUCCAAAGCAUGGCUACCUAGCACAAGUUUUUGUAGCAUCACACCCUUGAGGUUCCCCUUCCUUCCCACAUUGCAUUGCAGAUUGCAUCCCUCUUUUCAGCCAUGACAAUUGAAUCUUGUUCUUGGCUAGCACUAUCUACUGGAUCAGGAAAGGUCCCUGUGAAUCCUUCCUCAACAAGGACAUGUUCAUCAAUGCCGAAGCCAAUGAUCUAGUUGUGGAGGAUGGCACAAGCCAACACAAGUUUGACCUAUGUCUUGUACUUGUGGAAGGGUUUGUUGUCAAGGAUACGAAACCUGUUCUUCAGUGCACCUAUAGCCCUCUCCAUAGUGACUCUAAGUGAUGAGUGCCUAAGGUUGAAAAGUUCCUUGGCAUUAGUGGGUCGAUUUCUGCUCCCAAACUCACUCAAAUGGUACCUGACCCCCUGUAGGGGGGUAGGAAACCAUUGCGGCAUGCAUACCCAGCAUCCACCAAAUAAAAUUUACCUACAAUGGCACAUCUACUGUGAGGCAAUGUGAUAUUGUUUAGGUGUACAAUUUCAUGGAUGUAGUUGUGCAAUUACCUUCAGGUACAAUGAACCCAUCAUCCCUCUGAAUGGCAGCUAGAAUCAGAGCAUCAUGGGUAGAACCCUCCCAACCAGCUAGUACAUAAGUGAACUUGAGACCAAAGUCCACAACAACCAUAACAUUUUGAGUGGGAUCCUUUUUCCUACCCUUGAAAGCUUUGCUACAUGUGCCUAGGCACCCUUGCCAGCACAUGGGUGCCAUCAAUGGCACCAAGACAAUCCUAAAAUCAGACAAGUGAGUGAGAGAAAAUAUAGAUUAUGAACAACUAAUGAACCCAAGGUAAACAAUUACCUUUAGGUAUGGAUUCCACCUAUGACUUCCCAAGACCUUAGGGUGAGUGGUGGAGCUAGGUCCCUUGAUGAUUUCACUCCUAAGCUCAGCAAUAGCAUACAAAACCUGAUGAAAGUGCUUGUGUACUGUUUGAAUGGAUUUCCUAAAGGAAUUAUGCACUACUCUAAACCUUUGGUGGUGGCCAACUACAUGGAGGAACAUGGCAACCUGCUCCUCUACUAAGACCCCUUCUCUAUCAUUGACUAGCUGUCUCUCUCUAAAAAUAGUGCACAAAGCAAAGAAAGGAGCUCUCCUCAUUCUAAGCAUGGAAAUGCACUCUACAUCAGUGGAGUGGUAAAUGAGGCUCAAUGUCCUCUGUCUGUGUUGUUCAUUUUGUUCUCUGAUAAUAGGUGCCAAAGGGUCAGGGACAAUUUUAGGUUUAGACAUUUUUCUCUUGAGCCUGGUACUAACAAAAGAAACCAUCACUACUGUCAAGGCAGCAGCCUGCCUACACAACAUGUCACGGCUCAAAGAGGGAUCCAUCUACAUGCAUGCAAAAAAACAGAUAACAAUCACUGCCACACGUUCGGGCAUUAGCACCGGUCGGGAAGGGCCUGUUGCCCCGGUUCCCGAGCCGGUGCUGCCCUUCCGGGACUAAAGGCCCACCCUUUAGUCCCGGUUCGGGUAACCGGGGCUAAAGCCCCCCCUUUAACACCGGUUGGUAAUACCGACCGGUGUUAAAGGGUCCUGCCAGGGCUGCCACGUUGCAGGACCCUUUAACACCGGUUGGUAUUACCAACCAGUGUUAAAGGGUUUCUUUUUUUUUGUUCACUUCUUCGGUUCUGUUUAUUAUUUUUAUAUAAUAUAUAAUAAUAGGUUUUUCAAUACAUGUUUUUGCUAAUACAAUAAUAUAUUUAUAUUACACGCAUAUUAAGAAUAUAUAAAUGAAAAUUAUAGGCUUAGCUUAAUAAUUAAGCUUUGCCUAUAAUAAAAUGAAUAGGCCACAUCAAAAAUUAAAUAGAUAUGUAAAAAGCUUUAUAUAUAUAGUUUUAUAUGUACAAAAUUCGUAACACAAAUAUACAUAGAGUUUUUUCUCUCAAUGUCUACAAACGAUACAAAUGAUCAUCGUUGUUUGGAUUGAUCACUUGGUCGCGGAGAAAUCCUGCUAUCGUCUCUUGGAUAGCUUUGAUUCGGUCUUGUUGUAGGACCUUUUUCCUCAACCAUUCCGUCUUUAAUUUAAAAUAAAUAAAAAAGGUAUUAGUUAUCUAAGUUAUUCAAUAUAAUUUAGGAGAUAAUGAAAAGAGACAUGUAACGUACUCUGAGCGUCUCUGUGGGUGUUUGAUUGACUUGUGCCAUCAUGAAUUUGCACACGUAAUAUGCACAUAGAUUGUUCCCCCCUUGUCUUAAACACCAGUGUACGAUAUAUAUAUAUAUAAAAAUAUUCACGACCACGACAAUAAGAAGGCUAAAAGUUAGCGAAAGUUUGUUAGCUAGUAGAAAUUACUUGUGGAUGUAUUAUGUUAAGCGGCACUUUACAUCUACUGAGAUGUUCACGGUCAAUGAAUCUUUCCCAAACCCUAUACACAGCCAUUGUGGAUCGUGAACUAAUAAUUACAGAGUCAUAUUAUGAUAUUUUUGUACGUACCUUUGAAUAAUGUUUACCAUUUAUUGAUAAUUUUCUUAUGGUUUUCUCAUUGAGUCAAAGAUUAUCAACCGGUUCUUGAAAAUUUCAAUGACUAUGAGUAUCUAGUGAAAGCUGUUUACACACAUAUAUAUAUAGUCAGUCCUAUAAUGUAAAAUAAAAUAUGCAUGCACUUAAUAACAUAUAACUCACUCGAAGUUGAAGGGGAAGAGUAUUUUUUUGUUUUUCUUUUUGGUUCACAAAGAACCUCAUAAGAUUGGUGCAGACUUCUGUCUCAUGAUCUGCUGUCCACACUGCCUGCGGAGCCUUGAAAACAAUAUAAGGGUCAACGAACCCAAUACUAUUGUCAUUUCUCAUUCUGAGCUCUCUCAUUUGGUGCUUGCAUAUAUACAUACAAAUCCUAAGUGUGUAAGGAUUAUAUACAUGUAAUUAAAGAAGUUAGAAGUAUAAUAAAAAGAAAAAAAUACUUACAGACAAAAGCAGCUGACAAGAGAUUAGUCAAGAGCGUCGAGGUGACAUAAUUGGUGCAAUUCUUUGAACUGCACGUAUAUGAGGUCAUCUCCACGGAAGUAGUGAUGUUGUCUAAUACGAACAGAAAUCCAAUUCUCUCCCCUUUUAGACGCCUCAAUGCACUAUUUGUUUAUUGCAAACAUUUAUGUGUCGAGCUCGUGUAAACGCUUAGGGUCGAAUAGACUCCUGCCCGGUUCAUAUCUUGCCCUCCAUUGAUCAACUAUCUCGGCUUUUUCAAAUGUUUGGCAUCCAAGAAUGGCGGCAAUUUCUUACAUAUUUAAACCGCUCUAUCCAAAGUAACGCUCAAGCGAGUCUAGCUCAGACAACGCUAAGGAUUUCUUUGGCAUCAAGUCUUCAUUUGAGCCGUAUUGAUUUGGCACAAUCAAAGGGGGCACCGGUUUUGAUACUUCUUCGAGCUGUGGGACCCCAUUUCCUACUCUCUUCUUAGGCUAUGAAGACUUGACCAGAGACCGCUCAUAGUCCGAAAGUGCUGGCUUUUUCUGAGCUUCGCGUUGCUUCUUUUGAUGGUCCGCCACCUUCUGCCUCAGUUCCGAUGGCUUUACAUAAAAGUACGGCUUUUCUGGGUUAAGCCGUUUUUUCCUAUCCUCCUUCAAUUUAUCAAAAAAUUGUUUGACCUCAGCUUUGGAUGUAGCAAUUACCCCAUCUUCACUCUUUUCGUAAGGUAAUUUUUCUAGCGUCUUAGCUCUCUUUGCUGAGGCAGCCUUCUUUGUCGGGAUGCAAGCGGGCCUGUCUGCAGACACCCUGCACGACGCCGCGUCACCUGCCUCCAGAAUCUGCUUGCUCCGCAGGACCCGCCAGCUCGUGCUUUGCUAAUCGCCAAAUCCUGUUAGGCUUUGCAGUAAUAAAUAAGGAGACCUGCUGCCUGCAGGAGCCCGCAUGCGAGCCCGCAACGCCGAGUAUACACUUCUCCAAGCAACCUAGCUAGCGCAUCUUUAGAAUGCGGUUGGGGCGGGGAGGAGACAACAUCGGCCAAGGGGGCAAACAUGGCUUUCAAAGAUGAGAUCGAUGGAAUGAUUAGCAGAUUGGAAGAAAAAGAACGAAGAAGAGAGGAAGAGACACAUGGAUGGUUGUCACCGGAGGAAUACCAGGGUUGCUGUCUUCGCUCCGAAGACCGGCGCUUCCCUAGCGACAGUGCGCCACGGCGACAGAUACAUCACUCGAGCUGCUCGAAGUGGAUGCGGCGCUAGCACCACGGAGUCCACGCUCGUGCGGCGGAUGCAGCGCCGGUGCAUCGCCACGUAGUAGGUUCUGUAGGUCAAAGCAGGACGGUGCAGGAGCCCUGUUCUAACACAUUAGGCAUUGCAGGCUUUACUGCUUAAGCCCGCAUCAACUCAAGAAGGCGCCCGCAGUAUCCACAAGGUCAGUUUUUGCAGGCGGGCCAAGCAGGCAGGCAGGUCGGUCUGCACCUGCUUGCAUCCCUACUUCUUUCUACUUCUUUGAGGUGGGACCGAUGACAUCGGUCCUUCUUGGACGGACCGCUUGUGACUACCUCACUUUGGAGGCGAGGGGACCGACCGUGCACUCUUUGGAGAGGGCGGUGCAGGCGGUGAAGGUGGUGGGGCCGAUCUUUUCGGCGUUGGAGAACGCGGUGGAGGAGUUGGAGACCUCGGUGGAGGAGGUGGAGACCGUGGUGGAGGCGGUGGCGGGGUCGGUGUGGCCGCCGCAGGUGUUGGAGGAGAUCCAGCAUUGUCACCGCCCGCAGCACUAUGAUGCGCUGGGGAGAGAACUGGACUUAGGUUGGAGGAGUCCCUACAAAGAAAACAAUUACAAGUCUUGUGAGCAAACUUUUUUUAUUUCAAUACAUAAUAAAUAAUAUAAGAAGUAAAAUCACACACAAACCUAUGUUGAGGAAUAAUUAUGAAGCGCUUGCGCUAACAAAUAAAUGUCUUCUCAGCUACACCUAAGGUCUUCUCUCUGUCUCCCCCUUCUAUGUCUAGAGGCACAUUGCCACAACCUUUCUCAACCCUAUCAACCGAGACGCUAGCAUAUCCACCAGGUACUGGUCGAUUAUGGAUUCUUGGAGUUCUCGUUCGGUUGAUAGGGUUGACAACAGCGAUAACCACCUUUUUGCUUGCAUUCCCAUCUGGUACAUGCAGCUCACAGGUAGUAAAAGCCUCUAUGACAUCAUCCACGAGGAAGUGUAGCUUCGUGUCAUCCUGAAUGGUUGGUACUUCCGUGGAUGCGCAACUGCUUUUCAACUGGCCUGGGGGGCUAACAUUGACCUCAGGCUGUGAUGUACCUUGCCCUUUCGUCAUUUGACUAAGUGCUGCUUGCACUUGCCUUUGAAUCUCUGUCUGCAUCCAUUCUUCACGAGCUUUCUCGCGCUCUUCUGACUGCAGAACAAAAGCUUCUAGGCGGCGGAUCCGCUCUGCCUCCUCAUCCUUCUUUCUCUGGCGGCUUCUGUAGGUAUCUUGAUCGGCUUGGAAUGAUUGCAGCCACGGAACUGCCCCAUAGCCUCUCGUGCGCCCACCGUGCUCAGGAUUUUCAAGCGCAUAGGUGAGUUCAUCCUUCUCCCUAUUAGGCCUGAACUCACCAGACUGAACCGUCUCUCGUGCACGGACUAGUCUCUCUGCUGCUCUAGAGAUUUCUUGGCCCCAAACUAGCGCCCCGGUGUCUGGGUCCACGCUUCUCCCAUGACCGUAGAACCAAUGCUUGGAGCGCUCGCUCCAAUUCUUUGCUAUUGUCUCGGGUGUGACCCCCUAGCAAGCAUCUCCUGUUCCAUUCGGUCCCAUUUAGGAACAACACUCUUAUAACCACCUGAUCCCAUAUGAUGGUGGUAUGUCUUUUUACUUGCAUUCUCUUUGUUUCUAAUGGCUCGUUCCUCGCUCUCUUCUGAUGUUUUGUACUGCACGAAGUCAUCACAGAAGGCACUCAGCUUUACGUAUUGCUUGAGGUUGAAAUUUGGAGUCUCGUUUUUCUUGACAUAUUUAUUGUACAAAGUCUUCUUCCAAUUCUGGAAGAGUACUGCCAUCUUCUUCAUAGUCCAGUCAUAAAUUCGCACCUUCAACUCUUCAUCGUUGGUGUCGAAGGUGAAAACGUCUGUGACGGCUUUCCAAACUAACUCCUUGUCACGAUCAGAGACAAAACUGAUCUCACGAGCACCUCGCUUCUCUCUCCAUUCACGAGCACUGAUCUGUAUUUGAUCUCUCACAAGAUAUCCACAGUGACUAACAUAUUUAUUUGCAUAUUCACCAAGUGGUCUGCCUGUAGCUAUCUCAAACUCAGAGAUUACAUAGCGGCCCUCCAACGGCUUCUUUGGCCCUCUUGGAGGUACGCUUCUCUCCGUAGAGGUCGAUCCAGAAGGCUACACGUAGAUAUAGAAACAAAAAUACUAAAUUAAUAACCAAGUAAUAAGUCUAAAACCUAAUGUAAGAGAUGCAUUAAUUAUAUAUGUUUACAUUUACAUAUACCUCGCCAGUAUUUUCUUCUUGUUGCACGACAAGUUGUUGCUCAGGUGCAUUGCCCUCUUGUUGCUCAGGGGCAUUGCCCUCUUGUUGCUCAGUCGAAUUGCCUUGCAUGAUCUCAUGGUAAUCAAUAAAGUACUGACUACCGUCGUCGAUCAUAUUUUGAAUGGCAGCUUCCAUAUAAUCAGGAUCAUCAUGAGGACGGUCAGCCAUUUCUAUGUAUGCAACCAUAUAUAUAUAUAUAUAGAUAAGAAAUUGUCACACCUCAAAAUUUUCGAUUUUGCGUUCUGCAUAGAAAACACUAAAUAAAAUAAAAUGAAUUUAAUAUUUAUAUAAGAUUUGCCAAGUUUAGUUUGUGCAAAUUAGUUCUAGAAAAAAAUGUGAAUUUCCAAAUUGUUUCGAAUUAACUUGAUAGGCUUUUGUUGAUGUGAUGUGAUGUUUGCUUGCUUGUUGCAUGACUUUGUGAGUAAGUAAAACUUUCAAAACGCAUUUAGUAAGUCAUUGAUUUGUAUCCGACGUGUCUCAAUUUUUUUAAUCAAGUCUCCUCCCUCUUGAUCUUAAUCUUUUAUUUGGUGUUUUUCAUAUCCUCUUAUUCUACUCUAAAUCAUUCCUUUGAGUUCAUCUUCCAUCAACCGACCUAUUGAACCUUCUUCGAAAAUCUCCCACCUUUUUCUAGAAUUCUUUCUCACUUUCUACAAGCAUAAUCUAAUUUUUAGAUGCUCUAUUAUCAUGAGGUCCAGAUACUUUAUUUGGGUUCAUUAUAUUCUGAAAAUGUCUCUAAAAGUUUUACCCAAAUUUCUAGAUUUUUUUGGAGUAUUUUUCGGGACUCAAAUGAUUAUUCUAAACUUCUCUAAAAUUAUUUUAAAUACAUGAAUUAAAUAAUCCAAAAAUAAUAAAUCCUAAUUGUAAUUUCUUUUCCAUUUUAGCCCAACUUCAAUCCUGUUUGCCAGACGCUAUCGAGACCCAGGAGCAUACGCAAGCCCUACCUGCCGCCCUAUAAAAAACAAGCGGCCGCCGCACGCACCGCUUGGCUCGAGACUGGAACCUCUCGAUUGAUCUUGCUUGCCGUCGUCCCGUCCUUCUCCGUCCUUGCCGUGCAGUCGCGACCUGCCGGAAAUUUGGCAACGCAAGAGCAAACGAAUUGAUGCCACCGCCGGAGGAUUUUGGCACGGAGCGAGCAAUUGCCGGAGGACCCUAGCUAGUCUGGCCACGUGAAGAACUGAUCAGGUGCUGGCUCCCUCGAUCUACAUAUGGUGAUGAAUCGAUCAUCUGAUGCCGAAGCCAUCGAGCCAUCUUAGUCUACGCAAAGAUCCUAGGUGAGCUCACAACUUUCUUCCAGUAUUCCUUCCAUGCAUGGUAUUUAGGCCCUGUUCAUGUUUUUCCUGGAAGCUCUUGCCAUAGCUCACGGGUACUGCUGCACCGGCCAUCUUCACUGAAGCACAGGACGAUUGCUAGAUUGAUGAUCUCAUGAUGAUCGUAUGAUGACAUCGCAUAAGUUUUGUGCCGUUUUCCUUUAGAGAAACAAAUCUAAAAAAAUACAAAUAAAAUACACUAUUUUGUUUUAGCCAUUAAAUGCUCUUUCUAACUCCGAUUUGAUCCGUUCAAGUUGUGUUAGACUCAUAGCAAUGUAAUCUACAUGUUAGUGCUAGUGUUUUUCAUGUCACACGUUUUCAUAUAUUGCUAAAUAUUUAAUUGUUUAAUAUGCUUGUAGUUAGUUUUAUAAUUAAAAUAAUAUAGGUUUGUCUUGUCUAUCCUUUGUAAUUAAAUGAGCAUGAAUUUAACUAAUAGUAACUUGAAUAUGUUUUGCUUAGACAAUCACGAUAUAUACCAUAAACUUAUUUAGUGUUCGCAUGUUAUAUUAUUUUACAAGUUGAAGUUUAACCGGCAUAAACGAUAUAAAAUUAUGUAUGAAUAAAAUAUGAUCAUAUCCAACACGUAUCACGUAUAAUUGGAAUAGAUGUUUUCACACAUUCUUUGAAAAGUUAAAGAUUACUUUGAUUAAAAUGGUACGUGCAUGCUUAUAUUUGAAAUAUGAUUAUUGAUUAAAUAAUAGACAUGUUCAUAAAUAAAAUAUAAUUAGUUCCAAUUUAUUUAUUUAUUUUUAAUUAAACUAUAAAUUGACUAAUCUGAAUUAGUAGGUUACACAUGAUAGUAUCUAAAACUUCCUGUAGUCGUUUCUUUUUAAUGAUAGUUUUGGUUCCGGCGUUUCUCGUAACCUUAGCAUCAAGUCGUGCCGUUUUGUGUGCUCUCUUUUAAAGCUUUUCUUUUUGAUUGAUAUGUUCUUAGUUGUCUCUUGUUUGUAUGUUUGUCUGUGUGGUGCUUGCUGCGAGUAGACGAGAACCGCCUGUGAGUAUUGAAGAUCAGAAGAUGAUGACCGAAAGCUAACGGUGUGAUAAUUGAGCAAUUGGAUUAAGGCAAGUAUAACUUGAGAUCAUCCUUGUUACCUAUUCGCUUAUAACUACACAUAUAUAUCAUAUGCAUGCUAUCACCUUGUCGACCUUAGCAAAAUCAUAGAUGAUUGUUACCUGGAUUCCUUGCUACCUACUUGAUAUGCAUUUGUUGUAGAUGUGCUAGUGCUUGAUAUAAUCCAUGAUCUUGUAAUAUGAUUAAUAGCAAUGCAAUGAACAUAAAAGAAUGACAAAUAACUGUAUGAGAUCUUGUCUGUAAGUGAUCACCGGGACAACAGUGCAACCAUGAGGGCUAUAAUGGCUCUGGCUUUAGCUUAGUAUGAAGAACUUUUCUAGUUUGUUAGAGGUUACCCGAAAGGGCGGAGGGGCUGAACCGUUUUGGGUAUAGUGCGAGCCCCUGUCUCUAUGUGUAUAGGCUGCGCGUCAUUGUGCCAUUCGGAAGGGGGUAUCUAUAUCUACGCGCAAAGGAAACCUUGCGGCCCUAACAUGUUAGACGAACUUUUGAAAGGCUUCAUAGUGAUCCCUGCCGACCUCCCUAGGAAGGGGGUUAAGAGACUAGCUACCUCGGACGAAAGGGUAAAUCAUGACUCAUGGGUAAAGAUGUACAACCUCUGCAGAGUGUUAAAAGCUGGUAUACUAGCCGUGCUCACGGUUAUGAGCGACCUUGGGGGUUCUUGCUGCGACGACGAUGAGCUUGUUAAGUUGUCAUGUUCAUUAAUUAUGCUUACACUUGAUCAUGUGAUUAAUGGAUUAUUUAUGCUACCUUGACUUUUGCUAUUUAAUUAUGAAUAUGCUAUCCACCAUUAAAAGCUAAAUGCAGUUAAACCAGUGUCAGCUUUUUGAGCCUCAUGAACCCCUGGUUAUACUUGUUGAGUACGACAUAUGCUCACUCUUGCUAUUUCCUACCACUCCAGUCUACUAGAAAGGGAUGAUUAGAAGGAUGGUGGAAUCACGAAGGACGUUCUCAGGAUAAAAAAGUGCUAGGCAUAUGUUACCCCCAGUCAGCCGUCCCUGUGAAGAUUAAGCCUGAAGAUUAGUUACUGUGAUACUCUGAUGUAAGUGUUAAUUUUAAGUAUAUUUCCGCUAUAUAACAUUGUUUUUGAUAUUAUUGCUUCUGUUGUUGUAUGUGUGGACUUCCUGGGCACACAUAUGGCUAGCCUGGUUUUGUUCUUUAAAACCGGGUGUGACAGAAAUACACUAGAAUAAUAUACUAAAAAACAAUACUAGAAUAAUAGUACAAAUAAUAAUAUAUACAAAACACUACUAGAAUAAAUUUGGUGGGUAAAGACUACUAGAAUAUAUAAUAGAGACUUAUAUACUACUACAAAUGAAAGUGUUGGAGUGCUCUAAAAAUAAUACUAGAAUCUUUUAUGCCAAGUAAUACACUAGAAUAAUAUACUAAAAAACAAUACUAGAAUAAUAGUACAAAUAAUAAUAUAUACAACACACUAGAAAAUAAAAUAUGAUACAAGAAUAAUACAAAAAUAAUAUACUACAAAUAUAUACUAAAAAUACUACAAGAAUAUAUAUUACAAGAAUACUACAAGAAUAAUAAAAGUGUUGGAGUGCUCUAAAAAAUAAUACUAGAAUCUUAAGCCUAGUAAUACACUAGAAUAAUAUACUAAAAGAAUAAUACUAGAACAAUAGUACAAACAAUAAUAAAUACAAAACACUAGAAAAUAAAAUAGAUAUUAGAGACUUAUAUACUACUAGUACUACUACAAAUGAAAGUGCUGUAGUUCUCCACAAAUAAUACUAGAAUCUUAAGCCUAGUAAUACACUAGAAUAAUAUACUAAAUGAAUAAUACUAGAAUAAUAGUACAAACAAUAAUAUAUACAAAACACUAGAAACUAAAAUAUGAUACAAGAAUAAUAUAAGAAUAAUAUACUACAAAUAUAUACUAAAAAAUAAUACUACAAAUAAUAUACUAAAAAAAUAAUACUACAUAAUAAUACAAGAAUAAUAUUAAUAUAUUACAAAUAUAUACUAGCAUAAUAUAGUUUAUAAUAACAGGUCAAUACUACACUUAUACUAAUAUACUAAUUAAAAACUAAUAUAUAUAAUAUAUACUAAAAACUAAUAUACAUUUCAUUCUGCAGAUUAUAUAUAUAUAUAUAUAUACUGCAGAUUAUAUAUAUAAAUUAUUGGAGAUCGAUUUAGUGUAUACUUAGAGGAUGUAGAUCUGAGACGCGGUCGGAGUUCGAUCGAUCGGUGGCUGGAGAUGGUGGCGGCCGGUGCUGCAGACGGCGCCGCGGCGGCGGCGCUGGAGAUGGUGCCCACGGCGGCACUGGUGGCCGGAGCUGGCCGCGGCGGCGCUAGAGAUCGGCGAGGUCGCGCGCGGGCAGAUGAACGGGCGGCGGCGCUGGAGACGAUGAACUCGAUGAAGACGAAGAACUGCUCAGAUACAGGGCGCCCAUGACUUAAAUAGGGGCGGACCCUUUAGCACCGGUUCCAGCCACGGUCCCCCUUUAACACCAGCGCGUAACACCAGCCGGUGUCAAAGGCCCCUUUAGCACCGGUUCCCGCCACGAACCAGUGCUAAAGGGUCCUAGGCGGGCUCGGGCGGGGUCCUGAAAAUUUUCAGGACCCUUUAGCACCGGUUCCCACUAUGGGCCGCUCCUAAAGGCCCUGUUUUUUACUUUAGGGUUUUUCAAUUGUUUAUAUAUACAGUUUAUAUUAUAAAUUGUAUAGUAAAUUAAAUAUUUUGCAUAAUAUUUUUUAAACAGUGACAUAUAUUGUAAUUUUUUUAAUGUACACAUGAAAAUUUUUAACCGUAAAUAUCUUACUAUAUUUUUAUAAUUUGCAAUGAUUUUGUAAGAAAUAUUUAGUAUUUUGUUAAUGCAAAAAUAUAUUAUUCCAAUAAAUUUACAAAAACUAUAUCCAAUCAACUGGAAAUAUAUUUUCACAUCAUAUUGACGUUAAACUUUUUAUUUUUGUUAUUUAUUACUCGAUUUGCUAGUAGGGUAUAGUUUUCAUCAAAUAAAAAAUCUAUUUAUAAUAUAAAAAUAUAUAUCUUGAUGAACACACCCUUUGACCGAACCCUAGAUUGUCUCAAAUGGAAAAGUCAUAAAUACAAAGUUUGUUAAACUCAUCAAGUUCUACAUUUUGCAUAAUGGUCAACUUUUCUUUUGGAAAAGUUUGAACCACUGAAUUCUACAUUUUCAGAGAAUUCAUAGCCACGCAGCGGUUUCGGAACCCUAGAUGGUCUCGAAUGGAAAAGUCAUGAAUACCAAUAUUGUUCCACUCAUCAAAAUCUAUAUUUCAUAUAUAGACCAUUUUGCAUUUGACAAAGUUUUAGGAAGGUGUAGUUGAAAAUCCACAAUUGACACAUAUAGUUUCAUAUAGUUUGUGUGAGAUUCAAGAAUUGGUGGGUAUUGUUAACUUAAACUUUCUCAAAUGGAAAAGUUAUGUAUAUAAAAAGUUUAGAUCUUGAUGAUAUCUAACAACUUGGUAUUCAAAAUAUUUUCAUUUUAAGUAAUUUAGUUUGUCAUUUGACCAAGUUUGACCAAAACCCGUCUUGGAUUUUAUAGAAAUGUGAUUAGGAUUGGCUCAAAAUUAUCCAAAUGGAAAAAUGGACAAUAUAUAAAAUGUAGAUCUUGAUGAUCUCUAACAACUUUGUAUUCAAACUUUUUUUAUUAGAAGUCAUUAAAUGGGCCAUUUGACCAAGUUUGACCAAAGUCAAAGCAUUGGUUUUUACAAAAACACUCUUUGACCGAACCCUAGAUUGUCUCAAAUGGAAAAGUCAUGAAUACAAACUUUGUUAAACUCAUCAAGUUCUAUAUUUUGUCUAAUGGUAAACUUUUCUUUUGGAAAAGUUUGAACCACUGAAUUCUACAUUUUCAGAGAAUUCAUAGCCACGCAGCGGUUUUGGAACCCUAGAUGGUCUCGAAUGGAAAAGUCAUGAAUACCAAUAUUGUUCCACUCAUCAAAAUCUACAUUUCAUAUAUAGACCAUUUUGCAUUUGACAAAGUUUUGGGAAGGUGUAGUUGAAAAUCCACAAUUGACACAUAUAGUCAUGACAAUUUUUGCAUUUGAUGAUCUCUAACAAUUGGAAAAAUCAUGAAUACAAAGUUUGUUACACACAUCAAAAUUCACAAUUCUCAAAUAUAGUUUCAUACAAAGUCAAGCCGACACAACAGUGAACUUCUUCUUGACGUAUGACCCUUGGUUAUGAUCCUGCCGUAACCAUGGAGUAUCCUCAUUGUUUAACAGAAUGCUUGGGUCUUUGUUGACUAUGAAGGGCGGAAUUCGAUCAUCCCUUUCGUAAUCGCCUGACAUGUCUGACUUGUCCUCAAUUCUGACAAUGUUUCUUUUCCCAGAAAGGACAAUGUGGCGCUUUGGCUCAUUGAUGAUUGAGUGGUCAUCAUUUUUUCCUCUCUUUGGUUUCGUAGACAUAUCUUUGACAUAGAACGCCUGACUCACGUCUGCAGCAAGGACGAAUGGUUCGUCUUUGAACCCACUAUUGUUAAGGUCCACGGUUGUCAUCCCAUACUCCUUGUCGACUGUUACCCCACCUCCGGUCAUCUUCACCCAUUGGCACCGGAACAAAGGAACUUUGCAUAGACUAGUUCCCAUAUGUCUUCUAUGCGUCCAUAAUAUGUUUGUCUGUUCCCAUUUGGAUCCGUGGCAUCCACGCGUACACCACUAUUUUGGUUGGUGCUCCUUUUAUCUUGGCCAACUGUGUAAAAUGUGUUACCAUUUAUCUCGUACCCUUUGUACGUGAGGACAUGCCAUGAUGGUUGCCUGGCCAACAAAUAAAGUUGCUCAUCAAUGUUUUCAUCACCUUGACAUUUUUUGCGCAACCAAUCGCCAAAAGUUUCCAUGUGCUGACGCAUUAUCCAAGCUUCAUUCUUCCCGGGCCAUUGGGACCGUAGGAAAUCUUUGUGUACCUCAACAUAUGGUUCCACCAAUGAGGAGUUCUGAAGAACUGUGUAGUGUGCUUUAUUGAAGUAAUCGUCUCCCGUACCAAUAUAUGUUUUCUUCCCAAGUGUUCCCUUUCCGCUGAGUCUACCCUCGUGUCGAGAUUCAGGAAUGCCAAUUGGGUCAAGGUCUGGAAUAAAGUCAACACAGAACUCUAUGACCUCCUCUGUUCCGUAGCCCUUGGUAAUGCUUCCUUCUGGACGGGAAUGACUAUGGACAUAUUUCUUUAGGACACCCAUGAAUCUCUCGAAGGGGGACAUGUUGUGUAGGAACACAGGACCGAGAAUACGAAUCUCUUUGACCAGAUGAAAUAGGAGGUGUGUCAUGAUAUCAAGAAGGAUGGAGGGAACACCAACUCAAAGCUGACGAGACAUUGGACGACAUCAUUCUGUAGAGUAGCUAGUUGCUCUGGAUUGAUUGCCUUCUGAGAAAUUGCAUUGAGGAAUGCACAUAGCUUUACGGUGGCUAGACGUACGUGUGGAGGUAAAAUUCCUCUUAAAACGACCGGCAGCAAUUGCGUCAUUAGAACGUGACAGUCAUGGGACUUCAAGUUCAAGAAUUUCUUCUCUGGCACAUUAAUUAUUCCCUUGAUAUUGGAGGAGAAUCCAGAUGGGACCUUGAUGCUGCUAAGACAUUCAAACAUGCUUUCCUUCUCUUCUUUGCUCAGAGUGUAGCUAGCAGGGCUUAAGUAAUGACGUCCAUCAUCUGUCUUUUCUGGAUGCAGGUUGUCUCGUUCUUUCAUGCGCUACAAGUCUUGUCAUGCUUCAAGUGAAUCCUUAGACUUCCCGUAGACACCCAUGAAUCCGAGCAAGUUCACACAAAGAUUCUUUGUCAGAUGCAUCACGUCGAUCGCGUUGCGGACCUCUAGGACAUUCCAGUAAGGUAGCUCCCAAAAUAUCGAUUUCUUCUUCCACAUGGGUACGUGUCCCUUAGCAUCCUUGGGAAUAGGUUCGCUGCCUCGUCCCUUUCCAAAUACCACUUUUAUAUCCUUGACCAUUUCGAGUACAUCAUCCCCGGUUCGAUUGAGAGGUUUGGUCCGGUGGUCUGCCUUGCCUUUAAAAUGCUUGUCUUUCUUUCGUACUGGGUGGUUCACAGGAAGAAACCGACGGUGGCCAAGGUACAUGACCUUUCGACAUUUUUUCAAAAAUACACAGUCAAGGUCUUCAUAACAAUGUGUGCAUGUAUUAUAUCCCUUGUUUGACUGGCCGGAAAGAUUACUCAGAGCUGGCCAAUCAUUGAUUGUUACAAACAGCAAUGCUCGCAGGUCAAAGUGCUCUUGUUUGUACUCAUCCCACACGCGAACUCCUGGUUUGCUCCAUAAAAGUUGAAGUUCCUCAACUAAUGGCCUUAGGUAGACAUCUAUGUCAUUGCCAGGUUGCUUCGGUCCUUGGAUAAGCACCGACAUCAUAAUAAACUUCCGCUUCAUGCAUAGCCAUGGAGGAAGGUUGUAGAUACAUAGAGUAACUGGUCAAGUGUUGUGACUACUGCUCUGCUCACCGAAAGGAUUCAUACCAUCUGUACUUAAGGCGAACCACAAGUUUCUAGCAUCAUCUGCAAAAUCUGGGAAUUCUCUGUCUAUCGCUCUCCACUGGGAUCCAUCGGCAGGGUGUCUCAGCAUAUUGUCUAUCUUACGGUCUUCUUUAUGCCACCGCAACAACUUUGCAUUGUCCUUAUUUCUGAACAGACGUUUUAAUCAUGGUAUUAUAGGAGCAUACCACAUAACCUUGGCAGAAAUUUUCUUCCUAUGAUGUUCUUCACCCUCAACAUCGCCAGGAUCAUCUCGUCUAAUCUUAUACCGUGAUGCCUUACAUACUGGACAUGCAUCCAAAUUCUCGUAUUCCUCCCCAUGGUAGAGGAUGCAGUCAUUAGGACAUGCGUGUAUCUUCUGGAUUUCUAAUCCCAAAGGGCAGACAACCUGUUUUGCUUCAUACGUAGUGGUGGGCAAUUCGUUGCCUUUCGGAAGCAUCUUUUUUAUGAUCUUCAAUAACUGCACAAAUGCCUUGUCAGAUGUACCAUUUUUUGCCUUCCAUUGCAGCAAUUCCAGUGUGGUACCCAGCUUUUUUUGCCCCUCUUCAGCGGUGGGAUAUAGUGAUGUCCUGUGGUCCUCUAGCUUGCUCAAACUUGGCUUUCUCUUUAUCACUUUCACAUUCUCUUUGUGCAUCACGGAUGGCAUCACCAAAAGCAUCAUCGCCCCAAUCAUCUUCUGCCGCUACCUCUUCUUCAUUAUCUCCCCCCAUUGCAACAUCAUUGAAGCCACCGUACUGAGCAAUAAUAUUGGCAUGGUCCAAUUCUUCUUCUUCUUCUUCACCUUCAUCCAUUAUAAUCCUGCUUUCUCCAUGUUUGGUCCAACAAAUAUAGUUUGGUACGAAACCAUACAUUAAUAAGUGUGAAUGAAGAGUUCUUGAGUUAGAAUAUUCCGUCAAAUUCUUGCACACGACACGUGGACAGCACAUGAAACCGUCCCUCUUAUUUGUCUCGGCCACACUUAAGAAAUAGUGCACGCUAUUAAUGAACUCUUCGGAGCGCCGAUCGGCAUUAUACAUCCAAUUACGUGUUACCAUCUGCAUUAAAUAUAACAUAUAUAUUAUGAAAACCAUGCACACAUAUAGUUUCUCAUCUUAUUGCACAACAUGUCUAAGAUACAUAGUUGAUUAAUUCAGAAAAGCUUGGCUACAACAAAUACAAUCGCAACUAGCACUAAAAAAACCAAAACUAAAAUGCACUUAAGCAACAUAAUUAGUUCGCGUCCGAUCCCAACUAUAAUAGAUAGAUCAUUCGCUUGAUCAACAUCAUUGAACUCCUUUCGUCGGCUCACUGCCUCACCACCUUCAGCCUCAACCACCUGUGCAAAAGAUUUCUUAAUGUGUUCAAUGUAUUCUUCCUCCCAGUACCAACCUGUACAUCCGCCGGUACCGUCCCACUGAAAUUAAAAGAGAGAAUCAAAAGUUUAAUUAAUUUCAUUUAAAAAAAUAUGCACAUAUAUAAGCAAAUGUCUGGAAAUAACUCACAUUACGAUCCGGACACUUGUAGAAUAUACGACCCUUGUUUACUCUCUCUUUCGACACUUUGUACUCCAUCAAAAUCUUCUGCCCACACUUGCCACAAGUAAUGAGAGGGAGUUCCGGACGGUAUCGCUUUUGAACCCGUUGAGAGACCGAAGACCCGGUCACGGUUGCCAUCUACUAUCCAUACUCAAUUUUUAAACAAUUAUAAAUUCCACAUUUACUAGUAAACAUGUAUGAUACAAUGGACAUUAUGUAGUAAUAAAAAUAAAUCAAGUGAUAUUAACAAACCAAUUAAUUUGAACUAUCCUACUUUCUAAGAUCAUAAAAAGAUACUAUAAUUCAUUCUUGCAAACUACAUUAAUAAUAGGUCAACCAUGAAAUAUGAUAUAUAUAUAUAUAUAUAUGGAUACUAAUUCAUGUGAAUGAUUCAAAAUAACAAAGUGGAUUUGAGCUAAAAAAUGAUGGGAACAUCACAAGCCAAAAAUAACAUGAAAAAGACAAGAAAGGCUGAAGUUAGUCACCUCCAAGCACGAAGAGACGAUGAUGGAGUCGAAGAAGAUCAACGAUGGGCGUUGAAGAUGAAGAACAAAUGAAGAACAAGCAAGAAGAAGCUCCAAGAACAACAAUGGUGCUCUCGGUUUCAAAUGCGCAGAGGGGAGGAGGGAGUCGGCCUAUAAACCAGACAUUUAGCACCGGAGGGUAAAAACCACCGGUUUGUGUUACAAACCGGUGCUAAAGGGUCACCCUCGGCCCGUGGCACUGGCCGGUGCUAAAGGGGACCCUUUAGCACCGGUUUGUAACACGAACCGGUGCUAAAGGGUCCCUGCCCCGACAGCACCAGUCAGUAGCCGUUGGGCAGGACCCUUUAGCAGCGGUUCGUGUUACGAACCGGUGUUAAAGGGGUCUUUAACCCCGAGCCGCAAAAAGGCCGAGGUUUUUGGCCAUUUUGGGCAUCGACCAAUGCCUCAUUCUGUAGUAGUGAAUUCAUCUAAAGAAGCCCUACUAGGCAUCAACAUGUUUGCACAAUGAAUGAUCUAACAAGAACAGCACGACUGCAUCAUACAGGUGAUGCCUCCCUGUGAUUAAAAUGGACAACAUCAUCGACCCAAUCUAAAAAUAAGACAGCCAUAUUCGCAUCAUGAUAAUCGGGCAGAACAAAAGCAAAUACGAAAUCACACAUGAAGCAAGAAAGAGUACAACAAAUCAUAAAGACCAUGCUUUUGGACCAAACCCUAACCAAGGAAAAACAAGAUUGCAGUUGGAUUUCACCUUGGGCUCGGGGUCGUAACCACGCAGGUGAAGAGGAAGUAGAUCUGGAGGUAGGGGAAGCAGAUCCGAUAGGAGACGAGCUGAAGAGGAGGAAGAGGCCACCAUCACUACGGAGUCCCGGCAACAGCAGUUGCACGCCGACGUACUACCAAAGGGGAAUGGAGACAAGGCCGCCAGAGGACGACGCCGUCGCCACGCAGCACUGCUCAACGCCGCCGUUAUUUCACAAGGGAGGAGGGAGGCGAAUCAUCGAAGAGAGAAAGGAGGACUCGACAGCGGCGGCACCAAUACUUAUAGGCGACCGAUUUCGCCGGGGUGGAAAGCGCGGGCGGUGGUUUCACCUUCCCGCGCGAGCCCGCCUCAGCCACCCUCGCGCCCGCCAAUCGCCCCCAAAUCCGCCCGCCGCGCGCCACAACCAGCCGAGCUCUAGAGAAACAAACCCUAACAGCGUUUCUAGAAGGCCAGGCGCAGGCACCCCUUUUGGCUGUGCAAGGCCGGGCUGCGGCUUGGGCCAACCACACAAACAAGGUGCAUUGCAGCCCGAGGGCACAACCGACCUGCUGGGCCAUCCUCGCAAACACACCCCUGAUCUCGUCAGACAGUAUAAAGUGUCAUAUGUAGUUUUGAAUGUCAUAGCAAUUUGUGUGCAUUUGUUCAUGGUGACAAAAGUACUCAUGGACCCACAUCAUAUAUAUUAAAAAAUGCUAACUCUAACCACAUUUUCUGUCACCAAUUCACAACAAAAAAAGGCAAGAGGAAUCCUCAACUUUUCUUCUUUUACUAAGAUUGUCUCUAGUAAGCACUUUAUUUUUAAAUAAGAACCAAAGGAAGCAAUGCACUAUGGGUGGAAUCUUUAGACUCCAAAUGGCUGAGACAAAAAUAGGCUUUAUACCUCUAAAAUUAACAACCAUAUAAAGGGAUUGAGAAGAGUAAAUCUCAUUCGAAGUGAACAGCCACACUAAAGAGUCGUCUUCUUCAAAGAAGUUAAUGGUUGAGGCUAACUAAACAACCUCCCACCACUGUUCCUCCAAAUUACUAUAUAUAUACAGUUCUUGUAAAUGUGCAUUUGAGAUUCUCGCCAUCCCAAAUCUCUGCCAUAGUCAUAUUUUUUCUCACUAACUAUCCUGUAUAACUUCCAAUAUUGAAUAGCUAAACUGGAGGAUCUCAACCAAUUGUACUCCCAAGACCGAACCUUAGUACCACUAACUAUCGUCCAAUAGUACAUAGCCCAUUAUAUUCUUUUCACUUGGGCAGUCCACAUGAAACCUUUGAAAAAACUUGAAGCUCCCUCUGUCCUAGUCUAAAGAAUAUUAGUAGGAUUACAAGUGUUGUACUUGUAAUCAAGAAGCUCUUUUUCGAGCUUCUCUCUAUUUACUGUAUAUCUCUUAAGCCAAGAAAGACAACAGGCAAAUGUUUAAAUCCCUAAGAUUAGGGAUGCCUAGACCACCAUACUCUUUACCACAUAGCAACUCUUUACCAGGUGGCAAGGUGGCACUUACUAUUACCUUCUGAGUCGUCAUUCCAUAGGCAAUUAGCCAUAUGAGAAUUCAGCAACUAAAUAUCCCAUUUAGGGGGUGUUUAGUUCAAAAAAAAUACAAAAUGUAAAAUGCCAACUAUAUUGGAACGAUGAAAUGCAAAAUGUUAAAAUUUUCAAGGUUAUGUUUAGUUUCCAUCUAAAAUGCAGAAUUUAUUGUCCUCAUGAGGGCCUCUUGAGGCUCUUUUGGGUUUUUUUGGCCUUUUGAGACCAAAAUACUAAAUGAAGAAUAACCAUAUUUUUGCCAAAAAUUAUGUAAAAUGAUGGACCAAAAACCAGAAUUUUUUGGAAUAGUAGGGAAACUAAACACUCCUUAGUGUACUAACGAAAAGAAAGGAUGUAAACUGGAAUACUAGCUAGACAAGUUUCAAUCAGAACACCUCUAGCGCUUUCAGUUGAUGGAUGGUAAUUAAGCACCAUAUUUCGUCGCGUCUCAGACGUGGCACUACGCUGCAAUAAUAACGACAACGUAAGGAAGAAAAUCUCGAGGCGUACGAUGCAAUGUCCUUCAUUUCCCCGGCCCAUUUUUAUCAAAAUAAAGAAACAAGAGAGAGCGAUAGGUGGCUGGUGUGACACGCAUCGCACGAUUGCACGUGCGCCCUGCACCUAAAAAUCGCAGUCGUCGACGUCGCGCUAUAGCUACCUGCUAGUAGCUCCUCCACUCGCUUCCACAUAAACAAAACGCAUCACGAUCGCGCGCUGAUGCUCGCCAACGUCACCAUCGGCCGGCGACGACGACGACGCGCGGUGGUGCCAUAUAUUUCCGAUCCGAUCCGAGGAAACCGGCGGCGUCACGCAACCCAACACACCGCCUCGCAUUUCUUUUCAAAGAGAGAAAAAAAUACUAUUGAAUGAUUAACUAGGAUCAUGUCCGUGCGUUUCAACGGGUACAAAAUAGUAUCACAAUAAUUUUAAGUGUGAACGUAUGUACUUACCAUAAAAAAUAAUACUUUAAGGACGACGUUUGCAACAAUGAUCAUCACUAUUACAUGAGUUUUCUCAAAGCAUAAGUAGAAUAGAAUUAAGUUUUUGAUGUAAAAUCAAAACAAUGUACUUCGUACUGUAACAACCUUGCUAUUACGACUAUCUACUACCAGCCAUUGUCUAUGGUACCCUUAAGAUAGUCUUGUGACUUUACAUGAGUUGAAAUUCGCCUAGAAUUCCCCUACAAAGUCCAUUCGGAGCCUUUGUUCGACCAUCCUGUGCAAAGUCAGAUAUAGCAUUAUAGAUUGAUGACCAACAUAUUAGGUUUCAAACUAAACCGUGGUAGGCAGAAACAUGCAAGACUUAGAGGAAUAUCUUCAAACAAAAAAAUGCAAAACUGAUUUUGUCAGAUAGUGAUAAGUGGUAGACAAAGGCCUAAAAUUAAAGUUACUAUGAAACACAAGACUAAACUGAUCCUAUAUAGUUACAAGAAUCAGUAAUCACAACUAUCAACAUGACAGGUCCAUGUUCUCAACCUGUUAUUCGAUUUUAUUCAGAUAAACAAGCAGUACAUACCUAACCCUGUUUUCUGAAUUAAUCAUGGAGGAAAACCAGCUUCAUAAAAUCUGUUGCAAGAUGAACUGAAAGAGUUGGACCUUGAAACUGAAAAAUUCAAUCACAGAGCAAAGAUCAUGUCAAAAGCUUCAAAAAAUCCACAUAAUUCAGGACCAACGAAUCCACAUGAAAAAAGUCUGCUUCUCUGAUGAUAGCUUGGUUACUUCCUACCAACACAACAUGCAGAUUUAUUAGUCAUCCCUAUUAUUAGACCAGUUGACAUAGAGACCAUAAGACCAUAUCCAUAUGGGCUUCAUGCCAAUUCAGGACCAAUGCAUGGCUUCUAUUCUGUCUUACCAAAUCCAUUUUUUGCAAGACGUAAUAAAUAUAAAAUACUUAUUUGUAUCGGAGUUCCUAAGCCAAAGGAGGCAAGGAUUAUGGAAAAUCAGAUGCAUGCAGUCCUAUUCACUAUUUGAUAACUCGAGAUGAAUGAUAUGCAUAACCUGAUUGAUGGAUUCUCCUAUAAUCAAUUAUUGUGCAAAUUACCACAAACACACGUGCUACAUGUAGUGGUUCAUGCAUGGAUCUGGAUCACUAUUACUCUCGCCUAUAGUGUAUCAGUCAUUUGUAGGUACAUUUAUUAGCAAUUACAGGGAUACAAUCAGUCAGAAGAUGGUCUAUGAUGACACCUAUUUUGAAUGGUAGGAAGAGAAUUUUAAAAUGCUUAGUAAUAAAUGCAUAAUAGUGAAUAAGGUGUGCUAACCUCAUUAUGUGCCUCAAUACCUUCAGGGUUAUCAUCACAGAAAAAAAAACCUACAGACUAAACCAAAUAAAAUGUGAAAUUGUUACAUUGCUCUAGAACAGGAUAUCAGUUUUUAGUGGCAUAAUCUUAGAUAAUGGUACUGAAAAAUCUAACAAGAUGUUCAGGUAAAUUGUUCAACAGAGAUGACAUUGCCACUGGCAUCCCCGAGAGAACUGAAAUCUCAUUCUUGGAGCCAGCAUUGCCUUCGGCCCAUGCCAUGUCGGCCCUGCACAUAUGCAUUGUCUACAUGACCAUGCAAAUCAAGAUACAGUCAUGCACAAACUUGCCAAUAUUACUUAUCGUAAUAGAAAAGAUAUCCCUUCUUCUAAUCAAUGGGUUAUCAUCAUGUGGACUUUCUGAAUUUGACCAUACACAACAUCGCUGCUUUCAUUUCCUUAAUCACAAAGACCAUUUCAUUUGUAGUCAUUACUGCACUGUUGCGUUUAGCUUUUCAACACCUUGAGUUCAGUCGUAUGAGUGUUACCAUUCUAUACAAAAAGAGGAGAAUGCUGAGUGUGUUACCUUUUGGUAUGUGCACUGGAUGACAUAAUCUCAGAUUGUGCUAAUCCUUCUUUCAUUUGGUUCUCCAUCUCACUGUCUCAGAAGUACAUAAUUAACCAAUUGAAAACAAUAAUUAUGGUCAAAUCAAGACUUGUAUGAUCAAUGAAGCGAGACUCACCUGGAUUAAUGAAGCGAGUGCUGCUGGUUUGAAUCGAUGAAGACACUGAUUGAGCCUCCUCCCACUUCGUCAAAAUAAAGAACCUGUUUGAGCAAUGUGCAAUGAUGAUGGACUCAGUGUAGUUUUUGGGAAACAUCAUUCCGGGUCCACUUGCAGGGAGUGAGUCAUUGCAUGACGGAGUAGCGUGCGAGCGGGGGGAGCAUUCAUAGGUUGUGAAUCAUCGGUGGGUAAACAUUUUAGUUGAUAUUAAUCAUUCCUUCUCCUCCUUACUUUUCUCCUCUAGCAGCAGCACUGCAACAAAAAAAAAUUGUAGCAAACGGACAGGGGGCUACACAAAUAAAAUAUUAUGGCAUUAAAUUUAGUUCGCACAAAUCACAGGCACACAAUAUAAGGGAACUAUAGGGAUCACAACUAAGUAUCAUAUUAUGACUCCAACAUCAUGUCAAUAUAGGACUUAACAAGAAAGGGAAAUAAGGAGGGUUCUAGCAUGUUAAUAUCAGACCCCUAAGUCAACUCAUAUAACUGAUCCUGAUUGGCAAGAAGAUGGUACUAUAAAUAAUAGAGAUAGGAAUAGCAUCUGUUUUCAGCUUUGCAUGAGAACAAGUAGCAUCUACAUUAAGUUUUUGCAAUUGUCGUACUCCUACAGUUUUAUCAUGCAAUGGGGUACUGCAUACUGUAAAAGAAAAAUCCAUACCUUCACCUAUGGAUUCCAUCCUUUAGUUAUUCAUAGUGCAGUAAAGAACAAGUCUGAGACAGUUAACUACCUUGUGCAAACAAUUCACAAUAGCUUUAAUUGGAGGCAGUGUACACUGGAGCAGUUGAAUUGGUUCCCGGUACAGCAGAUAACUAAUGCCAAAUACGGUACAGAAGAAAUCAGUUUCACUAAGCAAAGCAUGUGCUGAGGCAGCUGUUUCAACCCAUAAAUCAGUGAGCUAUUUCAAGCCUGACGAAUAGAUUAUGUUUUCAAGCCAUAACUGUACAUUCAGUUAGCAUGAUUUUGAAAACAAUUUUUUAGCAUGGUUCACUUUUCUCAAAAAAAACAUGCUUACAAAGGAGCAUCUAGGUUCAGCACUGAACUGAUUCUGCUACCCACAACAGUAAUAUAAUAUACAGAAAUCACGCACAUAUGCUAUAGCACCAAAUUUGAAACGGGUAACACUGCCCAGGACACAUCACCCAUCAUCGAAGAAAUCCAACCCAGCGGCAAUACACAAUCCUCAGCACUGCACUGUACCCAGAUUGCAAGACGACUCAUGAGAGAGGGCGGGCUGGUGCUAGGACUCACGAAGAACUUGUAGAUGUUGAGGUUGGCGUUGAUGGUGAUGACCUGACGCCCACCAGGAGAGGCUAGGAGCGGAGGUGGCGGCGGCGUCGCGGCGACGACCAGGUAGCCUGUCAAAUCGGUGGCCUAACCACGGUUUUAGGGUUCGGUGGAGGGCACCAGCGCCACCGGUGGAUGGAGGGCUGGGAGCAAGCGUGUCGAGGCGGUCUCCGCAACGCAGAGGCCGAGAGCGGGGGUGGAGGUGGUCUCUGCACCGUGCUGAAGCCAGAGGACACCCGCCUGGUGGAGGCCUGCAAUGGGAGCGGAGGCGACACCGGAUCUCAGGGGAUUGGAGGAAGCAGGGAGUGGGGAGAGGGGGUCGGGAGGGAGGGACCUCGAGGCUCGGGAGCAAGUGUCAAAGGGAGCUCGGGGUUCGGGGCUUGGCAAGCAGUUGGAGGCCGGCGGCGUCGGCGUCGGCGUGGGCAGGAGUAAAGUUUUCCAAACCGGCCGCGUAAAACGGGCUGGCCGAGUCCGGUGCGAAAAAGCCCGGUCCUAGCCCGGUCCAGCCGUGCCCGUGCCUGGGCCACGAGGACGGCCCGUAGUGCCGGCCCGGGCACGGCCCGCUCCAACGGGCGGCACGGCUGCGGCACGGCAUAGCCGUUGGAUGAGGGGAGGAGGGAGCACAGCCGUUCGAUUUAGGGCGACGGGGCUGGCCAUAUAUAAGCCAGCCGCUGCGGCCGCUCCCUCUCUAAACCCUAGCUCCUCUCAUUCUUCUCCCUCACGCCGCUCCUCGCGCCCGUUCGCAUCUCGCUGGUCGCUCUUUGCCCGCACCCCGUAGCGGCGCAGCUCGCUCGCAGGUCGCUCGUCGCCCUCUCGCUCUCUCCCUCGUCGUCGUUCCCUGCUCCGCCGUAUCCAUGGCGAACUUCGGCGGGUAAGAGGUCACAUGUGGUGGGUUUCGUCCUCAAUCUUGACCCUCUCUCCUCCUCUCUGCCCUCAAUCUCCCCCUCUUCUCUAUCAGAUUUGGUGGUUCCCGCCCUCAAUCUGCAUCUGUUCCCUUGUUCUUGAUCUCUGAGCGUGAGAGGCAAUUCCUCCCCGACUGCUCCGCGUCUUUUGUCUGUCAUUCUCAUCGCCGGCUAGCGCACCCUCCGGGGCUCCGGUCUCCGUUGAGGUACCGGGGGUGUGCUCACGGUCCUUCCCGUCGUCUCUGGUGCUCCGGCUGUACAGGUAAUCCCUAACCGUAAUCUCUAACCCUAACCCUAAUCCCUAAUCCUAACUACUUGUUCUGUUCCCUUGUUCAUUGCUGCAGCCGUCGAGGUACCGGAGACGGCAAGGAUGGCCCUAGGCGACGAUGAAUGCGAGUUUGAUCACUCGCAGAACGAUGAGCUACGGAUGUGCGGGAUGACCGGGGAUGAUGAGGACGACAAUGUCCAAGACGACGUUGUUGCGGUCUUUGGGCGGUCUGCUGCUGAUCCCCAUCCCCGUGAUGAUGAUGGCAUCCCGGUGGAUGCGGCUGCAGCUGCAGUUGAUCCCGAGGGUGACGGUGGUGAAAGCGAGGUAGCAGGCUCCAAUCGGCCUUCUACCUCUGCUGUCUGGGAUGAUUUUGAGAAGCUUUUCAAGAAGGUGCCAGGUAAAAAAUACCCCGUCAGGUAUGCUGCUAUUUGCAAACACUGCAAGAGACGAUACUCUGCUUAUUCUGCUAAUGGAACUGGUCAUCUUACUCGACAUAUUAAGGUAUGUGUUAAGCGUCGUGAGAAGUGUCGCCUAUCUCAAACCCAUAUUGGUUUUAAUCCUGAUGGAACUGUUUGAAGCUGGAGUUACAAUCCUGAACUUGCUCGUGUGGAGCUUGUUCGUAUGUUUGCUAGGCUAGAUUUGCCCUUAAUGAUUGGUGAAACAGAAGCAUUUAAAGAAUUCAUUAAAAAGGCUCAUAAUCCUGCUUUUAAUCCUGUGUCUAAGCAAACAACUGGUAGAGAUCUGUUUAAGUACUUUAAUGCCCAACGUGAAAAGUUGAUUGCUUGUUUGCAAGAUAAUGUUGUGUCAUCUGUUGCUAUUACCUCUGACAUUUGGUCUGCAAAGGCCAAAGAAGAUUAUCUGUCUGUUGUGGCUCAUUUCAUUAAUGAUGAUUGACAAUUAGAGAAAAGAGUGCUUGGUUUAAGGUUGAUUGAUGUCUCACAUAAUGCUGAUAACAUUGCUGAGCGUGUUAAAACUGUCCUUGCUGAGUAUGGUAUAAUCAACAAGGUUUUCCCUAUGACUUUGGAUAAUGCAUCUGCCAAUAAAAAUGCAAUGGAUAAAUUGAAACCUAUACUGAAAGAGUAUUUAGGUGCUGAUCUGUUUUUGCAUCAAAGAUGUGCUUGUCAUAUUAUUAACCUGAUUGUUAAGGAAGCAUUGGUUGCUGUUACUCCUCUCAUUGACAACUUUAGAACUGCAAUCUCUUUUUUGAACUCAUCUAAUCAAAGAAUUGCUGCAUACAAGAGUUAUUGCAUUGCUUCAUCUGUUAGACCUAGGAAGUUCUCACUAGACAUGGAUGUGAGGUGGAACUCCACCUACCUUAUGCUGAAAACAUUGUUACCUCAUAGGAGUACUUUUAGUACUUUUAUUGAGGCUAAUUAUCCUAGAGCACCUGGUGGUCCUUUCCUGAUGAUCACUGGGAAAUGGCUGAGAAGAUGUUACAAUUUCUGGAACUGUUUUAUGACUCUACUGUUGCAUUAUCUGGUGUGUACUAUCCUACUUCUCCACUUAUGAUCCAUCAUAUUGUCAAAAUUGCUAUUCAUCUGCAUAAAUAUCAGCAUGAUGAGCAUCUGAGAUCUGUUGUGCAGUCCAUGAUUGACAAGUAUCACAAAUACUGGAAGAACAUACCUGAUCUUUACUCCAUUGCAUUCAUACUGGAUCCAAGAGCUAAGAUUAAGGGCUUUAACAAAGUCCUAAGAAAGUUGAAUUCUCUUUUUAAUGUUGGUUACACUAACACGCUGCUGGACACUAGAGCUCUUCUUUUCAGGAUGUACAACAGGUAUGAUGCAAUGUAUGGCUCUGUUAGGCUCAAAAGGGUUGUACCUACAUCCCUUUCUGGUAAGAAAAGAACAGCUUGGGCUGACAUUUAUGAUGAUGAUGAGCUUGACAUUGGAGCUGGUUGUUCUUCCCUCCCUUCUAAUCUUGAUGAGUCCAGGGGUGUUUCUGCCACCUCUUUACUACAUGCAGCUUCUGCUUCUAACUCUAGUGAGCUUGCAUCCUACCUAGACUCUGACACAGUCAGCCAGUUAGAUGAUGAAUUUGACCUCAUGCAGUGGUGGCAUGAGCACAAGCUUACUUAUCCUGUGUUUUCUGUUCUUGCAAAAGAUAUCUUUACUGUGCCUGUGUCAACUAUUUCUUCAGAAUCUACCUUUAGCACUACUGGCAGGAUCAUCGAGGAGCGUCGCCGGAGGCUGAACCCUGAGACUGUGGAGGCACUUACCUGCAUCAAGGACUGGGAGAAUGCUGAAGCAAGACUGCAGCACAUGGUGGAGGACAAGGACCUUGAGGAGGCCUUUGAAGCUCUUUAUCUUGAUGUUGAUUAAGUUCUCCAUUUUUGUAACAGUUAUGUAAUAGCUUGGGACUUGGAACAUUUUGGUGGCUGGAUGCCUGGAUGGAUGUCAUGAACUCAUGAACUAUAUUAGGAGCUGGUUGUACUCUUUUCCUGUUAGGGUUUCUCACAAGGGUGAGUUUUACCUAACAGGUUUUUAAUGAGGCAGCCAUUGCACAACUCCUACUUUAAUUAGUUUUAGUUUCAAAUUUGUCAAUGUAUUCUUUGCUUUUCUGUGCAAUUUCUGUUCUUUUCUAGUAGUUUAAGAAUACUAUAAAUUUGCAUUGUGAAAUUUCAAGUUGAAUGAAUAUAUAUAGACUUGUGAAGUUUUAGUGUCAGGGCCGGCACGGGGCACGCUGGCCCGGCGUGCUGGCAUGGCACGUUUGGCACGGUCCUAGGAUUUUAGGGCCGUGCUAGUGCCUGCUUCCCGGCACGGUAGCACGACACGGCACGACACGCUUCUUUUACCGUGCCAGCCGUGCCGUGCCCAGACGGGCCGUGCCGAGCCGUGCUAGGGCCGUGUAGUGCCGUGCCGGCACGUUUGGAAAUCUUUAGGCAGGAGUUGGUCGCGGUGAUACCCGUGCUGCAGAGGGCUCGUCGUUGGCGCAGGGGCUCAACCACGGCGUUGGCGUGGCGGGGAUCGUCGCCGACGGGACUCAGUCGUUGGCGUCGCCGUCGUUGGAGUGGAGGCGAGCGCGGGCAUGGGCGGGCGUGCGCGGCCACCUCAGCCAGCACCCGACCCUCCGGCGGCUCCUGGAGCGCGAGGCAGCGGCGACCGCCUCGUUCAACCGGCGGCGAUGGCGCACCAGCAGAGGGCACAGGCGAGCGCUCAGUAGAGGAGGGAUUGGGGUCGGGGUGCGUUGGGAGAGGAGAGGAUGGGGUGGGUGCGUGGAGAGAGGAGGGGAUGGAGUGUGGAUGCGUGGGGAGGAGUGGAGGACAGGCACGAGUGGAGGACAGUGGCUCUGAUUGGCUAGGGGCAAGGAGUUCAGUUGCGGGCCGAGGAGGCUUCACCAAGGGAGCGUGGUAGACGGGUCUAGGAUUCGUGUUUUAAGUAGGAGAGAUAAAUUCGACUGAUAAACUCACUCUAACGGGCUAUAUAUAUAUAUAUAUAUAUAUAUAUAUAUAUAUAUAUAUAUACACCUCGCUCUCUCCACACGGACCCUCCAUACCGGGCGGCCAACGCGUGUGAUGUGCCGGCCAGCAGCGCGCAACCACGCCUCCCCACGUACAGUAUAUAUACAAAAGCUUAGCUUAGCUUUGCUUGCACCGUGCCGCCGUCGAUCUGAUCGACGCGUACCAGCUACUAGUGCAUGCGUGACCAAUAGCUAGCAAACGCUCGCUAUUGAUCGAGUCCGCCAUCCAUGGCGGCGGUGGCGGCGGUGACGACGACGGCAGCAGUGGGGAAUGGGAUGGCGGUUGAUCGGGUGGUGUUGGCGUUGAACGGGCAGAGGUACGAAGUGGCCGGAGUCGACCCGUCGACGAGGCUGCUGGAGUUCAUCCGCACCCGGACGCCCUUCAAGGGCCCCAAGCUCGGCUGCGGCGAAGGUACGUACGCUAGCUGCACGUAGCAUGGUAUUUUCUACUAUGAUAAGUGCGGAUCUUCCCACUCUUUCUCAUCUGCUUCUGCCUGUGGCCAUCACCAUGCAUAUAUACAAAAUCAUUUAGAUUGAAUCGGAUAGGACACGUCUGAUGGGUAGGCUAAACAAAUCAUGUACCAUGCACCGUCAAUUAGAUUAAUUAUUAAACAAGUAAAUUUGAUUGGACGAAUGAUGAAUAGUUAUGCACACCUGUAGUCAGCAACGGGUUUUUCCUUAAAAAAAAUCAAAUAACAAUAUAAAAAAUAUAGUAACAGAUCUGAAACAAAUUAAGCGUCUGUCGCUUGUCGGAAAAGUCAUAGCUAAAAGUACUAUUUACUGAUUUGUUGUGAGAGAAAAACACUGUUAAAUGACUAACAGAUUCGGCAGAUAAGCUCAAAUCAACAGGGCCAAAGUAGUACUCUCUCUUGUUCAUGUGGUCCCACAGAGGCAAGGUUGAUGAUGGUGGGCGCAUCUCCGUCCACCAUGAGGAGGAGUUCAGGUCAUCGCGGAAUCGCUGCAGAGCAUGCAUGGUCAAGAAGGAGCGUAGAUCGACAACAUCUGAAAUUAAAAGGAUAUAUAUCUAGAAGGGGCGUGAGCUCCAUUGCCAAGUGCGACCAUCGAUGUCAGGGACGAGAAGUCCAGGUCGUGAUGACCUCCACAGAGAGAGGACGAGCAUAGGUCAUGAUGCCCUCCAGGGGGAGGAGGGACGGUGUGGAGGUCAAGCUCGGACAUGGUGGCAAGAGCUCGCCAGGGAGAUGUGACUAUAGGUGAGAGAGAAAAAGAGAGGAGGGAGGAAUAAAAGAAUAGAGAAAAAAAUGAUAAAUAGCUCAAUGACAAGUGGGUUCACGAGUCUAAAUACAACCUGAAUUUUAGACUUCUCCUAGUAUUUAAAUUUAAUAUAAAUUUCCCUACUAUAUGUCUCCUAAUGAGAUUCUCAUGUGCUAAUAACUAGUGGUAGUAUUUUAUUAUACUACCGAGUACUACUUAAAAACAAUAGAAGAAGUCUACCAUUUUAAUAAUAAAAACAAAAAGUUUUUUUGCCUAAUGUUUCUAUAACAAGCAAAUCUACAGCAAAAUAAAGUUGCUUCAACAAAUAAGGUGGAGCUAGUUCAAAAAAAACAAAUUAAGAAGGCGUGGAGCCGCCGUCCGGAAUCAUUUUAGCUGAAGUGGGACGAGCUGUGUAUAUAUAUCAAACGACCUCCAAAUAUGGCACACUAGAGGGGGUAGCAGUCGUGGCAUGCUUUAGUAGUCCAGCGUCCAUUGACGUCGACUAAUGCAGCAAUUAAUAUCGUUCGUGGUCCCAGCCAUGGCGCCCGAUCGAUCGGAUUGCAUGAGGACGAUGCAAUUCGAUCCCUUUCUUUCAUGGUACGGUUGGAUGGCACACACGUACUGUACGUGAUGUUGACUUUGCUGUUGAGGCAGCGGGAGCUAUGUUCAUUUUAGGGCCGGGGUUAUGGACGCAACCAGAAGACAAUUCAGGCAAUCGGUUAGUGUUAGUGAUGUGUUUUAUGUUAAAAAAAAAUUGUAGCUUUAUUAGUUCCUAACAGUUUUAAUUAAUUAUAUGCGUAGUCUGCAAUUUUCAGAUCCGAAUUUUUUUUAAGAAAAAACUAUAUUUCGACAAAAAUGAAUCUGAUCUGUGUUGGUAUAGAAACAAUUAACACACGAUGCAUGGAUGAUCAAUAACAAUCCCAUGCCGGGACGGCGACGACUUGGGCUGAACAACAACCGCUGGCUAGACAUACAUAUACACUAGGCGCCGGCGCCACGCACCCAAUCAUGCAUGCAUGUAUAGCAACAAGCUAGCUAUAUAGCAGCAAAGUCGAUCGAUCCCCGCUGCCGCUAGCUCUUCAACCCUCAACGCCCAUGAUGUUGAUCGACCAUAUGCAUAUGGAUAGUUAGCUAACUGUUGAAAUAAUGCUUGCUAAUUAAUGCAUGCUAGGUCGUCUAUAGCUUUGAGAUGUGACGAUGCUACAGCAGAUAUCUGCUUCGGUGUCACUGACAGGACUAGCUAGAAUAUGUAUGUACUUCCUCGUUUUCAAAAAGAGUAUAAUUUAGCUGUGGAAAAAUAUUUUACCCACUUUACAUCAUGCCUUAUAUAUAUAUAUAUAUAUAUACGGUAGCGCUAUUCUACACCGCAAGCCAAAUUUGAGCAGAAAAAAUACUGAGCAGUACUGGAGAGUGUUCAGUAUCAUCCAACACUACACUUAUGACCACGAAAUAUGAGCAAUACGCAUAGACGGAUAUAUAUAUAUAUACAUAUAUAUAUAUAUAUAUAGAUAUAUAUAUAUAUAUAUAUAUAUAGAUAUACAUAUAUAUAUAUAUAUAUAUAUAUAAAUUCCUUUGUAUAUGUACGUGUAGUUACUCUCAUCUUCAAUAAACUACAUUAUGUAUGUAUUCAUACUUGUUUAUCAGUUUGAGUAUGUUUAUAUACUCAUAUUAAGAUACUCUAGAUCUUACCACGCGAAUUUUUUUUAAAAAAAUAUAUUUUAAAUAUAUUACUAAAUUGCCACUACUAUAUUAUAUACAAUAAGUAUAACCAUAUACUCUAUGGCCUUGUUUAGUUCCGAAAACUGUAGCACUUUCGUUUGUUUGUGGUAAAUAUUGUCCAAUCAUAUACUAACUAGGAUCAAAAGAUUCAUCUCGUGAUUUACAGUCAAACUGUGCGAUUAGUUUUUGUUUUUGUCUAUAUUUAAUGCUUCAUGCAUGUGCCGCAAGAUUCGAUGUGACAGGAAAUCUUGAAAACUUUUUGGAUUUCGGGGUGAACUAAACAAGGCCUAUGUAUGUAUACUUAACAUACAUAUCACUCUAGAUGGUCUAGUAUGAUCAUAUACUUUGUCUAUAUACAUUUCAUCCGGUUAUAUACACCUUAAAUCUAGAGAUACAUAGAUGAGAGUAACUACACGCGCGUGUAAAAGAAACGCAUCCUAUGAUCAUAUAAAUGGAUUAUGGAUGGACAUGGAUGCAGAAUAUCAUCUUGUGGUUGUGGUGGCUUGAGUAUCAAAUUAAACUAUCUUCGGAGAUAGCGAUUGGGCUGUACAGCACAGUACAUGUGUGAUUAUGGCAGUGUAACGACGAUAUGUGACCUGCCGUGGUCCAAACUCCAAAGACGUCGUACGUGCAAAAGUCGCCAAUUCUUUUUACUUUUUUUGUAGGGAUGGUGCAUGAGUCCCACGGGUAUAAGAAAAAACCAUUACUUUAGAAGGUAUGUACUUGCAACGCGAGUAGUUCGACAACUAUAUCGAGAACGGUCUCAAAAUCAACUUUUUUUUAGCUGCCUCUAAAAAUGUCCUCUAUUUUACUUUUUAAAACCGUUAGUAGGGGCGCCCCUAACACUUUUUAUCUUUAUUAACCUAGUCUAAAAAUUCGUCCCUGCAGAGAUUAGAACUUGGCCUGCUAGAGUGCUAAUGAGUACUCCCUCAGUCCAAAAGUUUUUUGCACUUCUAGAAGUGGGCACAAACUGAGGCAAGUGUAUGUGUGGAUGAGAAGCAUCUAGAAAACCUUUGCAUGAAAAGACGGGUGAAGAAUGAGUGGACGAGAGAGCAUCUAUAUCCUAUAACCGCAGUCCGUGAAAAGUGUUCACAUAUUCCCGGAAAAUUUUUAAAUCCCAAACGUACAAAUAUUUGUUGGGUACAGAGGGAGUAGCUCCAACCGCUGGAGGUCCGUUCACCCUCUAUUUUAGAUAUGCCUAGAAAAAACAAUGGCCUAAAGAAAAUUCCUUUCUAAUAAAGACAGCUAAUCACAGCUAGAAAUAGAUUUGUAGAAGCAAUUGGCAAUUUGAACUGCCUUAGUAAAGUUCUUAACUUCAGAUCUAGAUGAAUGAAGGAAAACUUUAUAACAAAGUUAGAAUACUCGAAGAUAUCUACACCUUUAUAGUUGACUAAUUUUUCUUUAAAAUCAUUUAAGACCUGAUAAUUUUACAUUAAUUUUUAACAAUUUAAAAUUUGAUUUUUUUUUUCAAAUGGCCUUAGAUGGAGAAAUGACCUAAACGAAAGUUGUACUACUUAAAGAGAUCUAAAACUUUGAAGUUGACAAUAUUUUCGUUUAUAAGCAUUUAGAGCAGGAGAUUCUUCUUUAAUGUUUCUUAAUUUGAAAUUCAAAUUUUUAAACUUUUAAUAUAAAGGAUGGAGAAAUGAUACAAACCAAAAUUGAAGUACUCAAAGAGAUCUACAAAUUUUUAGUUAACUACCUUCAUUAUAUUUUGGGUCCUAAAAAUUCUUUUUUAAGUUUCAACAUUUAAAAUUCAUUUUUUUAUUUUUUUCAAAUAACAUCAGAUUGAGGAACGACCUAAACUGAAGUUGUUGUACUUUAAGAGAACUGAAGUUUUGUAGCUUACUACUUUUCAUUUGAAAUUGUAGGUCCCCAAAAUUAUGUUUUAAGUUUUAAGUUUUUCGAGUUAUUUUGUUUAAUUUUUCAAAUGAUCUUGGUGGAAAAGCAACCUAAACUAGAGUUAUAUAGUACUCAAAAGAGAUAAAACUUUUAAGUUCGAAAUUCUUCAUUUCAAUUAUUUUAGUGUGUCCAAUAUUUACUAUAAUAUUUGCUAUAGUAAAUGAAUUGUAUCAACCACUUAGUCUGAAGUAAAAGUGGAGUGGUAAGGAAGAAAAACACGCAAAAUGUGUGUAUUUUGCAUGGCACAUGGGUGUCAGCAGUUGCCUUGUUGGCUUCUCUCCUAGGGUAAAUAAAUUUUGCUAUUGUUUAUCUGAUUUGCAAAUUCUGUAAAUAAUUUCUAGAGGCGGUUAGAUCUCAUCCCGUCUCUAGAAAUUGAUCUCUACGGGUGAUUAGGUUUUGGCCUGGAUUUUUAGAGACGGUUAAAUAAUUGUCUAGAGAUGGGUGGAUUCUAUACCAACACAUUCUACCCACCUCUAAAAUAGUUCAUAUAGUAGUAUUUUUCUCUUAAGUAAUGGAUCCAAAUAGAGCUUAAUACCUAUGUACUCUCUGUCACACCCAUAUUUUAAGAACAAAAUAGGAUGCAUAAAAGACUCAUAUGUGCCCCAGAAACAGUCGCACACAUAAGUAGACAAAUCUCAAAUGUACCAUUGCAGUGUUUAUUACAUAGCAGAACAAUAAUAAAUCACAUAGUCGCAUACAAAGAUGAUAGCAUAAAGUAAACAACGCUCUCGACGGAAGCUCCACACAGGGACAGCAUUGACUGGUUGACUCCAAGCUUAGUACUCAUAACGGUAAUCCUCAUUCCAGUCAUCAUCAUUAUCAUAACCUGGGGUGUUGGGAAAUUGCAAGAGUGAGCACAUAUCGUACUCAACAAGUAUAACCAGGGGUUCAUGAGGCUCAAAUAGCUGACACUGGUUUGAUUGCAUUUAGCUUUUAAUAGUGGAUAACAUGUUUAAUCAUUGGAUAGCAAAUAUCAAGGUAGCAUAAUUAAUCCCAUAACCACAUGAUUAAUGUAUACAAGAAUUAAGAAUAACACAUAUAAACAACUUAAUAAACCAUCAUUUAUUAUCAUUAUUCACGUUCAUCGGUGUCCAUCUAUUCCGUCAGUUUUCCGGGCCGCCCGUAUCCGUGGGCACGGCUAGUAUACCAGAUUUAACACUCUGCAGAGGUUGUACAUCUUUACCCAUGAGUCAUGAUUUACCCUUUCGCCCGAGGUAGCUAAUCUCUUAACCCCCUUCCAAGGGAGGUCGGCAGGGAUCACUAUGAAGUCUUUCAAAAGUUCGUCUAACAUGUUAGGGCCGUAAAGUUUCCUUUGCGCGCAGAUAUAGAGCCCCCCUUCCGAUGGCACAAUGACUCGCAGCCUAUACACAUACAGACAGAGGCCACACUAUACCCAAAACGGUUCAGCCUCUCCACCCUUUCGGGUAACCUCUAACAAGCUAGAAAAGUUCUUCAUACUGAGCUAAAGCCAGAGUCAUAUAGCCCUCAUGGUUGUACGAGUUGUCCCAGCUUUUGCCAAGGGAUAAGUCCUUUAUGGAGGGUCAAGAUCAAUCCAGCAAAAGCCAGAGUUCUUUCCACCCUUUAUAUUCAAGUUGCUAGAAAGCUUAUUUUAUUGUUUAUUGUAUAUUCAAAUGUUCAUGUUACAAGAUCAUGGAUUAAUAAUCAAGCACUAGCAAGAACUACCCAAAUGCAUAUCCAAAUAGGUAACAAGAAAUUUAGGAUAACAAUCAUCUAUGAUUUUGCUAAGGUCAUCAAGGUGGACACAUGCAUAUGAUCAAUAUUGUAUUAAAUGUAUAUAGGUAACAAGGAUAAUCCCAAGUUAUACUUGCCUUGAUCAAAGCUCUCCUGAGCCUGCUGGUCCUCAAAGGCUUGGUCUUGAUCACCAACGUACGGGCUCACCGUCUAUUCCCAAACAUCAAUCAACAACACGCAAUCCAAUGUAGACAAUCAUACACAAAGCAAACAAGCUAUAAUUAGAACAUUACACCAAACAGUGAAAAAUCAAAGAUAAAAGUUUAUGAAAAUAUUCUACGCAGCGCUACGAUCACACAAACGUAAAGUUCAUGAAAAUCGGAAUUAAAACGGAGAAGUUAUGCAUUUUCCAAGAUUUCCUAUAGAGAAACAAUUAAUUAAAUAGUACCAGGAAAUUAAAAAGUUUCAAAACAGAGAAUAAAUAAUUCUAACAUGUAGAGCUUGUAAAUACGAAUCUAACGAGAUUUGAAUGGACAAAAACGGAGUUAAAAUGAAUAUUUUAUGACCAAUUCAAUUCCAAUGGCAAAACUGUAAAUAUCUGAUUGCGCCUUUUCACUUGAACCGACGAAAAUACGUGUUUAAAGUUGAGAAAACGUAUUUGGCGGAAUAUGCCAAGGACCGCGGGUUAAUAUAUAGAUUUCUCCGGGGAUUCUUUAGCAAAAACGCAAGUGAAAAGGUAUCUUCUAAUCUCGACCGUCCUGAGAUCUGACGGUGGGGGAGCGAUCCAGGGGCCAUGCCGGCCGGCUGGCCGCCGGAACAGCGCCACCCACGGCGGCGCGCCAUGGGCGCCGCCCAGGACUCGCCGGAGUUCACGGAUCUCGUUAAUCCGCGCGCUAGAAGAGAAAAGAAAAGCACCAGGCGAGAGAGGAGCUUACCCCGAGCUCACCUGCGUACUUGGCACGGCCUGAGAACGCGCAGGGAGGGCUCGCCGCGGUGGGAAAGAGUUCGGCCCCGGUGAGAUUCGAAAACGCGCGGACCAGUGCGGCUAGAGCUUGGUUUCACGAUUUAGAUGCAAAGGGGACUUCGCUGCGGUGCUAGGGAGUCUUAUAGGACGCGAUUGAGCAAAAAAUCCCGGGAUUGUAGGAGGUUUGUUUCCAAUUCUGUGAGAGGAAGAGGUCGGCUCGGUCUCGGCCUGAGGAAGGAGAAGAAGAAGUCGCUGCCACGUGGGCCCGUGCUGCCAGAGAAAGAAGAGGGCGGGACCCGGCUGUCAGCGAGUGGAAGGAGAGGGGAAAGGGAGUGCGCGCUGGCGGGCCUGGCUACUGGGCUGCGGGGUCGCUGGUUGCGCACGCUGGGCCGGGGAAAGAAGCUGGGCUGUGGGGGAAGGGGGCAAGCAGGCCAGAGAGGAGAAAUGGGCCUCAGCUGGCUGCGGGGUUCUUCCCCUUUUCUUUUUCUUUUUUUUUCUAUUUUAUUUUUCAAAGCCCUUUUCAAAUAGAAUUUUGAACACAAUUAACUUCAAACCAAAGUCUCACAGCACAAAAUAAAAAUAUGCCCCAGCAUGAAUGCAAAUUCAUGUUUUCUAAAUUUAUGGUGAAUUUUAAUUUGCACAAAAUUAUUUAUUUUGCUAGAUUCAAAUGCUCACAAAAAUACAUAAAUACAUCUAAUUAAAUCCUAUUAAUUGAAAUCAAAAUUUUGGGUGUUACACUCUCUCUAUAUUAAAUUUUAAUUCAUGUGGCUUUUCUAGAUAUAUUAUCUUAUACUCUUAUAAAGCUAAACCCCACUAGAGAAUUCUCUCAACAUACAAGCUAUCCACAUCAACAAUCCACUAGAACUUGCAAUUAUAGCUAACUAGCACAUAUAAUUAUGAUAGUUAUCUCUUCAUCCACUAACAUGCAUUUAGUUGGCCAGCCAAACCAUUCACCAAAAUUAAUUUAAGAUAGUUUCAUCCAUAUAAAUAUAAAUAAUCUAAUUUCUUUUUAAAUUAUUUGGAAUCCCCGCAGCAACGCGCGGGGUAUUCUCCUAGUUAAUAUUAAGUUCCAAACCAAAUAAUCUAAUCUAUUAAGUAGAUUCUAAUUCUUUCAAAAUGAAGAGAUUCAAACGGCCUAAGUUCAUAAACAUGAGCGACAUAUGAUUACUUGGUAUAGGAAACGGACUAAUAUGAACAUGAACACCUUGACAAUGAUCCAAAUAAAAACAUUACGAUAACACUAACCGAUAGAACCAAGAAUAAUAACUUCAAGCCUCGACCCAACAACCAACCAUAGUUUUUUUUGAGGCACAACAACCAACCAUAGUUCAUUGUUCACCUUCACAUAUAACUCGGAUACAAGUAUAAAAGCAAAUGCAAAGGCACACUCAUGAGGACACAAUUUACUAUUAGCCCCGUUCUAAAUUACAAGGGCAGCCCAAUGCUAAAAACCACACGUAACAUUUCUAUACAAAACUAUGUUACUAAUGGAUAGUUCUACAAAAUAAUUUUAUGUCCAAUCACAUGUCUUAUUUCUCUAUUAUCUACCUAUUAUAUUUUUCAUGUCUUGAAUCUCGUAUAGACAUAAUUUUUAUGAAGAAAUAAUUUCUUCAUCUCGUGUCUUUAAUUGUAGUGCCCUGUUAUUUAGUUGACACUUUAAUAAUGAACUUGAAAAACCAUCUAGUUUUAUGAUUGGGAGAUAUCUAAGACGAUAUUUUGGAUCUUCUAGAUACAUAACUUUUUUUAUGCAUUUAAAUAUGUAUUAUAUGUAGAUACACAAUAAAAAUAAUAUAUCUAGAAAAGUCAAAAGUUCUUAUAAUUUGGAACAGAAAGGGGAUUUUAUGAUGGAUAUCCCAACAAAAAAGUGGGAAAUGCAAAAAAAAGUCUAAAAACACUAAACUAUUUUGUCACAUUUUAGUAUCCAUCCAAAUUCCAAGGUCACUUCUCAUUAUUUCGAUAUCCUCUCCAAAAUAUAAAAAUACCAUGGGAUGAGAUUUCCCUCAGUUUUCAUCCCUGUGUUUUGAGCGGGGGAGCUGCUAUCAGCCUAGCAACAUAGUCCACAUAUAUAGUUCCAUAAGUCUAUCUCCAACAGACCUAUAAAGAGACCCAAACUCAAAAUGGGUCUCCAACACAAUACUUAUAGUCUCCAACAGAGUACCUAUAUGGAAGACCCAUUUUAGGUAUCAGGAGAGACAUAACCCAAAUAUGAAUAUCCUCUCUCCUCGAGAUCCAUUUAUAGGAAGGAUUCUCUUUUGGCUCUUUUGUUGGAGAAGACUAAAAAUAAGUAUAGAACCUUUUGCCUGUAGCACUACCCAAACUUCGAAUAGGUCUUGUAUUUUGGGUAAGGGAGCAUCAAGAGUUUUCAAUAAAACCUCCCAAUCUAGGAUUUUUUGGCAAGAAUAAAAAAGAACACAUCUCCAAGAGUUCCAAUCCCACCUCCUAAUCUUUUGGUACACGAAAAAAAUACUAAACACACGCGCAUAUAUAUCCACGCAUGUAUCGGUCUUCCAAUCUAAAGUAGAAGGGCGUGAAAAAAAUUAAGAGUAGAAAAAGAUUUCUGAUGCAAAUGUUAGAGAAAGAGUUAUAAAAAUAGUUAGGAUAACUUUUAAGUAGUAUAAGAUUUCUGAUGUAAAAUUGUUUUCUAUAUUUUACGAGUAAAUUAUUAAAAAUUGUUGAAGAUGAUCUUAUUUAUUUCUUCCAAAACUUUUGGUGAGUUGGAAAACUGCAUGGUUUUAGAAAGAAAUUCUUGGGAACUCUUAGAGAUGAUCUUAUGUAGUAUGUGCUCUUAGCACUUGUUUGAAUACAGUUAUAUUAAAUGAUUAAAAUGUAUAGCGGUCCCUAACUUGCGCUACUAUGUCGUUCCUAUCUCUAAAAUUGUAAAAUGGUCUUUUGGGUACCUAAUUAAUGCUAUUGUCUCGUUUUGUUCCAAUCGGGAGUUGACACGCGGUGUAAUCUUGCAACACCCCCCUAUAACACGAGAGGGCGAUUAAAAGGUCGUAGGUCCGAUCUCUUCACGACUCAAAGCCUAUGUAUUGGAGUAGACUGAUAUGAAAAUUAAUUAAUUUUUCACUCUGAGUCGCGAAGGGAUCAGACCCAUAGUCUUUUUAUCACCCUCGAGUGUUGGUGGGGAGGGGUUGCAAGAUUAUAGCACAUGUUGGCUCCCUGUUGGACCAAAACGAGACAAUAGUAGUGAUUAGGCAUCCAAAUGACUUUUUUAGAAUUUUAGGGGCCACGAUAACACAAUAACAUAAGUUUAAGUACCUCUAGUGUACUUUACUCUAUUUAGAUCGACACGCAAAUAGAUCGAGGUAAAUACAUGUGCAUCUAAAGCCCUAUUUGGUUUCUCCACCUAAACUUUAGUCACCUAAACCGGGACUAAACCUUAGUCACUAGGUGUUUGGUUUUGGUGACUAAAGAAACUAAAAAAGGCCAUUUAGUCACUUUAGUCAGGUAAGGCACCCUAACUAAAAGGUGAGAUUUAGUCCCAUUUAGCAACAACUGGUGACUAAAACUCAUUUAGUCCCAUUCAAUCAUAAGCUCAUUUAGUCCCUUUUAGUCAUAGCGUUUGAUGAAAAUGACUAAGGUUGUGUUGGUUCACAAAUCCUAAAGUUUAGUCACCUAAACCAGCUUCUAAAGUUUAGUCAUCCCAUGUGUUGGUUUGGAUGAUAAAGGUCUUUUAGUUCCUUUUAGUCAAGAUGUUUGACUCCAAAGUGACUUAAAGAGACUAAAAGAGAUAUUUUAGUCCCAUUUAGCACCUAUUCGGUGACUAGUGAGACUAAUCCUCUUUACACUACUAGAAUUCCGUUCUUUGCCGACUGCCAAAAGCAGUCGGCAAAGGCCCUAAAAUAGGUGGCAAAGGCUUUGCCGACUGUUUUACACGUAGCAGUCGGCAAAGAACACCCGGCAAAGAUUCUAUCGGCAAAGAAACCUUUGCCACCUGCCAAGAGAAAAGCAGUCGGCAAAGCCUUUGCCACCUGCCAGUAUGGCAGUCGGCAAAGGGAACGAACGCCGUUGUGAGAUGACGGAGCUCUUUGCUGACUGCAUUUCUUGGCAGGUGGCAAAGGGCUCUUUGCCGACUGCCUUUUGGCAGGUGGCAAAGCUGGAAUAAAUAAAAUUUCGGCCUGUUUUUUUUUAUUUUGUAUCACAAAUAUGAUUAUAUAACUGGAAUUCACAUAUAUCACACAGAUCCACAUAUAUAUCACACAAAUCUACAUAUGUAGCACACAUAAACCAUAAUAAAUGAGUUCAACAAGUCCAUCAUCCAACAAAUCAUACUAAGUGUGCAAAACCAACGUCAAACAUCCAACAUGGUGUGCAAAACCAACAUCAAACAUCCUGCAAAGUAUAGGAACCACAUAGCUAGUCACGCGUCCUGCGACCCGUCGCCACCGUCGUGUGAAGAGCUCCCAGCUGGCCACAAAGGCCACGAAGACGGUCCAAUCUGCGGCGCGCUGCUGUACACCCACCUAGAUCCGACCUGCUGAGCAGGCGGAGGGUCCACAUGUGAUAACAUUAAACCUCAAAAAGUUUUGUGAUUUUAUGACUUUUUUUGCUAUAUUUCAUUAAUUAAAUUCUUUAAAUUGAUUUUUCCACUCAAUAAUCCUACUAUGAACUAUAGGUACAUAAAAUAAUGAAACCUAGGCAUUCAAAAAAUGAUAUUCAUGUCGAAUAAUGUAUUUUUAGACCAUAUCCAAAAACUGACCCAAAAUUUUGAAGUCCGUGUCCACAGAACAUGAUCAUCCAAGUGCGGUACAAGUGAUUUUUAAUUAUAUAAAACUCAAUCGAAAUCAGAAAAUUACGAAACUUGUUGAGGUGUCAUGUUAUCACAUGGGGAGCCUAUGAUAAAAAUUGAAAAUUUUUGGAGCAAAUUGUGAUGUCAGAUGUACAAAACCCAAACACUUCAACAUAUGAUCAUAUGUGAUCAUAUUGGAAAUGUUUGGAUUUUGUUCAUCUGAUACUGCAACUUACUCCAAACUUUCUCAAAUUUUUUCUAUAGGGUCCACAUGUGAUAAAAUUAAACCUCAAAAAGUUUUGUUAUUUUUUGACUUUUUUUGCUAUAUUUCAUUAAUUAAUUUCUUUAAAUUGAUUUUUCCGCUGCAUAAUCCUACUAUGAACUAUAGGUGCAUGAAAUAGUAAAACUUAGCCAUUUGAAAAAUGAUAUUCAUGUUGAAUAAUGUAUUUUUAGACCAUAUCCAAAAACUAACCCAAAAUUUUGAAGUCCUUGUCCACAUAACAUGAUCAUCCUAGUGUGGUAGAAGUGACUUUUAAUUAUAUAAAACUCAAACGAAAUCAGAAAAUUACGAAACUUGUUGAGGUGUCAUGUUAUGACAUGAGGAGCCAAUGAUAAAUAUUUGAAAAAAAUUGGAGCAAGUUAUGAUGUUAGAUGUAUAAAACUCAAAUACUUGCUCAUGUGAUCACAUGUGAUCAUAUUGGAAAUGUGUGGGUUUUGUUCAUCUGAUACUGCAACUUGCUCCAAACUUUUUUAAAUUUUUUAUAGCUUCCACAUGUGAUUACAUGACACCUCGUCAAGUUUCGUAAUUUUCUGACUUUGUUUGGAUUUUAUAUAAUUAAAAAUCACCUCUAACACACGUGGAUGGUCAUGUCCCGUGGAUAAAGACAUCAAAAUUUUGGAUGAGUUUUGGGAAACAACCUUAAAAUAGACUCUCCAACAUGAAUAUCAUUUUUCGAAUGGCUAAGUUCCAUUAUUUGAUGCACCUGCAGUUCAAAGUAGGAUUCUGCGGUGGAAAAUACAAUUAAAAAAAUUUAUUUACAAAAUAUAGCAAAAAGGGUCACAAAAUCACGAAAGUUUAUAAGGUUCACUCUUAUUGCAUGUGGAGUCUAUGAAAAAAGUUUGAGAAAGUUUGGAGCAAGUGACGACAUCGAAUGUCUAAAACCUAAAUUCAAAUUUGUCUUUGCUGACUGUCUAACGGCUUGGCAGGUGGCAAAGGGGACGGAGAUGAGGGCCGUCACCUGGCCGCCACCUUUGCCACCAGCUUUUCUUUGCCACCUGCCAGGCAGCCACCUUUGUCGACUGCCUUUCUUUGCCACCUGCCAGGCAGUCGGCAAAGGCCGUCUUUGCUGACUGCCUUUCUUUACCACCUGUCAGGAUUGUUGGGCAGUCAGCAAAGAAUCCUUUGCCGACUGCCCUACCUUUGGCAGGUGGCAAAGGAUUUUAGCGGUCGGCAAAGCCUAGUUUUCCUGUAGUGUUAGUCUCUUUUUAGUCAGUUUGUUUGACAGUUUAGUCACAAAACUAAAGCUUAGUAGCUAAGUUUUAGAAGGGGAAAACUAAACAGGGCCUAAACGAUUUUAGAUUUAGCUAAGAGCAACUCCAAUAGGGUCCCUAUUUGAGCCCCAAUAGCUAAAUAUAGGUGUCGAGGUUAAAAAUCGAACUCUAGCAGAGCCCCUACUGGACCCAAAUUUAUUAGGCCAACAAAAUCCUCCCACCAGCCUUAAUUCCUGUUGGGUCACCCCCUCGGCCCCCAUCCACCUAUUUCACUCCGCGCGGUACGAAACUGCAGCGAGCGCCACCACCUCCCCUCCUCCAUCGCGCGACUACGAGCCCGACUCCACUCUGACGAGCGCCUCCACCUCCCAUCUAUCGUGCGAGCUCAAGCCUCCCUUGCUCGAAUGAGCCAUCUGCCUCCACUGCGCCACCAAAUCUGCUCCCUUCCCAUGGAUCUCCCUCCCCGAUGGCCACUCCGGCGAGCCGCCGCCUCCACUCCGUCACGGGUUCGACAUCCUUAGCCUACGAUUCACGAUGCGAGAUCCACCACCCGGUCGCACGACUUCUCACUAGCGACGCGGCUGCCAUGCUCUCUCCCCUUCUCACCGCCUCCCUUUUCCCCGGCGACCAAUGCCUCCUCUCUCGCCUCCCUCCGCCGCGUGGGUGCGCUGCCCCAGCCGUGCGAGCACAAGCAUCGUGCUCGCCUCCUUGACUUGUGUGUGAAGAUGAGAAGAAAGGCCUAGCUCAAUGACAGAUGGGUCCCCCAUGUCAUUGACUGCUGAUGUGGAUUUUGAGGGCUUUGUUGGGGGCUGUUGCUGGAGUAGAAGAAAUUUGUUGGGCCAAUAAAAAUAGAGGUGAGCACCCAAAUAAAAAGAGGCUCUGUUUUUUGGCUAUUGCUGGAGUUGCUCUAACUUAGUAGAGGCUAACCAAGCAUGCCCUAAAUAAGGUCUUAAGUUUAUUUAAAUUUAACAUGAAGAGUUAAAUAUACACAUAGCUGACGUUCAACUUUAACACCACUUAUUUAUAACUGAAAAUAUAGUAUAUAAUAAUAUAAAAUUAGGCCUUGUUUAGUUCUAAAAUUUUUUAGGAAAUUGACACUAUAACACUUUCGUUUGUAUUUGACAAAUAUUAUCCAAUCAUAGAUUAACUAGUUUCAAAAGAUUCGUCUCGUCAAUUCCGACCAAACUAUAUAAUUAGUUUUUAUUUUUGUUUAUAUUUAAUACUUCAUGCAUACGUCCAAAGAUUCGAUGUAACGGAGAAUCUGAAAAAAUUUGUUAGGAACUAAACAAGGCCCUAGUAAAGAUAGAUUUCGCUUGACGGCAGUCAAGCCAAACGACCAAUUUAGAAUUUACACAACACGACGGCUUUGUUCCUUUUCGUCGAAUAGCUUCCAAGCACUCCUUACCUCGCGUGACGCCGCCCGCCAUUGUCCACACCCUCUAGCCCUCGACGCAUGAAGAAGCCGCCAUUCCCGUGCCUUGCUUCGCCGAUGAGCGGCGGCAAGGGACCUCCCUGUCCAUGGCGCACGAGUUGGGGUGGCCGCGGAAUGCUGCCACGGGAUCUGCUGCCAUUGUUCGGACACGGCAGAGAUGCCGCCAGCAUCGAGCUCCUUCAGUGCCUUCGGUCCUGGUGGCGCCCUUUUCAUCCAUCAGUGACACCAGGGUAACCAAGCGAUGUUCUGUUUGUCCUAUGUAGUGCUACUUCAGAUUCAGGUUAGGUUUUCGGUCCAGCAGACUUGGGAGGGAGUUGAAUCUCGAGAGCCGGGCUACCUGCCUGGUUGCGUGACAUUGCACGAGUUAGAAAGUUGUUUGGAAAGGCUCUUAAAAGUGCAUGGAAAGGCCACUAAAAUAGAAUGUCCAGAGUAUCUCUUCUGGAUGACCGUAAUCCUUAAAAUGGUAAGAGUGUAAACUGAAUUACUUUGUUAUGGAGUACAUCUCAAUCACCUUGUAUGACUAUAUAUUUUUCGGGAGGUUUAAAUUCAGGUUUGGAAUAAAAACUCUUUCCAGGACAAAUCAAAUCGCAACGUAUUUGGUUAUUUUAGCCAGUUAGAUUCAGAUCUUUCAGUUCAGCCUAUUCUUGCACAUCUGUGUGGUAUCUUUAGAUGACUUGUUCUCUUUAAUUCAUAUUGCAGGCGGUUGUGGGGCUUGUGUUGUCCUUAUAGCAAAGUAUAACCCAAAGAUUACUGCAAGUUCAUGCUUGACACUACUUUACACUAUAAAUUUCUGUUCAGUUAUCACAACUGAGGGUCUGGGAAAUAGCCAAGAGGGCUUUCAUGCUGUUCAGGAAAGGAUGUCUGGGUUUCAUGCCUCUCAGUGUGGCUUCUGCACUCCUGGAAUGUGCAUGUCUAUUUUCACUUCCCUUAUCAAUGCUGACAAAUCCAAUAGGCCUGAACCACCAAAGGGGUUCUCAAAACUAAAAGUAUCAGAAGCAGAAAAGGCUUUCUCUGGCAACAUGUGCAGAUGCACUGGUUACCGUCCAAUUGUUGAUGCCUGCAAAAGUUUUGCAUCAGAUGUUGACUUGGAGGAUUUGGGCCUUAAUAUAUUCUGGAAGAAAGGUGAUAAGAACCCAGAUGUUAGUGAAUUGCCAAGUUACAUCCUUGGUGGCGGAAUCUGCACCUUUCCUGACUUUCUAAAAACUGAGAUAAAAUCUUCACUUGAUCAUCUGAGUAGUCCUUGUAUUGCAGUCUCCAGGGAGGGUUGGUAUCAUCCGAGAAGUAUCAAAGAAUAUUAUGAGUUAAUAAAUUCUUAUUUAUUUAGUGACUCAGUCAAAGUGGUUGUUGGGAAUACUAGCAGUGGUGUACCAGGAUACAAGGAUCAAGACAUCUAUAGUAAGUAUAUUGACAUAGGAGGCAUUCCAGAACUUUCAAAUAUUGUAAGGAGGGAGUCUGGCUUUGAAAUUGGAGCAGCUACACCAAUCUCUAGGACCAUUGAGAUACUUGAGGAAGAAUGUGAAUCUACAUCCUCUCCAAAGGGAAGCGUGGUUUUCAGAAAACUUGCGAACCACAUGAGCAAAGUUGCUACACCUUUUGUUCGUAACACAGCUAGUAUUGGAGGAAACAUAGUUUUGGCACAAAAAUUCCCAUUUCCAUCAGAUAUUGCAACCAUACUCCUCGGUGCUGGUGCAACAGUUUGUCUUCAGGUAGUUGCAGAACGAAGACAAAUUACUUUGGAAGAGUUCCUAGAGCAGCCUCCUAUAGAUGCUACUACUUUACUCCUGAGCAUAUUUAUUCCACAUUGGAUCCCAGAUUCUGGGACAAAGACAAGAUUGUUAUUUGAAACUUACAGAGCAGCUCCUCGUCCUCUUGGCAAUGCUGUUUCAUAUGUAAAUUGUGCUUUCUUGGGGCAUGCUUGUGUGGAUGAACAAUCAGAUACUCUUGUAUUGAGUAAUCUGCGGUUGGCUUUUGGUGCAUAUGGAACAGAACAUGCUAUUAGAGCAAAGAAGGUGGAGGAAUUCCUUACUGGUAAAGCACUCACUGCUUCGGUUGUACUUGGUGCAAUUCAAUUACUUAGAGAAACGGUUGUACCAAUGGAGGGAACAUCACAUCCUGAAUAUAGAGUCAGUGCAGCUGUUGGAUUUCUCUUCAGUUUCCUAUCUCCGCUUUCUAAAGGCAUCCCAGAGCCUGGGAAGUCUCUGAACAGUAGUUCUGCUGAUUCAGCAGAUACAAAUCUGCCAUUAUCAACACGUCAAGAAACAUUUUCCAGUGAUGAUUAUAAACCAGUUGGUGAACCGGUUAGGAAGUAUGGUGUUGAACUUCAAGCUUCUGGUAUGUGGUUACAUUAGAAUUUUUUAGUAUUGUCAACAUAUUCUCCAAAAUCUUUUUGCAGAGCAAGAUUUGAAGUUUCUAUUGUGUAAUACAGGGGAGGCAGUAUAUGUGGAUGAUAUUCCUGCUCCAAAGAAUUGCCUCUAUGGAGAAUUUGUUUACAGCACACAACCCCUUGCUUAUGUUAAAAGUAUAAAAUUCAAGUCUUCUUUAGCAUCAGAGAAGAUCAUCUCUUUUGUUUCUGCAAAGGAUAUUCCAAGUGGAGGACAAAAUAUUGGUUCAUCCUUUAUGUUUGGUGACGAACCACUAUUUGGUGAUCCGAUUGCUGAGUAUGCUGGUCAAGCUCUUGGCAUUGUGGUACUUACCCUUUCAUGUUUUGUAGUAUAACCAAUCACAGGAAUAAUUGCUCUCUUAAAAAUCUUUUUGAUAAAAGACAAUUAUGAAUAUUAAUGACCGUAAUCUGUAUUGCUAAAUCAUUACCUCUACCUCAGAUUGCAGAAACACAAAGGUAUGCUGACAUGGCAGCCAAGCAGGUUAUUAUUGAAUAUGACACAGAAGAUUUGAGCCCACCGAUCAUAACUGUGGAGCAAGCAGUGGAAAAGAGUAGCUACUUUGAUGUCCCCCCGGAAUUGUAUCCUAAAGAAGUUGGUGAUGUCUCCAAGGGCAUGGCAGAAGCUGAUCACAAGAUCCCAUCAACAGAAGUAUUUUAGUUCAACAACUUUCCAGAAUUGUUAAUAAUUUAAUUUCACUUGCAUCAUAAAAUAAUGAUGGAAAAUUAAAGCAUGCAGUUCUGUGUGCUCCAAAUUUUUUAUUCUUUCAUCCUGUGUAGAGUCCACUUUUCUCGAAAACGCAGGAGAGCUGUCUGCUUUGAACUGUAUUGUAGAUACUAUUGCAUUAAUACAUCAAUAGACAAAGAAACCUUAAACAUUUGAGAAGCCAAAAGAUGAGAUAAUCCACCUGAGUUUAAUACUAUCUAGACCACUACUUCUGAAACUUUGGAUUACUGAGUCACUUUUGUAAUGGUUGCUUCAAUGUAAUUGCUAAGAGUAGCUACUUCAAAGUUAAGAUUGAAGUAACAAUUAUUAAUAGUAACUCUCUGUUUUGUUGUGAGGUGAUCAAUAGUGUAUUGUUGGUAACUAUUUUUAAUGUCACACAUUUUUUUUCAGAAGGGCGGCAAAAGUUCUGCCGCUAGUUUUACUAGGAACUUAGGAAGAGAAAAAUAAAACAAGUGCAAGCCCAGUUUGAGUGCAAACUGGGUCCGGAAAUCACACACUAAUGACACAUUUAAUGACUCAUUUUUUUUGUAUAUGUAACUUUGACUUGAAAUAUAUGCAUGUAAAAAAAUUUGGGAUGUUUCGCAUAGAUAAUAAAGCCUCAAUUACGACGGAAGUUUGAAAUUGCAUAGUAAGAUCCAUCAAUGUACUUUUCACUAGUACCUAUCCUACUUCCCUUUUCAUGGAAGCUAAGAGAGGAUCUCUCAUGUAGUUUUGAUUUUGAUGCAUGACUGCAGGUAAAACUUGCCUCUGAGUACCACUUCUACAUGGAAACACAGACAGCACUAGCAGUUCCAGAUGAGGAUAACACUUUGGUAGUCUACAGUUCGUCACAGUACCCUGAACUUGCACAAAGUGUCAUAGCAAGGUGCCUAGGUAUUCCAUUCAGCAAUGUGCGUGUCAUUACAAGAAGGGUUGGAGGAGGCUUUGGUGGAAAGGCAUUCAGAUCAUUCCAAGUGAGAAUAAACAAAACUAGAUUGUAAUAACCAAAAUCUUCCAUUUUAUGAAAAAUAAUUAUUUUUAAUGUAAAAUCUUUACUCUGGAGUAUAAUUUACUGUACUUUUGUAUCUUGUUUUAACUUGUGAUGGGGUUAUUGCAUGUUUAGACUAGGACUAGUGUCAAUUUUUUUUAAAAAAAUCCUUAUUAUUCUUUAGUUAAGAGCUAUUUCCUUAGACUCGCAAACUGAAAAAGGACAUCCAAAGUUUACAUUUAUAGUACAGAUGAAAAAGUUAUUAUUCUGUUUUCUAUAUAUACAAUUUUAAACUUAGAAAAUUGUUAAGUGCAAUAUUUUUUUCUACUUUGUUAACUGCAUUGUUUGUGGAAAAUAAAUGUUGUAUUGAUAGUUUGUAGUAUGAGGUUUGGUUAUGUAGGAAUCAUGUGUUCCAACGAAAGCCAUUUAGGCCUAAUGGAGAAUAUAUUCAUUUAACCAUGCGCUUUUACACCAUGCAAAUGCAUCUAACUCUGUCUCUGUUAUUUGGGCUUCACAAUAAAAAAACACUAGCCCAAAAUCAAAUUAUCAGUGUCCUUUAGAAGAUCUCUAGCAACUAUUUUAGACUUCAGUUGACAUAUUUGAUAUUUCCAUUUGUGGUGAUUGCAUAUGACAAUCUGCUAACAAUAUCAUGAAUCAUAAGGACCUAGUAUACAUUAGCAUCUGUUUCUUACAUGUGGUACAUGCUUGUGCAGGUUGCAACGGGAGCUGCACUUUGUGCAUACAAGUUACGACGUCCUGUACGAAUGUACCUUAAUCGCAACACUGAUAUGGUUAUGAUUGGUGGUAGGCACCCAGUUAAAGCUCAUUAUUCUGUCGGAUUCAAGUCUGAUGGAAAAAUUACGGCCUUGCGUCUAGAUUUAUUAAUUAACGCUGGAAUAUCUCCAGAUGCAAGCCCCGUGAUACCAGGCUAUAUUAUAUCUAGUGUCAAGAAGUACAAUUGGGGUGCUCUGUCAUUUGACAUCAAGCUCUGCAAAACAAAUAAUUCAUCUAAAUCUGUAAUGCGUGCUCCUGGAGAUGCACAAGGCUCCCUAAUGGCAGAUGCUGUAAUUGAGCAUGUUGCGUCUGUCCUGUCAGUGGAUGCUAACAGCGUGAGGGAAAAGAAUUUUCACACCUAUGGUACUCUUCAGUUGUUCUACCCAGAUAGUGCGGGCGAAGCUUCUACGUACACAUUGCAUUCUAUUUUUGAUAGGUUGAUCUCAACUUCAAGCUACCUGGAUCGAGCUGAGUCCAUAAAGGAAUUUAAUAGUAACAACAAGUGGCGGAAACGUGGCAUCUCUUGUGUACCCCUCAUUUUCAAAGUAGAGCCAAGGCCGGCCCCAGGAAGGGUUUCCGUGCUCAAUGAUGGCUCCAUAGUGUUGGAGGUUGGUGGAAUUGAAAUCGGGCAAGGUCUAUGGACAAAAGUACAGCAGAU